rnacentral:lncRNA from 1 species
GUUAUUGUUUCUUUAGCAAUUAUAUAGUUCCAGGGAUUGAAAUGGUUUUCUUGUCCUAGCAAUGGUGCUUAGCUCCCUGGUUUGGUUUGAAGACUUAUUAUCCGCAGCUAUCUUAGAUUCCUAGUACUAUCAGACUACCUAUCCUAACUUUCGAAGAAGAUGGAAACUAGUAUUAUGGCACUGUCACUUUGUUUCUGUUUUGGUGUUUCCUUGCAUGUCUGAAUCUUUAUCAAUUUAUCAGGAAGUACUUGGAUAUCAGGUAGCAGUCCCUGAAUUAUAUAGAUCUGUGAUUCGGUAGUUAUCUUACUACUGGAAAGCGUCUAUCAAAGAACAUCGAUCAGUGCAUCUCUGAUCAGGAGUUGCCUCUAUCACGAGGGAUUAUUUGACACACAUCUAUUCUCAAAAUAUGACCAUGUUUACAAUUAUCAUGCUUAUGUUUGCCUGAGAUGUUUGCCUCUGUUAUGUUAGUGCGUUGCUAUGUGCUUCUUUUCCCAUUAUUUAGCAAUAACUUUGUUAUCAAGUAGCCAUAUUGACUGAUAUUCACCAAGCUUGCAAUUUCUCUGAUUGAAUGCUUUGGAUGCCUGCUGCAAAUCAGGUUUCGAAUAAAUCUCAGUCCUUGACUCAAAUCCACCAAGGAGUACAUGCAGUUACGGGUUUGGUCUGGAACUGUGGGUACGGAUCUGAACCUUCUUUCCUGUAUUCUGUAGAGAGCAAAUUCAUGCAUUUACAGUUACUGUGUAAAAGAAAAGUACAGGCUUCCCUCUUUUCCAUUCCAUGCAAAGUUGCAAUGAUGAUGUGUUGUAGCUUAUUGUAGCUUGUAAGGUUUAGGAUCCUCGAAUUGCACCACCUUGUCCAGGAUCUGGCCAAGUUAGGCACGACUAGAGACACCUUAAAAUGUUGUAAAUGUGCAAAAGAAAUCAGUUAUUUUUUCUUGAUUUUUCAGCACCAAGUUCAGUUUUGUAGUACUAGAAAUAAAGAGUGUGUGUUCCCGUUGAAAUGCACUAGCUGCAGAGCUGUUCUGUUAUGCUAAGUAGAGUUGGGUUAUAAGCAGUAAUCCUCUAGCAUCCAUAAAAUUUGACGAAAUUUUGCAAGCAUCCAUAAAAUUUGUAAAUGUUUGCUACAAAAAAAAUUCAGAAUUUUGUGAUUUUUUUUCUGAAUUUACUGUUUCACCCGAGCUCAUUUGAGCUCAGGCUGAGAAAAAUCACGUCCCAGUUUUCUCUUGUACACUUAGCUUCCUUUCUCUGCUUCGGAGGAAUGUCUCGGCGUUGCGGACAAGUUGUGCUCGUGUCGUGGUUCUCGGCAUAUGCUGCAAAAGCGUGUUCGCUUACUUGUCCCGCAGCCCCGGUCAGCAUUUGUCUUCGCAAUAGUUUUAUGCUUCUUGGACUUUGCUCCUCAAUCAUCAUAGGGAGGUUUAUCUCUGCUGUUGGUGGGUCGUCCAGGUUUGAGCUUGCGCUCAGGAGCCGUCAGACCUAACAAAUUGCCGGCACCACUCCCCUCUGUGUGUCGCUUCCAUACCCACAGCCAGGCCCUUUCAAAAGAGCUCGUUCUUUCUGCACUGCCUUGCUUUCUUUUACCUUGUCUUCUAGGCCCAUCCCAUCUUGUACAACAGCUAUAGGUGUUAGCUCUUGCAUAGCUGACUUCAACACAUGCAUGGCUUUUUCAUAUGCUGAUGUGUUGGCAUCGCCAAGCCUUACAACUUCCAUAGCGUGCUUGUACAUGUCUGAGUGUCGAAAAGUUAUGGAAUUCACUGAUAUUUGGCCCCUCUGCAGAUGUGUUAGAUGUUGUGGCAGCACAUCCUUUCUCCACCACCUUUUCAUUAUAUGCUUUGCAGGGAUCUCAGUGAAACCCAUGUCCAUAAAUUAGACAAAUUAUGUUAAAUCAAUCUGUUUUUAAUGCUGAUAUAUGUGCGUUUGUAGUCAGAGUGUACCUUGAGAACAUGACAGCACAGGAGCCCCAUAUGUUCAAAAUUACCACACUCACACGACACUUGUGCACCUUUAUCCAUGACAGCAAUAGCAUACACAACCCGUCACCAUUUGUCAUGUCUUUCUGGAUGAUACCGAUGUACUAAGUAUUUUACACCUUUCUCAACUUCUUCCACUAGUGCACCUUCAUACAGGACCUCACCAAACUUCUCGAACAUAGCUCUGGUGUAGACAGUGCUGGCAUGCGUUCACCUUCAUCAUCGGAGCGGCUUGAUCAGAAAUAGUUCCAUUUUUUUUCUUACUAUCUGUGAGAGUGAUGCAAUUUAACUGAAAUACCACACCAUAAUGCAAGCAAAAUUACAGCUUACUAUUUUCGUCAGAGUUUUCACUUGCUUCUCGGUCAAAAAGUACAGGCUCCCCUCUUUCCAUUCCAUGCAAAGUUGCAAUGAUGAUUCAAUAUUUUUCUUUCGGUCAAGUUAAGCAAUUCUUGUGUAUCUUAUUGUAGCUUGUAAGAUUUACUGAUUUAGGAUCCUCAAAGUGCACCACCUUGUCCAGGAUCUGGCUGAGUUAGGCACGACUAGACACCUUAAAAUAUUGUAAAUGUGCAAAAGAAAUCAGUUCUUUUUUCUUGAUUUUUCAGCUCCAAGUUCAGUUUUGUUAUUCCCGUUCAAAUGCACUAGCUGCAGAGCUGUUCUGCUAUGCUAAGUGGAGUCGGGCUAUAAGCAGUAAUCCUCUAGCUGCCAUCCAUCUCCACAGUCAUAUGUAUUUCCUAUAAACAGGGUUGGUUAGUUUUUCUUUUUGACAGCUGGGUUAGUUAGUUUGUAUUAGAAACAAUGGUGAUUCAGUAUUCUUCUUAUGGGUCAAGUAUCCUAUUGUUUGUAGCUUGUAAGAUUUUGGAUCCUCGAUUUGCACCACGAUGUUAUAGGACGUGUCUGAGUUCAGCUAUUGUAUGCAAUCUUUGCUUCCUGCGCUAUAAGUUAGGCAGGAUUAGACUCAUUAAAUUGUUUUUAACAUGCAAAAGAAGUCUGUUCUUUCUUGAUGUUUCUGCUCCAGGUUCUGUUUUGUAUAAGAAUCAGCGAGCAUCUAAUCAUGCUGAACUCGCUGCUAUCUUAAAAUGCAUGAUAUGUUCAUUAAUUAGCUCACAGUUUUAGCUGUCUGUUCUUCUUCAGUUGUUGUGUCUUUUCCGACAACAGUCUCGAGCCCUUGGAUCUCCAUCGUGCGGCUGGGAUGAUGAUGUGAAGCCGUAUGGUGGCUACUUAAUUCACUGGUUGGAUGUUAUCCGAUCUGCAUUCGUUGGCUGAGAUUCAAUCACUGUUGGCGGCCUUUUAUUGUACCCGCUCACGUUGUUGUUGUGGCCUUCUUUUACUUCCAGUUAAACUUUUCCUUUAUAUAGGCACCGGAUCCCUUUGGAGAGACAUUGAAUGUAAAUGGCUUCUAAACCCUAGCGCCACUGUAGAUCCCUCUAAAUUCGAGGCUACUUUCCUCUGAACUCUAUGUGUAUGUUGUUGUUAAGUUAGUGAGAUCCUAUCAAUUAGUAUUAGUAGCCAACAGUCCUUGGUGGCGUGUUGGAUUGUGGCAAAGUGCAGUUCGGCUAGCCGGUAAAAUUCCUUGCACCUUGACCCACGAUCCCGGGGUGGUGACACAAUCAGUGGCGCAGGCGGUGGUAGAAUUUUUGAGUGUAGGUUAGAAGGGGGCGUGGUUACUGAAGAACCCUUCUUCGGCAGAAAAUUCCACCCACCCUCCCUCUACGGUGCACAGCGGCAGAGGGCAUUUGCGUCAGUGUUCAAAGGGGGCUUGAUUUGGUUGUGCAGGUAUGGUUGCCACUUGGUGGUUGUAAAAUCCCCUCCUUGCCCUCCCAGAUCUUGUUCAUUAGGUGAGAAAGUGCUUUGUUUUCCUUAAAACCCUAUUUGCACUAUGGCACCACCCUCGUAUUCAACGUACAAAGAUGAUCUUGAUCUCAAAUCAUUACAAUUGGAUGUCCGACAACUCCAACAUCAUCGUAUCACUGACAAGCAAGAGUUCAUCGAAUUCGGACAAUCGGUCAAUCAUAAUACGGUACCCUAUACUGUUGAGAGGGGAGGGAACGGUAUAUUAAAAUCUGGCCGCUGGUUUUCUAAGGGUAGGAUAGACAUAGGUGAGAGUUUUUAGCGACAUUGUUGGUCUGCGGAUAAUAGCGACGGGAAAUCAAGACGCUGAGCCUCACCAUCAUGUCCCAUGACUCCUCCACGAUCUCCUUGAACCUCCUGUUCCAGACUUCCAGUAGAAGGACGGAGGCACCUCCCCGAGCUGUCGUCCUUGACCACGAGUUCCGCGGCUCCGCCUCGAGCUCGUCUUCUACGUCGCACCCUCCACUGCGUCACCGGCCAUCUCGUCGGGUCCAUCAAGCCCGUGGCGAGCUGCCGCUUCUCUGCGCCUCCUUUCCUGUUGAUUUCAUUCACCAUAGUGUGGUCUCCCUCAAGCCGGCGCCCUGUCCGCCAUGGACGAGUCCCUGCCUGGUGCUCAUCCCACACGCACACACCCAGCCAUGCGUGCUCGUUCGCGCUCCACGCCCGCUGCAACAGCCCGAGCGCACGCUCCGCAGCAGCGCAGCCCCGCAAUGAACGCUCCGGCCUCUAGUACGCAAGCAUCACCACAGCCUCCACUCGCGUCCCCGCCGUCCACGGUCAGCGCGAUCCUAGAGGGCAGGCCGAAACAGCAAGCCGCCAUGGUCUUGCCUACCCGGCAGGGACCUCUAGUGGAUACGAAGACGUGGAAAUACCAGUCACGGGUCAGCGCCUGCGCAACAGGAUCCCAGGGGAGCACCGGUGCCGGCGGUGUGGUGAGUCCUCGAGCGCCUCACGACAGGAGGAAAAGGAGGAGGGGGAGGAGAGAGAAGCAGGGGGUUGAUGAUGACGAAGAUAGCCUAUAGCUCGACAACCUCCCGAUCCACCAUAGAUGGCGUGCACGCCGGCGGCGGCUGGAACCCGCGGGCGCGGUCGGGAACGAAAUGGAAGGGCGGGGGCGGGGUGGGCCAGGUCGACACGCAGGGGUGCUGUAAUUUUUUCUUCCCAAAAUGACCUCAGGACUUGUAUACUGGAGGAAGAAAGCGAUGCCGUGCAAGCUAUACCGCUCGCGGCCGCAUUGGCAAAUUGGAGCAGUACAGAUUGAUCGCCGCCGUCAGAUAUCACGAAUGGACGACUAGUAUUUGCUGUAGGGUACCAUAAAAGAGCUCCAAUUUUAUAGACCUAAAGAGCAUUUCUCCAAGAUCCAAUCAAGCUUUGAUCAUUUCUUUGCUAAACAACCCAACUUGGGUAAACGUUUGGCAAUUGAUGGACCUCCUGGAAUGCCUGAAUUAUUGCAUACAGCUAGAGAAAUUGGAGUUUCACCAGGUCAAGGUAGCAUCAACCAAACUUUGAAUAAACCCCAGGGAGUGGUCACUAUAGUGGUACAUGACUAAGUAUGCAAGGAGCAGCCAACAGAACAACAGACAAAACACCCAUAAAGACAUACACUACAAAAAAAUACACUUCCGUGAUGAUACGUGUUUGUCACAGUCGGUUGCGUUUUUUGUCAUGCAUGUACAUCCAUGACGAUUUUAUGACAGAAUCAAGAUUGUCAUACAUGUGCUGUCGUCGAAGUGUUCCAUGACAUUACCAAAAUUAUCAUCACGGAAGUGUCCACUUCCAUGACGAUAAAUCGCGCGUCACAGAAGUGCUUUUGUCAAGGGUGACCGACACGUGGCAUCCACCAUAACGGAACGCCGUUAAGCUAUCAGGUCGGGUUUGGGAUCCGAUAACCCGUUAACAGCCCUGACUAAUGGGGAUUUUCCACGUGUAAAAUCAUCAUUGGCUGGAGGAGACACGUGUCAGGUCCGCGUUGGCACAGAUGUCACUCAUCUAAUGGGCGAGACGCGCCUAUGAUAUGUUGACACGUGGAUAGGCCCAUCAAGUUUAAAUGGGCCAGCCCAACUAAAGGCCCACAAGAUUUUGCGGACCAUAAUGGGCCGACACAGCUAAAGGCCCACGAGAUUUUGCGGACCAUAAUGGGCUGGCGCAACUAAAUGCCCACAAGAUUAUGCGGGCCAUAAUGGGCCGGCCCAGGUAAAGGCCCACACAAUUUUUGUGUGCCAUAAUGGGCCGGCCCAGGUAAAGGCCCACAAGAUUCUUGCGGAUCAUAAUGGGCCGGCGUAGCUAAAGGCCCACGAGAUUUCGCCGACAUUAAUGGGCCGGCCCAGCUGUAGGCCCACAAGAUUUUGAGGACCCUAGUAGGCUGGCUCAUUGACUGGCUGCCAUGUUUUGGGCCAAAUGUCGGCUCAUAUUUUAUCCCGUCCAUUAAUGGACUGCCACGUUCCGGCCCUAAUAAUGGCCCAUAUGAGAUCCGGCCCGUUAAAAGCCUACCAUGUUCUGGGCCAAAUUACGGCCCAGAUCAGGUUCGGCCCUUUAAGAGGCUUUGGGCUAAAUUAUGGCCCACAAUGCUUUUGGGCCCACUUGCUAAAGGCCCAUUUAGUAAUUCGGCCUGAUAUUAGAUUCGGCCUGUUAAGGGCCCGUUUAACAUUUCGGCCUUAUAUUAAUUUUGGCCUAUUAAAAGCCCAUCAUAUAGUUGGGCCUAACUACGACCCGGUUUGCAUCCGGCCUGCUCGCAACCGAUAUCUGAUUGGGCCAAACAAGGACCGAGACAAUUUUGGCCUAUUAAAAGCCCGUGAUUUGAUUUGCACAAUCAUGGGACGGGGUCCAUUUCGGCCUGCUGUCGGCCCGUGAGCUGUUCGGCACGUUUCAGGCCCAACCUAUUUCUCAGCAUCCUAAAAGCCCAUUGAGUUUUCUUGCGAAAAGAGGGCCGGGGGUUACUCGGCCUAUUAAAGGCCCGAAUCUACUAGUGGGCCAGUUUACUUUUGGCCUUUUAACGGACCAAGAUGACGGGGCCCGUGAUGCGGAUCAUACAUCGUGAUUGCAUGACGGCCCAAUUAUGUACCAUAAUUUUAUAGUUUGGCCGGUUUACUGCCAAGACAGGAUAUAUAUACAGUAAAAUAACUGCAGCAUCGUGAAUAAGAAAAAACCUAGACUAUAAAAUAAAGAAAUUACGGCAUUGUCGGUGUGCAAGAGUAGGGGCUCUGCUUUUGACCCCUUUACUUGUGCACGGGAAGUCAGAGCCACCCGCCACGGUGAUAUGUCUCCAACGUACCUACUUUUCCAAACACUUUUGCCCUUGUUUUGGACUCUAACUUGCAUGAUUUGAAUGAAACUAAUCCGGACUGACGUUGUUUUCAGCAGAAUUACCAUGAUGCUAUUUCAUGUGUAGAAAACAAAAGUUCUCGGAAUGACCUGAAAAUCCUUGGAGACAAGUUUCAGAAAAUAUAAAAAAUACUGGCGAAAGAAUCAAGAUCAGGGGGCCCACACCCUGUCCAUGAGGGUGGGGGGCGCGCCCCUGUCUUGUGGGCCCCCUGUAGCUUCGCCGACCUCAACUCCAGCUCCAUAUAGUCCGUCUCGCGGAGAAAAAAAUCAGAGAGAAAGUUUCAUCGCGUUUUACGAUACAGAGCCGCCGCCAAGCCGUAAUCUCUCUCGGGAGGGCUGAUCUGGAGUCCGUUCGGGGCUACGGAGAGGGGGAUUCAUCGCCAUCGUCAUCAUCAACCAUCGUCCAUCACCAAUUUCAUGAUGCUCACCGCCGUGCAUGAGUAAUUCCAUCGUAGGAUUGCUGGAUGGUGAUGGGUUGGAUGAGAUUUACCAUGUAAUCAAGUUAGUUUUGUUAGGGUUUGAUCCCUAGUAUCCACUAUGUUCUGAGAUUGAUGUUCCUAUGACUUUGCUAUGCUUAAUGCUUGUCACUAGGGCCCGAGUGCCAUGAUUUCAGAUCUGAACCUAUUAUGUUUUCAUGAAUAUAUGUGUUUUCUUGAUCCUUUCUUGCAAGUAUAUAGUCAUCUAUUAUGUUUUAUGACCCGACAACCCCGAAGUGACAAUAAUCGGGAAACUUCUCGGUGAUGACUGUAGUUUGAGGAGUUCAUGUAUUCACUAUGUGUUAAUGCUUUGGUCCGGUUCUCUAUUAAAAGGAGGCCUUAAUAUCCCUUAGUUUCCGUAAGGACCCCGCUGCCACGGGAGGGUAGGACAAAAGAUGUCAUGCAAGUUCUUUUCCAUAAGCACGUAUGACUAUAUUCGGAAUACAUGCCUAUGUUACAUUGAUGAAUUGGAGCUAGUUCUGUGUCACCCCAUGUUAUAGCUAUUACAUGAGGAAUCGCACCCGACAUAAUUAUCCAUCACUGAUCCAUUGCCUAUGGGCUUUUCAUAUACUGUCCUUCGCUUAUUUACUUUUCCGUUGCUAUUAUUACAAUCACUACAAAACCCAAAAAAUAUUACUUUUGCUAUCAUUACCAUUACUAUCAUAUUACUUUGCUACUAAAUACUUUGCUGCAGAUACUAAGUUAUCCAGGUGUGGUUGAAUUGACAACUCAGCUGCUAAUACUCAAGAAUAUUCUUUGGCUCAACUUAUGUUGAAUAAAUAAAUUUGGGUUGAAUACUCUACCCUCGAAAGCUAGCUGUUGCGAUCCCCUACACUUGUGGGUUAUCAAGACUAAUUUCUGGCGCCAUUGCCGGGGAGCAUAGCUCUACUCUUUGAGUCACUUGGGAUUUAUAUCUUCUGAUCACUAUGAAGAACUUGAAAGAUCAAAGAACUAAAUUUUAUCCCUCAACUACGAGGGGAGGUAAGGAACUGCCAUCUAGCUCCGCACUAGAUUCUCCUUCUAUUAUGAAUAAGCUUGCGACACCUAAACCUGCUACUGCUAUGAAUUCUGAUAUGUCGCGUGUUAUUGAUGAUGCCACUUCUGCUAUGCAUGAUACUUAUGAUGAAACUACUUCUAUGCUUGAUACUACUGUGCCAUUGGGUGAAUUUCUUGAUGAACAACUUACUAAGGCUAGAGAGAAUGAAAUUAUUGAUAAUGAAAUUAUUGAUGAUAGUGAUGAUGAAAGUUCUCCGAACGAUUAUGAGUUGCCUGUUGUUCCUGAGGGUUAUGUUAUGGAUGAAGAAACUGCUAGAGAUUUUCUUGCUUGCAAUGAUAGAUCAGAUCUUAAGAAAUUGUUAGCCAAGCUGAAACAAAAGACUUUAAAUGCUAAAAUGAAACAUGACCCUACUUUUGCCACUUUACCUAUCUUUGUUACUGAUAAGGAAUAUGAAUUCUACGUUGAUCCUGAGAUUAUUACUUUAGUUGAAUCUGAUCCUUUCUAUGGCACUGAAUCUGAAACUGUUGUGGCACAUCUCACCAAGUUAAAUGAUAUAGCCACCCUGUUUACUAAUGAUGAGACAUCUCGCUAUUAUUAUAUCCUUAAGAUAUUUCAAUUCUCAUUAAAGGGUGAUGCUAAGACUUGGUUUAAUUCUCUUGAUCCUGGUUGUGUGCGUAGUCCCCAGGAUAUAAUUUAUUACUUCUCUGCUAAGUAUUUUCCUGCUCAUAAGAAACAAGCUGCCUUGCGAGAAAUAUAUAAUUUUGUGCAAAUCAAAGAAGAGAGACUCCCACAAGCAUGGGGGAGGCUUCUCCAAUUACUUAAUGCUUUGCCUGAUGAUCCACUUAGGAAAAUGAAAUACUUGAUAUCUUCUAUAAUGGACUAACUGAUGCUUCCAAGGACCACUUGGAUAGUUGUGCUGGUUGUGUUUUCAGGGAAAGAACAGUCGUCGAAGCUAAAUUAUUAUUGAACAAUAUGUUGACUAAUGAGAAUAAUUGGACUCUUCCUGAGCCAAUUCCUGAGCCAAUUCCUGAACUAAUUGAGCCAACUCCUAAGCCUAUUCCUAAACCUACUCCGAAGAAGAGAGAUGUUCUAUUUCUCAGUCCUGAGGAUAUGCAAGAGGCAAAGAAAUCAAUGAAAGAGAAAGGUAUUAAAGCUGAAGACGUUAAGAAUUUACCUCCUAUUAAAGAAAUACAUGGUCUUAAUAUACCGCCUGUUAAAGGAUCACAUCAUCUUGAUAACCCGACACAGGUAGUGAAGGUAAAUUCUCUCUAUAGAUAUGAUAAGGAUGAAAUCCCAUCUACUAAAUUUCAUAGUCCAUGCUUAGAUGAAUUUGAUGAGUUCAUGAAUAGACAAGCAAAUUUCAAUGAUUAUGUUGGUAGACAAUUGAAGAAUAAUGCUUAUAUGAUAGGAUGCUUGAAUGAUUAUAUAGCUAGAGUUAAAGGUGAACUUAAACUCACUAGUAAACAUGCUUCUAUGGUUGCUACUCAAGCUGAACAAGUACUUAAGGCUCAGAAUGAAUUGCUAGUUGAACUAAAUAAUAAACAUGACUUCGUUGUUAGAGUGGCUACUAGAACUGGUAAAAUGACUCAGGAACCUUUGUAUCCUGAAGGCCACCCUAAGAGAAUUGAACAAGAUUCUUAGAAUAAUAAUCUAGGUGCUCCUAGUUCUUCUAAGAAGAAGAAAAAGAAGAAGGAUAGGACUUUGCAUGCUUCUAGUGAACCUAAUGUACAAACACCUGAGAAUCCUAAUAAUACUUCUAUCUCUGAUGCUGAAACACAAUCCGGAGAUGAACAUGAACCUGAUGAUAAUGCUAAUAAUGAUGUUCAUGUAGAUGCUCAACCUAGUAAUAACAAUGAUAUAGAAACUGAACCUGUUGUUUGUCUUGAUAACCCACAAUCAAGAAACCAACGUUAUGAUAAGAGAGAUUUUGUUGCUAGGAAGCAUGGUAGAGAAAGAGAACCAUGGGUUCAGAAACCCAUGUUGUUUCCUCCUAAACCAUCCAAGACAAAGGAUGAUGAGGACUUUGAGCAUUUUGCUGAAAUGAUUAGACCUAUUUUCUUACGCAUGCGCUUAACUGAUAUGCUUAAAACAAAUCCUUAUUCUAAAUAUAUGAAAGAUAUCAUCACUAAUAAGAGGAAAAUUCCUGAAGCUGAGAUUUCCACCAUGCUUGCCAACUAUACCUUUAAGGGUGGAAUACCUAAGAAACUCGAUGAUCCCGGAGUACCUACUAUACCAUGCUCCAUAAAGAGAAAUUAUGUUAAAACUGCUUUAUGUGAUUUAGGAGCCGGUGUUAGUGUUAUGCCUAUUUCCUUGUACCAUAGACUUGAAUUAAGUAAGUUGACACCCACUGAGACAUCCUUGCAAAUGGCUGAUAAAUCAACUGCUAUACCUGUCGGCAUUUGUGAGGGCGUGCCUGUUGUUGUUGCGAACAUUACUAUCUUAACGGACUUUGUCAUUCUUGAUAUUCCCGAGGAUGAUAGUAUGUCUAUUAUCCUUGGUAGACCUUUUUAAAUACUGCAGGUGCUGUUAUUGAUUGCAACAAAGGCAAUUUCACCUUUCAUGUUAAUGGAAAUGAGCAUACGGUACAUUUUCCGAGGAAACAUCCUCAAGUUCACAGCAUAAAUACUAUUAAGAAAAUCCCAUCAAUUAUUAUCGGAGGUUUUGAAUUUCCUCUCCCUGCUGUCAAGAAAAAGUAUGAUAUUCUUAUUAUUGGGGAUGUUCUUAUCCCCGUUGAGGUAACCUAGUGUCACUUCGAAAUUUCUCCGAUUCCGUGUUAUUCGGAAUGAGUUUGUUAACGAGACUUGAUCAACCUUGUUAGUGGAUUCAUUUUUGAUGAUCAUGAGAUGGAUGAAAUUAGAAGGAACAACCUUCUGUACUUUCUUUUUUACUUUCUGUUAUUUAUAAUAAAUAAAGCAAAAAUAGUAUUAUCUGUCUAUUUUCUGAAUUAUCCGUGCAAUAAAAAAAGAAAAAUAUACCGAAAAGAAAAGUGCUCCAAAUGCCCUGCAAAUUUAGUAUGAUUUUUAUUGAACAUUUGAGGAUUUUAAGCACUUAAAUCACUUCAGGAGGAGCAAGCACCAGGCCACGAGAGUGGAGGGCGCGCCCACACCCCCUGGGCGUGCCCCUUGUCUCAUGGGCCCCUGGUGGCCCCCCUCCACUUAUGCCAGCACCCACACACUCCAUCUUCUUCCCAAAAAAUCCCCAUCCAGCUCAAGCACGGGUGCUAGCUCAUUUUGCUGCGAUUUUCGAUCUCCUUGCUCAAAGCUCCAUUCGCAAAACUGCUUUGGGAGAUUGUUGCUUGGUAUGUGACUCCUCCAUUGGUCCAAAUAGUUUUUGUUCUAGUGUUUUAUUCAUUGCAAAUCCUUGCUGCCUUGGUGACCCUGUUUUUGAGCUUGCAUGUUAAAUUUAUGAGGUCCCAAGUAAUUCUAAUGCAUGAUAUAGGCUCUAGGCACUUGUAGGAGUAGUUGCUACCAAUCUUGUUUAGUUUUAUUUACUUUUAUUUUGAAGUUACUAAAAUUUUAGAAAUUUUCAGAAAAUGUUAAAGAGAUUUUUGAGGGGCUCUUGUAGCCAAGGCUCCCAGGAAAAACAAGCUAAAGAGCAGGAAAAAGGCCAAAUAUAAUCUUCCUCGCAUAGCGGAAAUACGGCCGUGUGAAUGGCCAUGAGAUGAUUUCUUGAGAUAAGCUGGAAUUUAUGAAGAUUUUUAUUCUUUGAUCAAGAAUGCAGGCCUCACUGAUUUCCUCCACGACCGGAUCGAUCAGUAUCUCUUACUUACCAAUACCUUCGUGCAAAACUUUUAUUAUUAUCCUAAGAAGUCACUGCCUUCAGUAUCAUUUCAUUUAUAUGAUGAAUUCAGGGAAAUGUCUUUACGUGAUUUCUGCGCGGUAUGUAGGAUACCCUUUGAGGGAAUAGAGGAACCACAUCCUAGGGAUGUGGAUAGCUUUGUUAACACUAUCACUGUAGGGGAUCCAAAGAAGGGUUCCGAUGCGAGAAUCUCUAGCAUACACUUUCCUGUUUUACGCUACUUUGCCAUAUUUGCUAGUAGAUGCUUGAUUGGUCGUGGAAAUAGUGGAAACUUCAGUGUCCCAGAUAUUAUUAUUCUAUUCCAUGCCUUGUUUUGUGAUAACAGUUUUAGUAUGGGUGCAGUCAUUGCUAAACGUUUAAACCUGAAUCGUACAAAAGGCCCCAUCCUUGGAGGUAUCUAUGCUGCACGUCUUGCUAAAUAUUUUGAUAUACCUAUUAGGCACCAUGAGAAAGAGGAGACAAUAUUGCCUCCUUAUAUUUUAGAUUACAGGAGCAUGGUAGCACAUGGGUUUAUUGUUCAUAAUGAUGACAAGAUGCUCAUGUAUAACUUGAGAUUUAAUAAGAAACACAAUGAGACUAUUAUUCUGCCUGCAUCUCUGUUGUUUUAUUUGACUGCAGAUAAUUAUCUUGUCACGUCGGAAGCGGUGUAUGCUCAUCGAGGCCAAGCAUCCAAUCCAGAGCCUGAGCCCGAGCCGGAACCACCACUAGACCCAUAUCGUCCAUCUUCUUAUCAGUGGGAUCCGGAGGAGAUCUCCAACCAAUGGUAUCCUGAUUACACCUCUCAGUACACCGGGGAGAGUAGCCGCGGUCCGUGGCAUUAAACCAACUUAGGCCAAAAGCCUAAGCUUGGGGGAGUACGUAUUUCUCACCGACUUUACAUUCAUGUUCACACACUAUCCUAGUCGUCGGUGCUCAUACUCUUUCAUUGUAUUAUCCAUGCUAGUUUAAUUUUCUUUUUCAAGUUUUCUUCAUGUGUGUUUGAUAAACUUUAAGAAAAACCAAAAAAAAUUAGUUAGUUUAAAUUCCAUGCUUGUAGUAGAAAUUAAAAUGAAAACCCAAAAAGAUUUCUCAUUCUUCUUUUACUUGUUGGGAGCUUUCCCGUGUAAAUAGUUUUCUUUUCUUUUCUUUCCUUUGAGGGGUCGAGAGUAGAAGACCCUAUUGAAAAUGUUUACUGGCUCUCAUAUGCAUGAUUGUUUAUUUAAUUUAGAGCCAUAUUACUUUGUCUUCUCUCUCGAGUUGAGUGCUUGCAGAUUCCAGCUUAGUCCAAUGCACGUGCACUAUUAUUAUUAUACACAUCAUUCGAUCGUGCGAGUGAAAGGCAAUAAUGACGAUAUAUGACGGACUGAUUGUGAUGAGAGAAGCUGGUAUGAACUCGACCCCUCUUGUUUUUGUAAAGAUGAUGAGUUCAUCGUUCCUGAUUCAGCUUAUUAUGAAGUAAACAUAUUUGCAAUAACAUUUAGAGAUUAUAGUUGCUUGUGCCAUGCUUGAUUAGCUAUGAGUUAUAAUGGUUUACCUUGUGUGCCAACAUGCUAUUAGAAUGAUUAUGAUGUGGUAUGAUGGGAUGGUAUCCUCCUUUGAAUGAAUUGAGUGACUCGACUUGGCACAUGUUCACGCAUGUAGUCGAAACAAAUCAACAUAGCCUUCAUGAUAUUUAUGUUCAUGGUGAAUUAUAUCCUACUCAUGUUUGUAUUCGGUGUGAAUUAGUUUUAAUGCAUGUUUAUGACUAUUGUCGCUCUCUCGGUUGGUCGCUUCCCAGUCUUUUGCUAGCCUUCACCUGUACUAAGCGGGAAUACUGCUUGUGCAUCCAAACUCCUUAAACCCCAAAGUUAUUCCAUAUGAGUCCACCAUACCUUCCUAUAUGCGGUAUCUACCUACUGUUCCAAGUAAAUUUGUAUGUGCCAAAAUCUAAACCUUCAAAUGAAAUUCUGUUUUGUAUGCUCGAGCAGCUCAUGUUUCAACUAGGGCUGCCUAUAUCUUCCAUGCUACGUGGGUUAUUCUCAAGAGGAGUGGACUCCGCUCCUCAUUCACGAGAAAUGACCGGUAACCGGGAUGCCCAGUCCCAUGGUCCAAAAAGAUCAAAGCAAAUCAAUAUAAUUAAACAAAACUCCCCCAGGGCUGUUGUUAGUUGGAGGCACUCGUUGUUUCGAGCAAGCCAUGGAUUGAUGCUUGUUGGUGGUGGGGGAGUAUAAACUUUUACCAUUCUGCGUGGGAACUGCCUAUAAUGCAUGUAGUAUGGAAAAUACAGCCAUCUCAUAGUUGUUGAGUUGACAGUGAAAGUAUGCCGCCCAAAAUGUUAUUCAAUCUCUAUUUUAAAAUCGAGCUCUGGCACCUCUACAAAUCCCUGAUUCCCUUUGCGAAGGGCCUAUCUAUUUACUUUUAUGUUGAGUCAUCACCUUCUUAUUAAAAAUCACCUGCUGGAGAGCACACUGCCAUUUGCAUGUAUUACUAUUGGUUUAUAUUGGGUAUGACUUGACUGGAUCUCUUUUACCAUGAAUUACAAUGUUUAGUCAGUCCUUGAUCUUUAAAGGUGCUCUGCAUUUAUGUUUUGCGGUCUCAAAAAGGGCUAGCGAGAUACCAUUUUGUUAUGUCAUGUUAUGAUUGUUUUGAGAAAGUGUUGUCAUCCGAGUUUUAUUAUUAUCGCUCGCCAGCUGAUUAUGCUAUUGAUAUGAGUAAUUGUGAGACCGAGGUGUUAUUGUGAGUAUGGUGAGUUUAUAAUAUUUGUUGAAACCUUAAUGCUGGAUUUGCAUGUUUACAACAACAAGAGCAAACAGAGUUUGUAAAAGUUUUUCUUUAUCACUUUCAGUUUAUCAACUGAAUUGCUUGAGGACAAGCAAAGGUUUAAGCUUGGGGGAGUUGAUACGUCUCCAAAGUAUCUACUUUUACAAACACUUUUGCACUUGUUUUGGACUCCAACUUGCAUGAUUUGAAUGAAACUAACCCAGACUGACGCUGUUUUCAGCAGAAUUACCAUGAUGUUGUUUCAUGCAUAGAAAACAAAAGUUCUCGGAAUGUCCUGAAAAUCCUUGGAGACAUGUUUCAGAAAAUAUAAAAACUACUAGCGAAAGAAUCAAGACCAGGGGGCCCACACCCUGUCCACGAGGGUGGGGGGGCGCCCACCCCCUCUGGGCACGCCCCCUUGUCUCGUGGGCCCCCUGCAGCUCCGCCGACCUCAACUCCAACUCCAUAUAUUCCGUCUCGCGGAGAAAAAAAUCAGAGAGAAAGUUUCAUCGCGUUUUAUGAUACGGAGCCGCCGCCAAGUCCUAAUCUCUCUCAGGAGGGCUGAUCUGGAGUCCGUUCGGGGCUCCGGAGAGGGGGAUUCGUCGCUAUCGUCAUCAUCAACCAUCCUCCAUCACCUAUUACAUGAUGGUCACCGCCGUGCGUGAGUAAUUCCAUCGUAGGCUUUCUGGACGGUGAUGGGUUGUAUGAGAUUUACCAUGUAAUCAAGUUAGUUUUGUUAGGGUUUGAUCCCUAGUAUCCACUAUGUUCUGAGAUUGAUGUUGGUAUGACUUUGCUAUGCUUAAUGCUUUUCACUAGGGCCCGAGUGCCAUGAUUUCAGAUCUGAACCUAUUAUGUUUUCAUGAAUAUAUGUGUGUUCUUGAUCCUACCAUGCAAGUCUAUAGUCACCUAUUAUGUGUUAUGAUCCGACAACCCCGAAGUGACAAUAACCAGGAUACUUCUCAGUGAUGAUCGUAGUUUUAGGAGUUCAUGUAUUCACUAUGUAUUAAUGCUUUGGUCCGGUUCUCUAUUAAAAGGAGGCCUUAGUAUCCCUUAGUUUCCGUAAGGACCCCGCUGCCACGGGAGGGUAGGACAAAAGAUGUCAUGCAAGUUCUUUUCCAUAAGCACGUAUGACUAUAUUCAGAAUACAUGCCUAUGUUACAUUGAUGAAUUGGAGCUAGUUCUGUGUCACCCCAUGUUAUUGCUAUUACAUGAGGAAUCGCACCCAACAUAAUUAUUCGUCACUGAUCCAUUGCCUACGGGCUUUUCAUAUACUGUCCUUCACAUAUUUACUUUUCCGUUGCUAUUGUUACAAUCACUACAAAACCCAAAAAAUAUUACUUUUGAUAUCGUUAACAUUACUAUCAUAUUACUUUGCUACUAAAUACUUUGCUGCAGAUACUAAGUUAUCUAGGUGUGGUUGAAUUGACAACUCAACUGCUAAUACUCAAGAUUAUUCUUUGGCUCCCCUUGUGUCGAAUCAAUAAAUUUAGGUUGAAUACUCUAACCUCGAAAGUUGUUGCGAUCCCCUACACUUGUGGGUUAUCACACGGCCAUGCAUAGCAGGUCAGGAAAUGGAAUCCAGAGAGAAGCCGAAGGCACAAGGCAAACAAAGCAACGACAAGAACCAAGGCCACAAAGGUCGCACGGGCGAAGCAGGUUGCCCCGGUAGGGACCCUUGCCGGGGGCACCCUCAGCGGCCCCGGCAAGACCCUUGCCGGGGCAGCUCGUCCACACCAGCUGAGCGAGCCACCUUCGAUCCCACCAAUGCUAAGAAAAUGCAUUGGGUUAGGGUUCGGGAGGCACCUCCGUGGUGGCAUGCAGAUCUUUGUGAAGACAAAGAACAGUCAAGAUGAAAUAAGGAUAGGAACGCAACAAUCCUUAGCAAGGUUCUUGUCGAGGAAGCCCACGAGACCCCUGGCAAGACCCUUGCCGGGGACAACGGCGUGCCGAGGCGAGACCCUUGCCGGGCCAACCGGCAAGGCCCUCGCCCGGUGCACCAGCAGGGACACUGCCAGGCCCACGCCAGCCAAGUCUCCGCCGCCAUUCGCAUGUAGCUGCCAGCCCAACCAGCUGGGCAGGCACCUGUGUGGCAACAUGCAGCCCUUCGUGGAGGCUCCACCACCGCGCCACCUCAGCUGCCUGCCUGCCUACAUGGCACCGCAUGCAUCGCUGGCCAGGGCGCGUGUCGAAGCAAGGAGGAGCGGCGACGGACGGGACGGGCCUCGCUCCCAUCCCCGAUAAAGUGAAGGGACACCUAAGCCUCGCAUUACAUGUGCCUUGUCCUGUAAUACUAGCGAUAAGCUCACAACACGGUAGCACUUUCCACCUCCUUUGUGCCACUGUGGCAUCCCCUUUCGCCUAUAAAAGGAGGCCCAUGGCGCACCAAGGAGGGAUUGGGCUCUUUGGAACCUAGCAACACCCAGAGCUAGUUCAAGAGCUCAAGAACACUAAAUACAUCCACCAAAGUAGGAUCGUACGGUUUUAUGCAUCUUUGCGGCCCGAACCUAGGUAAAUCCCCCUUGUGCUGUCUACUAGUCCUGCUCUUCUCACGAUCCCGUGCCCCGCAACCGUAAUAGGGAUUCCAGUGAUCCCAUAGGUGUCGUUCACCACCGACAUCUUUGGCGCGCCAGGUAGGGGGCACAAUUGUGAGAAUCUGGUCUAGUGGUAGGCCUAGCAGUUCGUCAUCGCCACGGCUCUUGCGGAGAAGGCGGCCAAGAGGGCGGCACUGCCUGUUGGCAUGAAGGACGCCAAGGCGGCAAUGAGAGAGCUAAGUCAUGUUGAACUUUAAACUUUUCUCCUUAAAUAUAAGGUUAUUAUCCUCGACGGUUCUGCCUAUGUAUGGAAAACAUGUAUGCAGAGGGGCCCUCCUGCGAUUGGCAACGCCCUUGUUUUGUUUCGAGUCCUCAAUAGUUUGAGAGGCUGCGUAGAGAGCGGCAGGGUAACCUUUCGCCAUCAGCUACGCUCUCGGCUCUGACUCGAGUCAAGCUCGAUAGAUCGAACGGCCGCGCUAAGGGCGGUAAGGUGCUUCUCCCGGCACCAAGCACACCCGGUAGGCUAAUGGGGAUCCAUCCUGAAGACGCCGCCUUGGGUUUACGCGCCGGCAAGCCCAUCCAGUCGACGUGGGGUGGACAUACAAAGGAAAAUCGAAUAGGAAAAUAAUAUGCAUAAUUUCAGGAGUACUGCAAAGUUAUAUUACAUAAAUUGCCGCCACGGUUCUAACUAAAGACAGCAUUGUCUUGGUCAUGAACCCGCAGCGGCGACGAAGCACGGGGCGCCUAGUCCGGGCGUUGGCCCUCCAACCUUUUGAUUUUGUCGAUGCGGCUGAUGAUGGGCUGGAUACGCUCAUUGAGCGCCGCAAUGUCGGCAUCCUCCGGCAAGCUCUUCAGCACAACUCCGAAGUCAAGGUUUGGGUGCCAGUGCGCAAUCUUGGUGAGCACCCUGGUCAUGGUCCCCGGCAAAGUACCCGGGAUUCCUCGGCCAGGGAGGUCGCCCGGUUGGAGUGAAGCCGCCCCAGGGCGCCGACGACCUUCUCGAAGAAUAUUGUUAGGUUGGCAUUGGGGCUCAGGUUCGGCUCUGGGGCGUACACCAUCUCUGGCAUUCCCAUGAUGGCCAGCUGAUUGGCGGCCGAGUUCGGGACAAUGGCAAGACGUUCGAGCCAGGCUUCUCGCCCACCACUUGGUCAUUGAGGUUGGCAGUCUCGUUCAUCCGCAGCUGCUUCUCUGUCGCCAGGUCCCUUGUCAGGAUCCCUUCCCGGGCACUGGCCCCCGACAGCAUUCUCUCGAGGUCCCCACCUUCACCUUGAAUUCCUGAUGGAGGCGUUGGCCUCACAGAGCUCACCGGCCUUGCUGAUGACCGCGCCAUGUGCCUCCACCAGGGCUCCAUUGAGCGUGUCCUUCUCAUGGGACAGCUUCAAAGCUUGCUCCUCCAGCUCCUUCACCUUGCUGGCGUAGACCUGGGCCUGAGCAUUGAGUGCCUCUUGAUGCGUCUGCUCCAGCUCCUAGGUCCACUGCACAACGAGCUGCCCCGCCUCUUCAUCCUUGCCGCGGAGCAUGGCGGCAAGCUUCUCCUCGCGUGUGGCAAGGUCCUCCUCCUGGGAGUUCAGUGCAGCUUCGCGCUGGGACCGGGCCGCCUCAGCUCCGGCGGCCAGGAUCCUCGCCGUCUCUUGGGCAUUCUCGAUGUCGGCCAGCUUCAUGGUGAGCUCCACGUCACACUUGGCUAGCUCGUUCUGAACGGCCUUCAGCUCAUCCUGAGUCUGGCGCCACCAAUCUUGCGCCUCGACAACGCGACCUUCGAAGUCCGCCUCCACUUCCUCCACCACCGCCGCCUUGGACUUGGCCUUGUCCAGGUGAGCGCGGUGGAGAGCCUAGAGUUUCCGAAAGUUGGCACCCAUGGCCCGGAGCAGCCGCUCCUCCUGGGAGCCAUCGCCGUCGAUGCUCGGCUCGUUGACAACGUCGAGCCCGGCGGCGGCAAGCACCUCGCCGUCGAUCAUCUCGCCCUCGAUGGGGGCCCUGGAGCUUGACGCACCUAGGAUAUGGACGAAGAGGUCCUCGCUCACCCUCAGGUACCUGCCGGAGCUGGAGGCAACAAAGGAGGAGGGCUGGUCGUCGACCGCCGCCUCCUCGGCAACGGCCUUGCCGGCCUCUUCGGCAGGCCCCUUGCCGGGCUCCUCAGCAUGCCCCAUGUCGGGCUCUUCAGCGGGCCCCUUGGCGGCGUAUUCAGCGGCACCUGUUGCGUUCUCCUCGGCAGCAAUUUUCUCAGCCUGCGCGGCGGCGUCCUCAGCGAUGUCCUUGACCACGGUGUCAACAUCCUCUAGAUCCAUCGAGGAGAAAUCUGGAUGCCAAGGAGGAAACGAGGCAAAAUUGACAUCAGAGCACAAAAAAGAGAAGAAGAAAAGAUGGAUGUGGAGACAGAGAUCAAAUGGCUUACCCGCGCCAGGACGAGAAGCGGAAGGCCAUUCUCCGCUGAGGUUCGGCGUCGAGGCAAAGCCACCGUCGCCUGUGUUCUCCUCCCCCUCCUCCAUGUGCAUGGUCUCGGUGCUCGGUGCCCUUGCCGGAGACGCCCCUUGGGGUGGUGUGGUUGAUGGAGGCGGCACGAUCGGAGAAGCCCUGUGUGGCUCCCCUUGUUGUUGCUCCCCUCCUGCAUCUGCGGCAUGGUUAGCACUAAAGCAUCGCGUGUGACGGACGCUGAUGAAGGGUGGGUGAUGGACUCACGCUGGGGGCUGGGCCGGGGGCUGCUCUCCGGGCUGGUCGACACCACCAGUGGUGUGCCGGAGGUGCCUGCCGGGGGCUGGCCACUUGCCAAAGUCCUCGUCCUCUUUAUCCUCUGGGCCAGCAUCUCCACAUCCCUGCAAGAUAAAGACAAGUGAGCAACACCGUCAGGAGAAGUGUAAGAAAUGAGGGACGGAAGCAGAAGCUUACUCUUCAUUUUCUUCCUCCUCCUCCUCUGUUGCUUUCCUUUUUCUCUCCGGGCUGAGCGGCCUAGAGUCUCUCUCCGGGCUAAGAGGCCCAAAGUCGAAGGCAAACCCCGUGCCAACAUCUGCCGACGGCGGGGAGGGCGGUGGCGUCUGGGCACGCCUGGACGAUGAGGAAGCAGAUGCCUUCCUCCUUGCUGCCACGGCCUCCACCACCUUCUUCGCGGCCCUCGUCUGGCGUGCCGACGCGAUCUGAGCCAGUCGCAGCUACGCGGCCUGGCCAAGACGAACCGGUUCGCCGGAGAAGGCCCACUGUAGGACUCGCCCCCUCCCAGUGGCAGGAGGGUCAGAGGCCGCGAUCUCCUCCCCUUCAUCCUCCUCCGAAGACCCGUCGACAGCAUCCUCGACGAGGGGGGCCCCAGUGCUGGCGCCGUUGGCCUCCCCAGCGGCCGCCGCCUGCCGGGCAAGGUUCUCCUCCUCUGCUUCUUCCAUGGCACUGUCCACCGUGCCGCCUGCAUUGCCGGCCUCCUCGGCAAGCUUUGCCGACUCCACGGCGAGCCUUGCCUCCCGCACCCUGGCGGCGAUGUAGUCCAGCUCCUCCUAAGAAGUGUCCUGGACGAGCCGCGGCUCAGCGGUGAUGUACGCCUCGUGCAAGGUGUCGAAGAAAUCCUGCACCUUGAGCUCGUCAGGCGCGACCUAGCUCGGGUCAAGUCCAUGUGUGUUGAAAAGCGGCAUCAUGGCGAUGAUCUCCGACCGGCGAGAGUUGUUGCUAAGCGGGACCACUCCCGCCGGCAACUUGAAGACAGGCUCCUUGUCCACCUUGCCGGCCUUCGCGGCAGCUCUUGCCACCUUGCCGGAUAGCUUGACCUCACCUUCUUCAUUGACCUCGAGCUGGAAAAUCCGCUGGAAGAGAUGGGUGUGCCUUAGCACCGUCAGAUUCUGGUCGAGGCCGGGGCGGAGCCUCAUGUUAUCGGCAGCAUUCACAAAAAUCCAGGCUGGCCUCCCCUUGUCAUGCAGAGGAGCUAUUCGACGGUGGAUGAAGUCCGCGCCGAUCAUCUCGAGGGUGAGCCCGACCCGGGUAAGCUGAAGGAUCCUGGUGGUGGCGAUUGUGAGCUUCUCAUCGUCAACGUCGACAUUGCCCCUGUCCUUUCUGCGGACCGGCGGCACCCGAUGGACCUCACAGAAUGCUGGUGGGUUCUCCUCCUUGAUAAAGCACCAUCAGCCCCGCCACUCUUCCCACCUCUCCUUCAUGGCACCAUCCGGGUAUGCUCUCUUGGCCCUUGGGAUCCAAGCGACACUACCAGUGAUGGCGCCUCCCUUUUUGAUCCGAGGGGAGAAGUAGUGGCGGAAGAGCGCCGUGUUGGGAUGCACCCCGGCAAAGCCCUCACAGAGGUGUGCGAAAAGGGCCAUGCACGCCACGGCAUUCGGAGUAAAAUCCAGGAGACGGAAGCCGAAGGUGUGCAUGAUGUUCUUGAAAAAAUCAGAGAAAGAGGGGCAAAGCCCGCAAGAGAAAUAGUCGACGAGAAGGGAUACCGAUUUGGGGCAGGACCGGCGCUGGCAGGGACGACGCGUGUGGCCGGAUGCCUCGUCGUUUCUCCCCCCAUCUUCACCCCCACAGAAUCUUGUAGUACUCCCGGAGCAUGGGUACAUCAACCAUCGACGGAAAGAGGGUGAACUGCGCCUGUCGCGCCACCAGCUCGCUCUCUGACGGCUCCGCCGCGCCGGCAUCUUUGGCUAGCCCCUUUCCUGUGGUGGAUUUGGGCGCCAUUGCGGUCGCGAGAAGCAGAGGGCAGGGGAUGGCAGAAGCGCGUCAACAAUGAGCAGAAGCAGGAGGCUCAAGGAGGAAGAAAGGGGGCGGCGAUUUUCAAGAUUGGGGGAGGCGCAGAAGAAGGGUAAAGUGAGCAGCCGCCCAUGAUUAUUCCUUUUUAUGGGGAAGGCGCGGGCCUCCUCCUUUCCCAUUAACUGCGAUAUGAUGCAUGCUUGCGCUCGCUGUCCCAUGCAUGCCUCCCACGUCACGCACGCUCCCCCACGACGCGCGUCCAACGCGGGUCGUGGGGGAAGCGGAGCGGACGGAGCAGUUACCACGAUAAAAAUCCGCCCCAACUGCCCGCGCACCGUUCUCGGCCUGGCCCAACAACAUGCUGCGCUUAUGUAUGGCCCGGGCCCAGGGGCUCUUGUCGGUGUACAAAAGUAGGGGCUCUGCUUUUGACCCCUUUACUUGUGCAUGGACGGUCAGAGCCACCCGCCACGGCCACGCAUAGCAGGGCAAGAAAGGGAAGUCGGAGAGAAGCCGGAGGCACAAGACAAACAAAGCAACAACAAGAACCAAGGCCACAAAGGUCGCACGGGCGAAGCAGGUUGCCCCGGCAGGGACCCUUGCCGGUGGUAGCCUCAGCGGCCUCGGCAAGACCCUUGCAGGGGAAGCUCGUCCACACCAGCUGAGCGAGCCACCUUCGAGCCCACCAACGCUAAGCAAACGCAUUGGGACAGGGCUCGGGAGGCACCUCCGUGGUGGCAUGCAGAUCUUUUUGAAGACAAAGAACAAUCAAGAUCAAAUAAGGAUAGGAAGGCAACAACCUCAGCAAGGUUCUUGCCGAGGAAGCCCACGAGACCCUCGGCAAGACCCUUGCCGGGGACAACGGCGUGCCGCGGCGAGACCCUUCCCGGGCCACCUGGCAAGGCCCUCGCCCGGCGCACCAGCAGGGCCACUGCCAGGCUCAUGCCAGCCAAGUCUCCGCCGCCAUUCGCAUGCAGCUCCCAACCCAACCAGCUGGGCAGGCACCUGCAUGGCAACAUGCAGCCCUUCGUGGAGGCUCCACCACCGCGCCACCUCAGCUGCCUGCCUGCCUACAUGGCACCGCAUGCAUCGCUGGCUAGGGCGCGUGUCGAAGCAAGGAGGAGUGGCGAUGGACGGGCCGGGCCUCGCUCCCGUCCCCGAUAAAGUGAAGGGACACCUAAGCCUCGAAUUAAAUGCGCCUUGUGCUAUAAUACUAGCGAUAAGCUCACAAUGCUGUAGCACUUUCCACCUCAUGUGUGCCACUGUGGCAGCCCCUUCCGCCUAUAAAAGGAGGCCCAUGGCGCACCAAAGAGGGAUUGGGAUCUUUGGAACCUGGCAACACCCAGAGCUAGUUCAAGAGCUCAAGAACACUAAAUACAUCCACCAAAGCAGGAUCGUAGGGUUUUACGCAUCUUUGCGGACCGAACCUGGGUAAAUCCCCUUUGUGUUGUCUACUAGUCCCGCUCUUCUCAUGAUCCCACGCCCCGCAACCAUAAUAGGGAUUCCAGUGAUCCCAUAGGUGUCGUUCACCACCGACAGGCAUAUUACAUCCACUGGGCAUCAAAGUUCGCCACUUUGAUAAUAAAGCACAAGCAGACAGCAGAUUACAUACACUGGGCAUCAAAGAUCGCCACCAGUGCAAAUAAACACGUCGACAAAAUAAUAUACAAAACCGAUAGCACUUCAAUAGAGUUCAAGAAAGGUUAGCCCUGCUGGGGAGCUGCAGCGUAAGCAGCUGAGCAAAAUGAUGAGACUGGGCUUGUUCAACACUUAUAUCUUCCUCACUCUGAAAGAUAAACAAGCAGACAGAUGAUAGGUUUUGCACAUAAAAGUAUCAGUGCUAACAAUUCAUCACAUUUCUUACUGACGAAUAAAGUGACACAGUUUAAAAUUGCAUUAACACAAUAUGGUAUUAUUCAGGUCAAGACAUGGCAGGAAAUGACAUUGUGAAGGAGUUGGCAGCUUCACGACACUACUGAAUUACAGAUCAAGAACUCAUAAGUAUCAAUGGUUAGUGUGCUAUCAAUUUAUCCCAUUUCAGAUUGGCCAAUAAAGAGAUGGUUUAAAUAAUAGUAGAAUGAUAUGACAUUGUUCAUAGUUAAGACAUUGCAGAAUAUGACAUUGUGCUGUAAUGGGUAGGUUCACCACACCAUUGGAUUACAGAUGAAGAACAGAAGCAUACAUGCAGUGCAAAAGAAGAUCACUUGCUAUGUAUAGUUUAAUUUACAUGGUAUGAAGAAGGAACUUGGUUGUACAACUGAAAACUUAAAUUGGGAAGGACAAACUUUUGUUUAUGAACUACAUAAUAAACUUUAAACAUGCAAUUUGAUGCAAACACCAAAAAUAAACAGCCGUUGCAGUCAUGCCUAACCAAAUAAACACAACAAAGUUUGAAGGCUUGAGAAGGAAAAACUUACAUUACUGGUGAAGACGGGCUCUAUAAAGCCCUUGUCCAUGCUGAUGGGGGGGGGGGGGCAAUUCAAGAAGUUUACCACAUAAUCUUCUUCAUAAGCAUUGCCUUUAUUCUACAUUUUGUUAAGAGUAAAUAUAGAUGUGAUAAUAUACGAAAAAAUGGAGAAUACUUAAGAUAAGAUGAAGGGUGAUGCUACAUAACCAAGUAGCUAUAAAUGUAUGUGCAGCGAUACAGGCAAAAGGCACAGCCAAGAGCAAUGCGCAGCUAAACUUCUUCAGUGCCGACCUUAUGUUAAGAGUAAAUAUAGAUCUGAUGUGUAGAAAUGGAGGGCAAAGGAAAAUAAGAUGCAGAGUGAUGGUACAUGAACAACGACCUGUCAAUAUAAGUACACUGAUAAAGGACAGCAUGUACUUACAAGAAUAAUGCAGAGCUAAAAAAAUUCAUUGGCAUUGGAUAUAUUCUACACUAAUCUAACCAUUCAUACAUAUCAGAUAUUUUGGAGCGAACAAUUGAUAAGCAAUCUAUCAUGCAUACUGCUAUCACAUAAUGAACCAGGUAUGUAUGCAAGUACAGUGAUACAGGACAACAGGUACUAACAAGAGGAAAGCAGCGGGCAGCAUAUUUGUGAUAUCUUGUCGUUCUUUUCAAACUAGAAUUCUUCUUCGAGUAGAUUUCCUGCAAAAAAGAUCUGUAAGGCACAUGCGGAACAGUAGAAGUUCAAAUUGUCAUGUGAUUUCAUAGACAGUACCUCAUCCUGGGCAUGAGACCAGUGCAUAACAAGGUUUUUCCAUUCAAUGUCUUCUAAAUUUAGCACAGGAGACUUCACCGGAAAUUCGUUUACAGACUUGCCAUCAAAGUGUGAUUUCCUCAGGUAACAUCGAUACUGCUGCAAUGCUUCCUUGAAAAGCACAAGCAAGCUUUGCUCGUCAUGACUAUCCAGAUUGACCCUCGCCUAGUUACAACAAUGUAAUGUAAAUCAUUGAUGUGUUCAAUCAGCAGAAAACAGGAAAAUAAUAACCAUGAAUAAUAGCACUUACACGUAAGUUGGACAGGAAGAUGUGAAAAUGGUGUUUGUCUUCACUAUAAUCUUCCCAUGAUGGGAAUAUAUGCACGUAGUCCCUAACAACAUUGAAAGCAUUGUCUUUUAAACUGGGAAUAAAUGGACUGGGGUUCCAAUCUAUAGGAAUUGGCCGUCUCUGCAGUUGGGAUAGGUCUUCGGCCGGUGGACUUGCUGUACUUUUUGCUGGAGUGGGAUUUUUCUGCGGUACGGCUGGUGCUAUGGCAAAUAAAAUUUGUGUACCUUUUGCUGGAGUGCAGGUCCUGUGUGGUGGGGCUAGUGGUGUGGCCAGUGAAGUAUGGGUACAGUCUGCUGGAGUCGGUCCUACGUUUUGUGCUUCUGGUUGUACAACCAAUAUAAGUGGGGUGCUAUCUGAUUUCUCCGGCACCACCACGUUUUUCAAGGACUUUGCUGGUGCUCCUUCAGGUUCGGCAAUCACCCUCUUCCUUUUUGAUGUCUGAUGCACAAGAACAACAUUUGAGUGGAAAAACAUGGUAUGAUGACAGAUGGAAUAUGUAUUGAUAAUGGAUGGGCAUGGCAUCUCGAGUUAUAUGAUGAGUAAACUAAGCAGAUGGCGGUGCAACAAAGUAGAAGAAAUGCAAGACAACAAAUGCAAGAUACGCGCAAUCAAUAAAACCUUGCCAAAUUAGAAUAGGCACCUUGAUGGGUGAACAGGACAGGCCAUUUGCCUUUGACUCCUCGAGGUUAGAAUAGUCAUUAGGGUGAUAUUCUGAACAAGAAUAAAUAGGUGGGGAGCGUAUGAGUUUCAUUGCAUUCAGAAUGGCACUCAAUGCCUUGGUGCCAAUUUUUUAAGUCAUUGCAGUGUUCCAUAAUAUUCUUCUGAUGCGCGGAUACUAAUAUUCACUAUAAUUGCGUAUAAUAUCUGAGAACCAUGAAAACAUAAAUAGUUGUGAGAUUAUCUUUGUAAUGCAGAUGAUAUUCUAAUAUAGGGGCGCCCCUGUAAACACUUGUGUGCUAUCACUGGAUUCUGAUGAGAGAGCUCAUGUGUGCUGUAAUAUGGUGCGUGCAUUUAUAUAAUCUGGCACAAGUACACAAAAAAAUAGGCUCCAGAAGUAAGGAUAGUUGGCAGAUGAUAGGUUCAUAAUAUAAUGUAUAGAAAGUUUAUUGCCAAACCAUAAUAACAAGAACACACAUCAACUAGGUAGAUCAUAGUGUACAUAACAGGGGUACACCAUAACCAUGAUAUAUAAAUCGGGAAAGUGGAAAUGGCUUGAAAAUACGGUGUUGUAUUGCCGCUAGUAACUGAAAGCCUAUUGAUCACGUACAGGCCAGCUCUAUCAGUUGUUGACUGCAGAUGUCCCUGCGCCCCUUCCUGACAAGGAACAUACCGUACAUACUAAAUACAGAAUAAACAAAGAGGAACAUGUUAAAGAACAGAAGAGGAAGCAUAUUCUUGAGGUUCCGCUUCAUUGCAUACAAUGUUGGUUGCCCACUCAUGAUGAAUCACAGCGCCCAAAGAAAUGCAAUUCCAUGUUGUCUCUCUAUAUGUGGCAAUUUUGAACAAGAGUCAUUAGGAUCAUAUUCUGAACAAGAUUCAACAGGUGGGUUGCGUAUGAGUUUCAUUGCAUCCAGAAUGGCACUCAAUGCCUUGGUGCCAAUUUUGUAAGUCAUUGCAGUGUUUAGCUUCAAGAGUGGACUGCUGCUAGUGCGACACAAAGCAGCUACACAGAUCAUAGUGUAGAUAUAACGGGAAAACCUUAAGCAUUAGAGUAAAAUCAGCAAAGAGGAACUUGCUGGAAUAUAUGUGCUAGUAUUGCCGGUACGGCUAGAAAGGCUUCGGAUACCAGCUCUCUUCAAGUGAAGGUGCGAUACUGUUAAUAUCAGUGUAACUCUCAAAGGUGACAUAGCUGCCCGCAUUUCCUUGCUAUUCUUAUAGGAUUCAAGUGGGCAGGCCACUACAAAUCAUAUUCCUAUGUUUACAAAAUCCUAUGAAUCAAAGAGGCUCAAAGUGUCCAUCACAACUGACCGUAUAGACGUCUACACUGCAAAUGUCCCUACUCAUUGAUACGUCUCCAACAUAUCUACUUUUCCAAACACUUUUGCCCUUGUUUUGGACUCUAACUUGCAUGAUUUGAAUGAAACUAACCUGGACUGACGCUGUUUUCAGCAGAACUGCCAUGAUGUUGUUUUAUGUGUAGAAAAGAAAAAGUUCUCGGAAUGUCUUGGAAAUCCACGGAGGCACUUUUUGGAAUUAAUAAUAUUUUUUGGCGAAAGAAUUAAUGCCAGGGGGCCCACAACCUGUCCACGAGACAGGGGGCGCCCCCCUAGGGCACGGCCUCCUAUCUCUUGGGCCCCCUGGACCUCCUCCGACCUCAACUCCAACUCUAUAUCUUCCGUCUCGGGGAGAAACAAAUCAGAGAGAAAGUUUCAUCGCGUUUUACGACACGGAGCCGCCGCCAAGCCCUAAUCUCUCUCGGGAGGGCUGAUCUGGAGUCCGUUCGGGGCUCCGGAGAGGGGGACUCGUCGCCGUCGUCAUCAUCAACCACCCUCCUUCACCAAUGUCAUGAUGCUCACCACCGUGCAUGAGUAAUUCCAUCGUAGGCUUGCUGGACGGUGAUGGGUUGGAUGAGAUUUACCAUGUAAUCAAGUUAGUUUUGUUAGGGUUUGAUCCCUAGUAUCCACUAUGUUCUGAGAUUGAUGUUGCUAUGACUUUGCUAUGCUUAAUGCUUGUCACUAGGGCCCGAGUGCCAUGAUUUCAGAUUUGAACCUAUUAUGUUUUCAUGAAUAUAUGUGUGUUCUUGAUCCUAUCUUGCAAGUCUAUAUUCACCUAUUAUGUAUUAUGAUCCGACAACCCCGGAGUGACAAUAAUCGGGAUACUUCUCGGUAUUGACCGUAGUUUGAGGAGUUCAUGUAUUUACCAUGUGUUAAUGCUUUGGUCCGGUUCUCUAUUAAAAGGAGGCCUUAAUAUCCCUUAGUUUCCGUAAGGACCCCGCUGCAACGGGAGGGUAGGACAAAAGAUGUCAUGCAAGUUCUUUUCCAUAAGCACGUAUGACUAUUUACGGAAUACAUGCCUACAUUACAUUGAUGAAUUGGAGCUAGUUCUAUAUCACCCUAUGUUAUAACUAUUGCAUGAGGAAUCGCAUCUGGCAUAAUUAUCCAUCACUGAUCCAUUGCCUACGAGCUUUUCAUAUAUUGUUCUUCGCUUAUUUAUAUUUACUGUUGCUACCGUUACCUUUAUUAUCAUACCACUUUUGCUACUAAAUACUUUGCUGCAGAUACUAAGUUAUCCAGGUGUGGUUGAAUUGACAACUCAACUGCUAAUACUCAAGAAUAUUCUUUGGCUCCCCUUGUGUCGAAUCAAUAAAUUUGGGUUGUACUUCACCGUCGAAAGUUGUUGCGAUCCCCUACACUUGUGGGUUAUCAAGACUAAUUUCUGGCGCCGUUGUCAGGGAGCAUAGCUCUAUUCUCUGAGUCACUUGGGAUUUAUAUCUGUUGAUCACUAUGAAGAACUCGAAAGAUGCUAAGACCAAGAUUUUUCCCUCAACUACGAGGGGGGGUAAGGAAUUGCCAUCUAGCUCUACACUAGAUUCUCCUUUCGUAAUUAGUAGGCUUGCGACACCUAAACCUGCUACUGCUAUGAAUUCUGAUAUGUCGUAUGUUAUUGAUGAUGCCACUUCUGCUAUGCAUGAUGAAACUACUUCUGUGCGUGAUACUACUUUGCCAUUAGGUGAAUUUCUAGAUGAACAACUUGCUAGAGUUAGGGGGAAUGAAAAUAUUGAAGAACCUAUUAUUGAUGAUAGUGAUGAUGAAUGUUCCCCCAAUGAUUAUGCAUUACCUGUUGUUCCUAAGGGUUAUGUUAUGAAUGAAGCAGCUGCUAUGGAAACUCUUGCUUGCAAUGAUAGAAAUGAUCUUAAGAAAUUAUUAGCUAAAUGGAAGCAGCAGUCUCUUAAUGCUAAGAUGAAACCCGAUCCUGCUUUUGCUACUUCACCUAUCUGUGUUACUGAUAAGGAUUAUGAAUUCUCUGUUGAUCCUGAGAUUAUUACUUUAGUUGAAUCCGAUCCUGUUUAUGGCCUUGAAUCAAAAACUGUUGUGGCACAUCUUACCAAGUUGAAUGAUAUAGCCACCCUAUUUACUCAUGAUGAGAAGUCUCGCUAUUUAUACAUCCUUAAGAUAUUCCCGUUCUCAUUAAAGGGUGAUGCUAAGACUUGGUAUAAUUCUCUUGCUCCUGGUUGUGUGCGUAGUCCCCAGGAUAUGAUUUAUUACUUCUCUGCUAAAUAUUUCCCUGCUCAUAAGAAACAAGUUGCCUUACGGGAAAUAUAUCAUUUUGUGCAAAUCAAAGAAGAGAGUCUCUCACAAGCUUGGGGGAGGCUUCUCCGGUUACGUAAUGCUUUGCCUGAUCAUCCUCUUAAGAAAAAUGAAAUAAUUGAUAUCUUUUAUAAUGGACUAACCGAUGCUUCCAAGGACCACUUGGAUAGUUGUGCUGGUUGUGUUUUCAGGGAAAGAACAGUCGACGAAGCUGAAAUAUUAUUGAAUAAUAUGUUGACUAAUGAAAAUAAUUGGACUCUUCCUGAGCUAGUUCCUGAAGUAAUUCCUGAACCAAUUGAGCCAACUCCAGAGCCUAUUCCUAAACCCACUCCAAAGAAGAGAGGUGUUUUAUUUCUCGGUCCUGAAGAUAUGCAAGAGGCAAAGAAGUCAAUGAAAGAAAAAGGUAUUAAAGGUGAAGAUGUUAAGAAUUUACCACCUAUUGAAGAAAUACAUGGUCUUAAUUUACCGCCUGAAGAACCACAUUGUCUUGAUAACCCGACACAUGUAGUAAAGGUAAAUUCUCUCUAUAGAUAUGAUAAAGUUGAAAUACCCUCUACUAAAUUUCAUAGCCCAUGCUUAGAUGAAUUUGAUUACUUUAUGGCUAGACAAGAAAGUUUUAAUGCUUAUGUUGGUAGAGAGUUAAAGAAUAAUGCUUUCGAGAUAGGACGCGUAGGUGAUAAUCUAGCUAGAGUUAAAGAUGAACUUCACCGUGUUAGCAAAUAUGCUUCUAUGGUUGCUACUCAAGCUGAGCAAGUACUCAAAGCUCAAAAUGAUUUGCUUGAUGAAUUGAAUAAUAAAAAUGACUUUCCCGUUAGAGUGGCUACUAGAACUGGUAGAAUGACUCAGGAAUCUUUGUAUCCUGAAGGCCACCCUAAGAGAAUCGAGCAAGAUUCUCAGAGAAAUAACUUAGAGACACCUAGUUUUUCUAAGAAGAAGAAAAAGAAAAACGAUAGAACGUUGCAUGCUUCUAGUGAACCUACUGUAGACACACCUGAGAAUCCCAAUGAUAUAUCUAUUUCUGAUGCUGAAACACAAUCAGGUGAUGAACAUGAACCUAGUGAUAAUGUUAAUGAUAAUGUUCAUGUUGAUACUCAACCUAGCAAAAACAAUGAUGUAGAGAUUGAACCUGCUGUUGAUCUUGAUAACCCACAAUCAAAGAAUCAACAUUAUGAUAAGAGAGAUUUUGUUGCUAGGAAGCACGGGAAAGAAAGAGAACCAUGGGUUCAGAAACCCAUGCCCUUUCCUCCUAAACCAUCCAAGUCAAAGGAUGAUGAGGAUUUUGAGCGCUUUGCUGAAAUGAUUAGACCUAUUUUCUUAUGUAUGCGCUUAACUGAUAUGCUUAAAGUAAAUCCCUAUGCUAAGUAUAUGAAGGAUAUCAUCACAAAUAAAAGAAAGAUACCGGAAGCUAAAAUUUCCACCAUGCUUGCUAAUUACACUUUUAAGGGUGGAAUACCAAAGAAACUUGGAGAUCCGGGUGUUCCAACUAUGCCAUGCUCCAUUAAAGGAAAUUAUGUCAGAACUGCUUUAUGUGAUCUUGGAGCCGGUGUUAGUGUUAUGCCUCUCUCUUCAUAUCGUAGAGUUGAAUUGAAUAAGUUUACACCUACUGAAAUAUCUUUGCAAAUGGCUGAUAAAUCAACUGCUAUACCUGUCGGUAUUUGUGAGGAUGUGCCUGUUGUGGUUGCAAAUGUCACUAUCUUGACGAACUUUGUUAUUCUUGAUAUUCCCGAGGACGAUAGUAUGUCUAUUAUCUUUGGUAGACCUUUCCUUAAUACUGCAGGGGCUGUUAUUGAUUGCAACGAAGGCAAUGUCACUUUUCAUGUUAAUGGCAAUGAGCAUACAGUACACUUUCCGAGGAAACAAUCUCAAGUUCAUAGCAUCAAUUCUAUUGAAAUAGUUCCAACUAUCAUUUCUGGAGGUUUUGAAUUUCCUCUCCCUACUGUCAAGAAAAAGUAUGAUAUUCUUAUUGUUGGGGAUUUUCAUAUCCCUGUUGAGGUAACUUAGUGUUACUCGAAAUUUCUCCGGUUCCGUGUUAUUAGGAAUGAGUUUGUUAACAAGACUUGAUCAACCUUGUUAGCAGGUUCAUUUUGAUGAUCACGAGAUGGAUGAAACUAGAAGGCACAACCUUCUGUUCCCUCUUUUUACUUUUUGUUAUUUAGAAUAAAUAAAGCAAAAAUAGUAUUAUCCAUCUGUUUUCUGAAUUAUCCGUGCAUUAAAAAAUAGUCCGAAAAUAAAAGUGCCCCAAAUGCCCUGCAAAUUUAGUAUGAUUUUUUCUGGAAUAUUUGAGCUUUUAGGCACUGAAAACACUACAGGAGGGGCAAGCACCAAGCCACGAGAGAGGAGGGCGCCCCCCCCCUAUAGGGUGCGCCCCCUGUCUCAUGGGCCCCUGGUGGCUCCCCUUCACUUAUGCCAGCACCCACACACUCCAUCUUCUACUCAAAAAAUCCCCAUCCAGCUCAAGCACGAGUUCUAGCUCGUUUUGCUGUGAUUUUUGAUCUCUUAGCUCAAAGCUCCAUUCACAAAACUGCUUUGGGAGAUUGUUGCUUGGUAUGUGACUCCUCCAUUGGUCCAACUAGUUUUUGUUCUAGUACUUUAUUCAUUGCAAAUUUUUGCUGCUUAGGUGACCAUGUUCUUGAGCUUGCAUGUUAUAUUUUUGAGGUCCCAAGCAAUUCCAAUGCUUGAUAUAGGCUCUAGGCACUUGUAGGAGUAGUUGCUAUCAAUCUUGUUUAGUUUUAUCCACUUUUAUUUUGAAGUUACUAAAAUUUCAGAAAUUUUCAGAAAAAGAAUUAUGCUUAGAAGAAUGUACCAAGGAGGUUCCUCGGCAAAGAAAGGGCCAAGAAUUGCUAUACGUGAACAAGAUGUUAAUUUGCCAAGGGACGCAAUUGUACGGGCUUGUGAGUGGCCAUCCGAUGAUUUUAUGGUCGAAGCAGGCUUUAAGGAAGAAUUUGACGCGUAUGUGCAUAAUGCCGAGCUGGAGGACUUCUUACAAGAUGAUUGUCCUCAAUAUUAUCAAUUGACCGAUUCCUUUGUGCGGAGGUCCGAAUAUAUUUCUGCGCGUAAUUCUUCUAGUGUCAUGUUUGAUAUUUAUGAUACAUCUUAUACCAUGGAUUUAGAGGAUUUCACAACUGCUUGCAAACUCCCUCAGUGGGGUAAUAUCAAUGAUCCUCGCAAAUCUGAAUUUAGAGAUUUUCUUGCUAGUAUUACUGUGGGAGAAUCUAGGGACAUAGCACAAGCUACCAUAGGGAGCAUUCAUUUUCCUGCUUUACAUUACUUUGCUCUCUUUAUUGGUAGAUGCAUUAACGGCAAGGACGAGGUAUGUCACAUGUGUACCCCUGAUCUUUGUGUCCUCAAGCGUGUUGUGUCAGGUUAUAAAGGUUAUAACUUGGGGGCAAUAGUUGCACGUAGGUUGCAGAAUAAUAGUAAAAGGGGAAAUUUCUUUGGAGGAAUUUAUGCAACCCGUGUGGCUAGUUUUCUUAAUAUAGCUCCACGAGAGGGGGAUAUGAUUAUAGCUCCUGUUUAUUUGGAUAAAGAAGCUAUGUUUGAUCAUCAUUUUCUUGAGAGGAAUGAACAAUUCCUCCAUUAUCGACUAAUCUAUGACAGACGCAACGUCGUCCCUGUUAUUCUUCCUGCUCCCUGCCUUUUUGAUUAUCAGGCAAAAGGAUGAUAUGUUAUCACCAGGGAAGAAGCAGCUGAUUACGAGAGGGGAAUGGAGGCAGCUCGUCAACACGUUGUAGCCCAGGAGGUGGUCCCCUCUGCAUCUCAGUACUACCCCAGUUUCACUUAUGGAUAUCAGCCAGGCGGUACUUGGUAUUAAACCAACUUAGGCCAAAAGCCUAAGCUUGGGGGAGUAUGUAUUUCUCACCGACUUUAUAUUCAUGUUCACACACUAGUCGUCGGUGCUCAUACUCUUUCAUUGUAUUAUCACUAGUUUAAUUUCCUUUUUCUUGCUUUCUUCUUGUGAGUUUGAUAAACCUUAAGAAAAACCAAAAAAAUAGUUAGUUUAAUUUCCAUGCUUACAGUAGAAAUUAAAUUGAAAAACCCAAAAAUAUUUCUCGUUCUUCUUCUUACUUGUUGGGAGCUUUCCCGUGUAAAUAGUUUUAUUUUCUUUUAUUUACUUUGGGGGUCGAGAGUAGAAGACCAUAUUGAAAAUGUUUAGUGGCUUUCAUAUGCAUGAUCGUUUAUUUAACCUAGAGCCCGUAUUACUUUGUCUUCUCUCUUGAGUUGAAUGCUUGCAGAUUCCAGCUUAGUCCAAUGCACCUGCACUAUUAUUAUUAUACACAUCGUUCGGUCGUGCAAGUUAAAGGCAAUAAUGACGAUAUAUGAUGGACUGAUUGAGAUGAGAGAAGCUGGUAUGAACUCGACCUCUCUUGUUUUUGUAAAUAUGAUGAUUUCAUCAUUCCUGAUUUAGCAUAUUAUGAAGUAAACAUAUUUGCAAUGACAUUUAGAGAAUAUAGUUGCUUGUGCCAUGCUUGAUUAGCUAUGAGUUAUAAUGGUUUACCUUGCGUGCCAACAUGCUAUUAGAAUGAUUAUGAUGUGGUAUGAUGGAAUGGUAUCCUCCUUUGAAUUAAUUGAGUGACUCGACUUGGCACAUGUUCACGCAUGUAGUCGAAACAAAUCAACAUAGCCUUCAUGAUAUUUAUGUUCAUGGUAGAUUAUAUCCUACUCAUGCUUGUACUCGGUGUGAAUUAAUUUCAAUGCAUGUUCAUGACUGUUGUCGCUCUCUCAGUUUGUCGCUUCCCAGUCUUUUGCUAGCAUUCACCUGUACAAAGCGGGAAUACUGCUUGUGCAUCCAAACUCCUUAAACCCCCAGAGUUAUUCCAUAUGAGUCCACCAUACCUUCCUAUAUGCGGUAUUUACCUGCCGUUCCAACUAAAUUUGUAUGUGCCAAACUCCAAACCUUCAAAUGAAAUUCUGUUUUGUAAGCUCAAGCAGCUCAUGUUUCAACUAGGGAUGCCUAUAUCUUCUAUGCUAGGUGGGUUAUUCUCAAGAGUAGUGGACUCCGCUCCUCAUUCACGAGAAGGGGCCAGUAACCAGGAUGCCCAGUCCCAUGAUCCAAAAAGAUCAAAGCAAAUCAAAUUAAUUAAACAAAACUCCCCCAGGGAUGUUGUAUGUUGGAGGCACUCGUUGUUUCGAGAAAGCCAUGGAUUGAUGCUUGUUGGUGGUUGGGGGAGUAUAAACCUUUACCAUUCUGUUUGGGAAUUGCCUAUAAUGCAUGUAGUAUGGAAGAUAUAGCCAUCACUUAGGUGUUGCGUUGAUAGCAAAAGUAUGCCGCUCAAAAUGUUAUUCAAUCUCUAUUUUAAAAUCGAGCUCUGGCACCUCUACAAAUCCCCGCUUCCCUCUGCGAAGGUCCUAUCUAUUUACUUUUAUGUUGAGUCAUCACCCUUCUUAGUAAAAGCACCCGCUGGAGAGCACACUGUCAUUUGCAUGUAUUACUAUUGGUUUAUAUUGGGUAUGACUUCACUGGAUCUCUUUUACCAUGAAUUACAAUGUUUAGUCAGUCCAUGAUCUUUAAAGGUGCUCUGCAUUUAUGGUUUGCGGUCUCAGAAAGGGCUAGUGAGAUACCAUUUUGUUAUAUCAUGUUAUAAUUAUUUUGAGAAAGUGUUGUCAUCCGAGUUUUAUUAUUAUGGCUCGCUAGCUGAUUAUGCUAUUGAUAUGAGUGAUUGUGAGAGCUAAGUAUUAUUGUGAGUAUGGUUAGUUCAUAAUAUUUGCUGAAACUUGAAUGUUGGUUUUUCAUGUUUACAACAACAAGAGCAAACAGAGUUUGUAAAAGUUUUUCUUUAUCACUUUCAGUUUAUCAACUGGAUUGCUUGAGGACAAGCAAAGGUUUAAGCUUGGGGGAGUUGAUACGUCUCCAACGUAUCUACUUUUCCAAACACUUUUGCCCUUGUUUUGGACUCUAACUUGGAUGAUUUGAAUGAAACUAACCCGGACUGACGUUGUUUUGAGCAGAACUGCCAUGAUGUUGUUUUAUGUGUAGAAAAGAAAAGUUCUCGGAAUGUCCUGGAAAUCCACGGAGGCACUUUUUGGAAUUAAUAAGAAUUUUUGGCGAAAGAAUUAAUGCGAGGGGGCCCACAGCCUGUCCAUGAGACAGGGGGGCGCCCCCCCCCCCUAGGGCGCGGCCUCCUAUCUCGUGGGCCCCCUGGACCUCCUCCGACCUCAACUCCAACUCUAUAUCUUCCGUCUCGGGGAGAAAAAAUUCAGAGAGAAAGUUUCAUCGCGUUUUACGACACGGAGCCGCCGCCAAGCCCUAAUCUCUCUUGGGAGGGCUGAUCUGGAGUCCGUUCGGUGCUCUGGAGAGGGGGAUUCGUCGUCGUUGUCAUCAUCAACCAUCCUCCAUCACCAAUUUCAUGAUGCUCACCGCCGUGCGUGAGUAAUUCCAUUGUAGGCUUGCUGGACGGUGAUGGGUUGGAUGAGAUUUACCAUGUAAUCAAGUUAGUUUUGUUAGGGUUUGGUCCCUAGUAUCCACUAUGUUCUGAGAUUGAUGUUGCUAUGACUUUUCUAUGCUUAAUGCUUGUCUCUAUGGCCCGAGCGCCAUGAUUUCAGAUCUGAACCUAUUAUGUUUUCAUGAAUAUAUAUGUGUUCUUGAUCCUAUCUUGCAAGUCUAUAGUCACCUAUUAUGUAUUAUGAUCCGACAACCCCGAAGUGACAAUAAUCGGGAUACUUCUCGGUGAUAACCGUAGUUUGAGGAGUUCAUGUAUUUACCAUGUGUUAAUGAUUUGGUCUGGUUCUCUAUUAAAAGGAGGCCUUAAUAUCCCUUAGUUUCCGUAAGGACCCCGCUGCAACAGGAGGGUAGGACAAAAUAUGGCAUGCAAGUUCUUUUCCAUAAGCACGUAUGACUAUUUACGGAAUACAUGCCUACAUUACAUUGAUGAAUUGGAGCUAGUUCUAUAUCACCCUAUGUUAUAACUAUUGCAUGAGGAAUCGCAUCCGGCAUAAUUAUCCAUCACUGAUCCAUUGCCUACGAGGUUUUCAUAUAUUGUUCUUCGCUUAUUUAUCUUUACUGUUGCUACCGUUACCUUUAUUAUCAUACCACUUUUGCUACUAAAUACUUUGCUGCAGAUACUAAGUUAUCCAGGUGUGGUUGAAUUGACAACUCAACUACUAAUACUCGAGAAUAUUCUUUGGCUCCCCUUGUGUCGAAUCAAUAAAUUUGGGUUGUACUUCGAAAGCUGUUGCGAUCUCCUACACUUGUGGGUUAUCACUCAUCUUCAGUACAAGGAACAUAUUGUACUACUAUCAUACUCCCUCCAUUCCAAAAUAUAAGUCUUGGUAGAGAUUUCCACUAUGGAUCACAUACAGAUGUAUCCAAAUACAUUUUAGAGUGUAGAUUCACUCAUUUUGCUCCAUAUGUAGUCCAUGGUGGAAUCUAUACAAAGACUUGUAUUCAGGAACGGAGAGAGUACAUAUUAAAGAAGAACGGAAGAGGAACAUGGUAAAGAAGAGCAAGCAGAUUUUGGAUAAUAAAAUGUUGGUUGCGCAGUGCCCAACAUGAUGAACCAGAGCGCAUUAAGAAUGCAACUCCCAGCUGUCUCUCGACCAUUUCAGGCGGUUGGAUGAAGAUCCUACGUCUCCUAACCCUUCUUCUUCCUCGUCUCUGAUUCUUCCCAUACAGAACACCGCACGGGCCGCCGGCCGGACCACCGGCCCCCACCGCAUGUGUUCCUCCGCCAACCCCACCCCCCAUCCCCGCCCCAACCCCCACCCAUUUCGAGUUUUAUUCGUGCGUCGAGGCCCCACAACCACCCGAGCCCCUUCGUUCGCACCGGCGAACUCCAGCGAGCUUUGAAAAAUCGACUGACCCAAUUUUGAAAUUUAGUCUACUGUGAUUUAACUAGUGUGGAAUAUAAAAGGGGAAAACCAUAAGCAUUGGGAGUAUAGUGUUGAGCGUGCCAUGGCGGAUCUGAUGGUGCAAACCGGACAAAGGCAACUUCGCAACCAAGACAAGAAAUCAGAGUAAAGCAGUGGCGAUCUAUUUUCUUGCUGCGAUAAAUAAGUUGAGCAGAUACGAAAGAGUACCGCCUCUGGUGCGGUAUCAUGUAUGCAUCUGCUGAGAAUUUGACGGUGCUACGGUAGCGAUGGCUGUCGGUAGCGUGGAAGCGGAUCUAGGAGGGUAGAAGGUGGUGGCGGGGCGCGGUGGACGAGACAAUCAUAGGAGCGGCACCGACAAGGUGGACGGCAGCGGGGAUGAAGCGAGAGGACGGGAUGCAAGGAUCCCGGUCCAAAGCCGUGGAUGAGAGAGGUCGAUCUCUUGUAAUGGACGGCGGCAUCGGUGUAUUAGCUCCUGCAUGGUGGAGGAGGGUGGCGGUGGAUGGGGUGGCAGAUGGCAGCGGAUGGAGGAGGCUGGGGUGGAGAGGGUGUUUUGGCACCCACAGAGUACAAAUGGGGAAAAGGGAGGCCGAGAGGAAGGGGGGACCAUGUAUUCAGGGCACGCUUGUCUCAAAUGCGAGGAAAUUUACAAACUUAGCCCCCGUUUCAAAUUUCCUACAUCACAGCAAUAUUAUUCGGUUGGGGAUAGGACGGUAAUCUCGCAUACACCGAAUAUUUGCCAACGAGAGUUUAUUUUUAGCGUCCACCGUGUAUGAAUAUGAAUCGGGGAGGGAGUCGAUCUCGGCCGAGCACACACUGUGUUGGCGCUCACCGUGUAUGAAUCCGGGUGAGAGGCGGUUACGUCACGUUUGGGUGAAAUUACAAACCUACCCCUAUCGAAACCUAUAGAAAUCCAGCAGAUAGGCUUUGCGUGGCAGGGAUAGGCAGUAGUAAUUUCCAUCUCGCAGAUUUUGGUUUCGGGCGGUUACUGCGACUUUCCCCGCUUCAUUCAAAUUUUGCAGAGUGCAUGUUUACCGUGCCAACUCAAUUCGAAUCCCAUUUGUAUUCUAAUUUUUUUCGGGCGAGAUCCAUUUUCAAUUGGAAUUAAAUUCUAUAUACAUCAUUUUUUUUAUAUAUACUUUCAAAAGCGCAACACCAUUUAUACAUAAAUAUGGUUUACAAAUGGCAUGAUCUCAGAUUCAUAAGGUUGUAUCCAUCAAUUUGGAUUUUCAAAUAUUUGAAACCACUUUAUGUUGAAAUCCAAUGUAUGCAUUCCUCGCUAAUUGUCUCCAAUUAAUGUGUGUUUCAUGCGGGGUUUUUUACUUCUCAAACAUGUAUAAUGUGUUUCACACACGCAACAUAUAUUGUAAUCCCGUUUAGACAUUAAUUGCAUAUAAACCAUGCAUUGUUUGUAAUUAAAGAAUCUAUGGAUCACUAAUAUUGAUAAACUAUAUAACAUUACACGUGUGCCCAAAUUCAAAUGAAUAUGCAUGUUUGAUACUCCAAUUUGUGUUAUGAUAUUAUCGAUGUCGUGAUCUCCAGUUUAAAUAUUUGAAUCCCCUUUAAUCCAAAUAUGUGUCUCAUAUAGCUAUCACUCAUGCUUAUAUAGGACUAUCUCUCUGGACCUAUACACGUUCAUCGUCUCUCAGGUAUCUCUCGUGCUACCUGUAUGUCGACAAUGAUCUUUUAUCUUUGUAACACACUGACGGUACUAUCUCCCUCGACCUUCAUCCCUCUAUCUCUCUCUAAGUACAUCUCGCUCCCUGCUAUGUGUCUCUAACUAUGAUUCUCCAUGUGGAAUCUCUUUCUCUCACACAAACACAAAACUCUGGCUCCCGGGAUCUCAUUUCUCUCUACUAUUCCCAUGUGUGCCACUCGCACACCCCUCAUAUAGAGAUGUCUUUCGCUCCUUAGAUAUGAGAACCUACGACUCUUCCUCUUAAAUAUUUCUUUCUCACACACAAACACAAACUCUCUCUCCUAGGGUCUCAUAUUUCUCCAUUGUUCUCUUGUAUGUCACUCACACACACUCUCUCUCCCUAGAGAUAUCUUGCGUUCCCUCAUAUGUCUCUAUAGCUAUCACUCUCGUUGUGAAAUAUCUUUCUCUCUCGCAGACACAAAACUCCGUCUCUCAAGAUCUCAUUUCUCUCUGGUAUCUGUUUGUAUGUGACUCACAUGCACCCUCUCUCUAUCUCUCUCACACCCACACACAUAACUCAGCCUUCUGAUCCACUCGACUCCUAUCUCUAACGCACACUAGCUAGCAUCUUUAUCUUUCUAUUUAUCUGUUCUCCAUUAACCUUCUUUCUCGCCCUCACUCUUGAUUCCUAUCACGCACACUACAUAUGUUUCUCUCUACAUGCAGUCAAGUGCCCUCUCACACACAUAUAUAACUUCACCCUCUGAACCACCCGGCGGUCUUCUCCAACACCCAAACUAGCGGAUGUCCCUCUAGCUAUCAUCUCCAUCUCUGUAUCUAUCUGUAGUUUCUCCAUCAACAUUUCUUUCUCGCACGGAGUCUUGCUCAAUUGACGGUCCUUCUUCCCUACAUUCUCACAUGCAUGCAUAUUGUCAUACCGAUCCGUCUCUCCCAUGUCGUUGAUCUUAUGACUUAUGUCUUCUUUCUUUUAUCUCGAUCAUGCACGCGCGCACACACACACACAUCCCAUGUAUACAUGUAUACCUCUCACACAUGCACGUUCAAGGUCUCUAUGUCUCCAUACGUAGUUAAUUACCCUCAAUCCUAACGCCACAUCGAAUCAUUCUCCUCUUGUGUGCACAUAACUUUCGCCUGGAUGGGUAAAACACACACUCACACUUAAAACAAUCUCCUUCUAGCUACCCCCCACCUCUCACUCUUCCCCUAUAUCCCCAAAACCAAUAAGACCAUCCCUUUGUUUAAUUCCCGCCUACAUGCACCAUCGAUAUAUAGUAGUCUUCCUCGGUGUCUCUCAAACAAACACGUUCUCUCGAUGUCGACUCCUCUCACGCGCACACACCUUCUCUUCCCUCUCUACGGGCAUUUUCUCUCUCGCACCCCAUCGUUGGUGGCCUCUGCCAUACACAUCACCUCUCUAUGAUGAAGCCAUGCACACUUAAAUUACAUCCGCCACAGAGGACCCCGNNNNNNNNNNNNNNNNNNNNNNNNNNNNNNNNNNNNNNNNNNNNNNNNNNNNNNNNNNNNNNNNNNNNNNNNNNNNNNNNNNNNNNNNNNNNNNNNNNNNNNNNNNNNNNNNNNNNNNNNNNNNNNNNNNNNNNNNNNNNNNNNNNNNNNNNNNNNNNNNNNNNNNNNNNNNNNNNNNNNNNNNNNNNNNNNNNNNNNNNNNNNNNNNNNNNNNNNNNNNNNNNNNNNNNNNNNNNNNNNNNNNNNNNNNNNNNNNNNNNNNNNNNNNNNNNNNNNNNNNNNNNNNNNNNNNNNNNNNNNNNNNNNNNNNNNNNNNNNNNNNNNNNNNNNNNNNNNNNNNNNNNNNNNNNNNNNNNNNNNNNNNNNNNNNNNNNNNNNNNNNNNNNNNNNNNNNNNNNNNNNNNNNNNNNNNNNNNNNNNNNNNNNNNNNNNNNNNNNNNNNNNNNNNNNNNNNNNNNNNNNNNNNNNNNNNNNNNNNNNNNNNNNNNNNNNNNNNNNNNNNNNNNNNNNNNNNNNNNNNNNNNNNNNNNNNNNNNNNNNNNNNNNNNNNNNNNNNNNNNNNNNNNNNNNNNNNNNNNNNNNNNNNNNNNNNNCACACACACACACACUAAGACUCCAUCUCACACACACAUGCUCUAGGCGGAGCAUUUGUUCCUACCACCCUUCAUCCAACCUUACCCGUAUGAUAAACAACCACCUUAAUUUACUUGCAUAACAUGGACAAAUUCCACUUUACUUUAGUAGUCAGCAAACUUAUCAUCCGUACCCUUAUAAAAAAAUGAGUUGGCGAUGACGGUGUGCCUACCAUCUUGUAAUACAGACCGUAUGAUCUAUAUCUGACGGAUAGAAAGCAAACUAUGAUAAUUUUACAAAAGAUACCCGCACCUCUCUCCACAUCCUUAUCUCCCACAACCUCAUUGCUCGGCAAUUAAAAAAGGAAGUCUCUAGAACAAUCUAGCAUGGUGGCCGCUGCCGCCUGCUGGCGCCGUCCAUCCCCAUACCUCUGCCCAUUCCGACCACCAGUCACCACCACGCUCCACUCCUCCUCACCUUAUCUCUCAUCUUUCAUUUUUCGAUGACAUUCUCGAGAUACCAGUUUUCCGAUAAAAUUCUCAAGAUAUCAUUAGUUUUUACACAUGGGAUUACUCCUGCAUGGGUCAAUCACAAUAGGUGUUCUGUAAAAAAAUGCAUAUUGAUGUUCCGUGCAAUGCACAAGAAUCUUGCUUGUAAUUAUAUAACGCAAAUCACGAGCAGGAAGUGACAUUUUUUUGACACAACCUCGUUAACAUGGCCACGUAAAUCACUAGCUAAAGUAAAUACCAUUAUACUUAUAUCCCGAUGCAAAAGGUUGAGUACAUGUCCAAAGAGUAGAGUCGCACUCACGCACUCUAUCUCUCAGAAUCACACACAAACACACACACACACACACACACGCAUGCGCGCACCAGUUACAUGACGUCCACUUAAGCAGACAUGUAUGUUACAAUUUGUGCACCCGCGGGUACACGUGAUGCUGCACAUUUAUUUAAGCCGGAAGGCAAACCCAAACAGUAGCUGCAUUCAUUCCCCUCCCGCCACCUCUUCUCUGGUCGCCGUCGCCCGGUAGCCAUGGCCCGGCUGAAGGUAACAACAUACGCCAUACUCCCGCCAGAGCGGCCCUUUAAUAUGGAAACUUUAGUGGUCAUGCAUGCAUCUUUUUGUGCUAGCACUCCUAUAUAAGGGUUGACUGGUCGCUUCCCACGGACGUGCGCGGGCGGUAGAAGAGGAAGGAGAAGGGGAACGGGUUGUGGAGUAACAUUUUUACCACAAUUUGUUAGAAAACUGAGUGCAAUAAUUGAGUAGUUUUGCAAACUACCAGUACUACACCUGAAACGGUUCAAAACCUAUACUCCCUUGCCAGCGCGUGCUUCCCGCGUGAAACGGUCAGCGUCGCCUUAGAGCGUCAGUGCCGCAUUAAUGCCCGGCCAGAGCGGAGGCGACCUCUCACUGGCGCCGGCUUUGAAGUGGCACGACAGCCGAGAGAGCGCCGCUUCCCGGUGCACGCGACUGCUCCGCGUCGAGACUGUCCAUAGGCCCUGUUUGGAUCCAUGGGUUAGAGUUAGUUUGAGCUAGUUGGGGCUCAAAUAGCCCUAAUGUAUCCAAGCAUGAUGGUUUAAAUUGGAGCAAGUUGCACCCAACCCACCAAAAAAACUAUCGCACCCAAGAGGUGCUAACUGGAGAUAGUUCUCAUUGGAACCACUAAAAAAUCACUUUUCUCUCUCCAUCAAGUGCAUUUAUUGUCAAUCUAACCCUGUCACCCAAACACCUCUUUGGCUACAGUUAGUUCAAGGUUAGUCAUGAGUUAGUCUAACCUCUAGCUAAGUUAGAGUAUCAAACAGGAGCAGUAUAGGACAUGCAAGUUGCUCAAAGCAUACAGUCAAAUUCGUAUGUGAAAGGAUUUUUUUCUUUUUGAAAACGGAACGUGAAAGGAAUUUUUUUUAGAAUGCUCUUGGCAUGUCGCUAACAUGUGAUGAGUUAACCGACCUCAAUAGACGGCAAAAACGCCAGCCUGCCGCACUUUGAUAGAGACGAGGAGGGAGAAGCGAUACAGGCUGCUGGAUUACUAGAGAUAGGUGCCGCAUGGAAGCCAAGAAAUAUGGUGAUAGCGUGGGUUAGCCAUGUACUAGCUAGUAUGAUGUAACUGCACUGGGCUGCCAUGUUUCGUACUCUUCCAGUCCAUUGUGGAGAUGAUUGGUUGAUUUUAUAUCGCUGAAUAAUAUUAAAUAUUAUGAGUACAGACGCUCCACCACGAGGUUUCUUGCUCCUUCUCGGUCUUCGGGAAUCUAUGUUCUCCCACUCUAUUUUUUACAUGAGCUUUGUUCAUCCUUUUGCCAACACACGAGACAUCUAGCAUCAAGGUGCACGUGUUAUGCAAGGAUUGUUCCAUCUAUAUGAAGAACACGUGGGACUGGAACUACGAGAUGGACAUGUACCCAGGAGUGGAUGUACGAACCUGAGUAAUGUAGUGCAGUAAGUGAAGUAGAAAGGCACAAAUGGUAUGAACAUGUGUGGCAUAUAGGGUGUGUUUGGUUGUGUUCUCGUCUCAGCAUAGUUGUUCCCUCUUCAUGCAUGCUCAACUCAACACCCCUCUUCAUGCAUGAUCUCUUCAUGCAUGCUUCUAGUGUAUUUGUGCUAAACUAGUGUGGACUCAUGCAACCUCCAUACACUCUAUCAAACACCCAAAAGUAGGUCGAGAAGGGAACUCUUGGGCGGCAUUUGUCUCUUACUACGUACUACCACUAAAUGUUGUACGUGCAAUGCACGGUGAUGUUAUGGAGUACGUGCCUAAGUACUCUACUACUACUAUAUUAGUUGGAGGCACAUAUUAACUUUUAUAUUUUUUACGUGUAUGCCCCGAGAUCUUCCAACUAGACAUGUCUUCCUCUCUAGGUCGCACUUUGUAUCGUUCAUACCACUAAGUACUACUACGUGUGGUCUCCGACCCAGAAGUGGAAGAAGUGGAGACGCUCUACCACAUUGUUUUUUACGCUAGGCUCUACCAUGCUGUUCAUGUCCCACUCCUUUUGCUCAUGUGUGGGACAUCCAGCAUGUGCCGUGUUUGGCACUCUUCAUCGUAAGAGUUGAAACGCUAGCAUUCAUCAGAAAUAAAAAAUAAUUAUAAAUCAGCAGUGAUACUAUUUUUUUGAGAACCAAUCAGCAGUGAUACUAUAACACGCAGUUUCCUUGCUCCUCGAUAUCGGAAAGAAUACUUCCGUUCGCCAACAUGUGGGACGUCGACCAUCCGGGUCCACUUGCCAUGCACGCAGAACUCCAAGGGAGAGUCACCCCAGUCAUCGCGCCGCAGUAACAAUGACUAAUGAGCCGUCAAAUCACAAGCCCACUUCCCACUUUGAAGUUGCUCGGACGAAGGAACCAUCAUGACUUCGUUGAAUUCCGCUUCUUGAAGAAAACUACUGUACCAGCAGUACUGCUAGCUACAGUAGUUACUCCAACAGAGGCCUCCUUUCAUUCAUAGGAUAAGAAUUUCAUAGGAAUAUGAAAAUCAUAGGAAGUGAGAUGAUGUGCAUCUCAAUUCCUAUAGAGAAAGAGAUGCCAUUUGAUGCAUAGGAUAGGAAUUUUUCCAUUUAGUCUAGGCUAAUGUACUGGUAAUUUCCUCUAAAAACUACAGUAGUAACUAGUAGUACUGGUACAUGCUCGUACCCAGACACAGACACACACACUAACUACUAGUAGUACUACUUCUCACAUGCUGGCCAGACGUCGUCGUUCUCCUUCCCAGCUUUGUCGGCGACACCCCACCGUGCUUGGAUCUCCGCCCACCUCUCCACAGCAGUGCAUGCGUCCUUUUCUUUCUUGCGACGGCGGGCCUCUCUUUUCUUGAGUGCUUUCUGACUUUUCUGCUCCCUCUGUGUGGCUUUGGCCGCCUCUUGCUCUACCGCCCAUUCGGCCUUGGCAUCUUCAAAUUCCUCCCACAUAGUUGUGAGGUCACGAGCGGCGAUGAACUCAGCACGGCGGGAUGCCAUUGCUUCCCUACAAUUUUGUGUGCGGUCGUGGGCGGCGAGGAACACGACGCGGCGGGAUGCCAUCGCUGCCUUAUCGGUUAGUGUGGGGUGCAGUGGCAUGAACGACGCUUGGUGAGAGCUCUAGGUGGAGUGGCCGGACAACCGUAUAGUGCAUUGGUUUUUCAAGAGAUCAAGGACAAAAGACGAAGGAAAUUGGGAUUCCCCUUCAAUCCUGGUCAUUUAUUACCGAGUAAAAUGCAUUGGCGGUCAUCAAACUUGUCUUGAUAGCUCACUUUGAUCAUUGUAUACGAGAUAUGGUGAUUAUACGGUCACUGGCUCAGCGUAUAGCUCCGUAUUUGUCUGGUUGACCAGUCAAACAGUCCGCAUGCGCCUCAUCAGCUCGUGUUCUUUAUCUAUCUACGCGGGCCUACUGUAAAAACCAAAAUUAUGCGUAUGUGGGGAAUCAAACCACGGACUCGUCGCUGCAACGCACCCUCGUCAGCCAAAUGAAAAUGAAAUACUUCGCGUCAGACACUAACGCUCAUGCUAUAAAAGCAUGCUAAUGCAUGCACGUCGCCCUCUAAAUCAAAGUCCUGCUCAUGGCGUAACGCAAACGGCAAGCCCAUCACCUCGCGCCCCGGCAGUGCCUGACAUUACUAUUUAGACGUUUGAUGGAGGCCUACGCGAACGCCGAGCAUCUAUUCACCUCGCUCAACACCAACGGUCAUACUCAGAGCGCCUUGCUCAUGUAUAUCGUCCAUCACAACAACAAUCUAUAAAGCAACCUAGCUAGACAGGGUACUAUGGUAGUAUGGUACGGAGUAUGUACUAUCUUGAGUGACCGAUCUUAGUGCCACUGCACACCAAAACCCCUUCCAUCGCUAGCGCGUGCUUCCCGCCUGAAACGGUCACCGUCUCUCCAGAACGUCAAUGCCACAUUCACCGGACUUAACCGCGGGUGCAAUUGGUGUGUCACUGACAUGCGGGCCAGAUACCCGUUGGGCCCACAUGUCAGUAACCCAACGCAUCUGCAGUUAAGUCACUCAAGCAGCAUCCGCAUUCACGCCCGACGAACCUACUCCAGUGCCAGUUGUCCAUCCGUCUGUCGCGGCUCAUUGCCAUGCGCCCGCUAUAUUAACUUGAGGCCCAGCUCCCAGCCAUAGCCAAAGACCCACACUUAUUCUCCUUCGGUCCCUUCCUUCUGUCGGCACCACUCCAACCAUGGACUCCUGGCGCUCUGAAGCUCUCUUGGACGUACUGUCACAGGAGAAGACGAGGGACAUCGGCGGCUACGCUCCGGGCGCGCUCCAAAACUCUCUUCGACGUACUGUCGCGGGAGCAAACGAAGGAGAUCGCCGGCACCCCCCCCCCGGUUGCCCUCCGCCGCCAUGACCAUGAAGCUGGCGCGCAUGCGCGGGCGCAACCAGCAGUGAGGAAGAGUAGUACACAGCAGGUCACCGCCGCUCUGGUCCCAGGAAGGCCACUGCUACUCCACUCAGUCGAUGCCAAGCUUGGUGGGGUAAACAUCGGUGGCCGAUUAGCUGCUUGACGGUGAUAUGGAGGCGGAAAUCUUUAGAACCUUGUUCUCCGUAGGAGGAGGUUAUCGAGGCAGAUGAGGAGGAGGCAAAGGCAAUGGCCGACUUUCUCUGGUUCAUGGCCGGACAUGGUGGUCGGGCGCCGGAGAUCGUUUAGAUUAGGAUUAUAGUAGGUUUUAGUACAGUUUGUGCGAAAUAUGUAAUGAAUUUCGUCCAGUUUGUAGGAAAAGUUUUCGAUAUGUAAUGAAUUUCAUCCGGUUAAUUUGAAAUUUGCUUUGUUUGCACGAAUUUCCUCCGGUUAGUUCACAUAGUUGUCGAAAGGUAUGCGGGCAGCAUCGGAUGGCAUCCAUCAGUGUCCUCGGACAGAUGCCGGUGUAAAUUUGUGGGCCAGCGCUGGAGAUGCCCUAACUAUCAUGCUAUAAUCGCUAAUAGUCCUCCAUUAUUUGGCAGGGAACAAUUAUCACUCGAUCAAAAUCAGAUCCGCGGUGUUUCGCACUCCUCCCGCGUAAGAGUGUAAACUCUUGCUUACAUAAAAAUGGAGCAAGUGGACGGCACUGUAGCACGUCAUAUCACUCGAACUAGCCCGCCUAACGAGCGGGAAAGCACCGCCCUCGUCAUUUUGUUUUGGAUUUCUAUCAAUCGAUCGCGCGAAAAUGUUACGCUUCGCAAGUUCUAAAGGAAAAGGCGGCACAAUUACGACUUGUACGCGUCGCACCCCCAAUAGUCUGGCUCGCAUGCCGCUCACCAGAGGGGACACACGUUUUCUUGCAAUUUCACUGACAUGUGGGACUGUAAUUGAAUAAACCGUCGAUAGGCGAAAUCUAAUUGCUCGGUGGGCGUCGGCUGAGAAGAGAGAAACGGGGGAGGGAGAAGAGAUCGCCCACCCGCCGCGCACGGACUCCAAGAAAUAUAUGGUGAUAAUGUGAGGUGGGCCAUGCUUUGUCGGGACCGAUUUUGGAGCCCCCUCUGACCGCCCUGGCCCCUCAAGACGCCAGCUGCCCGCCGCAUGCAUGCAUAGCAAGUACUAAAAAACUGAGCUAUAAGGCCUUGUACAAUGGGAGAUGCUUAGGGAAGAUGCUUAAAGAAAUAAACCAGGCUUUUGUUAAGCACCGGUGCUUACUUGUUCUUAAGAGAAGCCCGGUUUAUUUUUCUAAGCAUCUCCCAUUGUACAAGGCCUAAGCCCGCUUAUGUGGAGGAGAGAGAGGCAUUUACAAAGUUAAGGAGUGGGCUCUACAAGAGCCCAUCUCUGCACGUGCUCCUAGGUAUAAAAAAUAAUUCUAAAAAAAUGCAUAAAAAACAAUUGUGUCUAAAAAAGAAAGGUAAAAAACAUUUGAGAGGAAAUAGAUAGAGAGAAAGUGAGAAAAAGUUGUAACCUUAUAGCCAACCUUAUAGUCAACAGUAUGGUAGCAUUACAUGAGGAAGGAGGGCCGUCGUAACAGUGGAGACAAUAGCUUUCAUCAAAAAUAAACAAUGAAUACUCGAUGCUCGUCCUCUAUAUCAGAAAGAAUACUUUCAUUCGCCGACAUGUGGGACGUCGACCAUCCUGGUCCACCUGCCAUGCACAAAAUUAUCCUAGUCUACCCCGGUCGUAUCGUGGGCCAAACCUUUCCCACUAUAAGUUGUUCGGACGAAGGAACCAUCAUGACUUCGUUGAAUUCCGCUUCUUCAAGAAAACUUACUGUACCUGCAAUACUGCUACCACACGUGAAGACUGGACGACACUGUACCACGUCAUAUCACUGAAACCCACUAGGCCAAACUAGCCCGCCUAGGUCAUCUAUUUUGGAACGAAGGGAGUACGUCUCUGCACUGCUAUGAUUUUGUGUUGUAUGUCUCUGUACUUUUGCUACGAUUUUCCUACCCUAUGAACCAAAUGAGGCCUGACUGUAUCCGUGUCGACUAUUGUCUGAUCGAUCGCUAAGCCUACAAUUGUAGGAGCUAGGGCUAUUGGUCGAUCGACGACGGAUAAGUAUAAGCGUACCACGAGCUCAUCAGCCCCAACGUUUCUCUUCGGUGAGUGUUUUGCAAGUACUACAGCUCGCACAGUAGCAAGCCUACUAACACCAAGAAUCAUCAAACAAGCCCUGAUGAUAUGAUAAACAGUUCAAACUUACAUCUAAGCAUGCCAUAUGUUACAUCAAAAGCUGGUGAGGGUACACCUGUUUCCAUAACUCGGAGAGGGUUCGCAUGAUUCACUAUCAAACAAAAGUAGCAAGUACCACCCACAUAAGACAGUGCACUAGCCCUAAGAUGGUUUGAUAACACACAUCGUUCUGGUAAUUAAACACAGGGCAAUGCAAACUACCCUGAAGGAUUAGCGUGACCAACUAUUUCUUGUCAUCGAUCUCUCAGGCAAUAACCAGAGCACGGACAGCGGCAUGGGAAUUGAUCUCUGGGGCAAUGUCCACAGGACUGACCGCGACAUCGGAAUCGAUCUUUGGGGCGAUGUCCACAGGAUGGACAGCGGCAUCGGAAUCGAUCUCCGGGGCGAUGCCCAACAGGACGGGCCGCGACAUCGGACUCAUCAAGGACGUCCACCGGCACCUGCACAACCCUAACAUAUUAGCAAGCACAUUGCAAAUAAUCCAAAACCAAAACUAUGGUAAUAAGCCAUUAUUUUUUACCUUGUGUAGCUCACCGGGGGAUCUCAUCCCUUCGGGGGCCAUCUCCUCAUCCUCGAUGGGGGCCAUCACCUUGCCAGGGGAAUACUGCUUCUCAACGGCGACUAUCUCCUCAAACUCGGCCUUGAGCCUCGCAUAGGUGGCCAUCAGAGUUCCUGGGGUAGGCACGGUGGGGCCCUUGCUAUUCUUCCAACUUUCUUUGAGGAGUUCGUCCGCCAACGUCGUCAACUCUUUGGCCAGUGCUUGUUUCUUGGAGUUCUUCGUAUCAAGUUGGCCCGCCAACAUGGUCAACUCGUUGGUCGGUGCUCGCUUCCUGGAGAUCGCUGUCUCCAGUGGGUUGUCCACCGGCAACUCUUUGCCUAGUGCUCCAGGAUCCAUCAAUGAACUGACAAACAAAAAGCAAUCGAAAGGAAACCACAAUCGCAAUGAAAACGGGAAAAGAAUAGGAUGUGAGAAUCGGUCGGUGCUUCGCAAAAAGAAGAUUCUUGGAAAGAAAAUAUAGUAGCAUAACUGAUUCGCCCACCUUUCCUUCGUCGGUACAGAAGAAAAAUGGUAGAAGUGGGUAGCCUGGAGUGAGGUUUUCUUCAAGAAAGGGAAGAAAGGGCUUGAACGAGCGUUCCAAUGAAAUGAUGGUUGCUUCGUCCAGUCCAACUUGGAGGCCACCUUACCACUGCUGGUAAAGGUGACGGUUUUGUGAUAUGAUGGGUCAUGACGGCCACACCGGGGUGACAGGUGAGUCUCGACUGUAGCACCUCGCUGUGAUUUGGUGGAUGGCACACGGGCCCGGAUGCUUUGAAAUGCCCCGCAUGUAGAUAGAGCGGCUACUCAUAUAGGAGUGCUCAAUAUUGUGCACCGCGACCAAGGCAGAGAGGAAAACGAGAGAAGUACGUAAUUAGUGCAUGAGUUUAAUUAGGUUAGUUUUGUAAAGUAUGCGAUACAUUCCUCUAAUCGCAAAAUGUGUUGGUUCAUGAGAUUUUAGAUUUGAGCCCUAUAAACCGGAAGGGAGGGAGUAGUGCACGCGGUGUAGUCUAGUCACUUGUUGAAAUCUCUAGAAAGGCAAAUACUCCUUUCCGGUUUAUAGGGCUAUACUACUCCCUCCGUCUAGGUGUGUAAGUCAUGUUAUGAAAACCAAAUAGUCCCAAAACAUUUAGACUAGCCACAAUGGAGAGUAACAUACACUAGUAACAUACACAUAUCUCUAGACUAUGUUACUACCUCAAUAUUGGGUAGUAACAUAAGUGUAGUACUCCCUCCGUCUAGGUGUGUAAGUCAUCUUACGAAAACCAAAUAAUCCCAAAACACUUAGGCGCGGUGCAUUAACUUGUACCUCGUUUCUUGUUUCUUGACAUAUCAACCAAUAAGAGAUGAGUGGUGUGCAUGUUUUUAAUGACUUGAGACAACCAAACACGACAUGCAGUGGUUAGUUCAUUGCAUGCAUUGUUAUUAAUUAGGAAAUAAACAUUAAGGUCUCUCUUUUUCCCCUCCUCCUUGGUCACGGUGCACAACCUAAGAUGACUUACUCACCUAGACGGAGGGAGUAACAUGCAAAGCUUCAUUUAUUAGGUUAUAGACUCAUAUUGCAUUAGGACAUGUGAUGUUACAGUAACUAGCUAAGUUACUAGUACUACAUCUUUCCUCAUUAACUCAUUGCCACAUAAGCAAAUUCGCUGAGUUGGACUCGAUGUUACUACCAAAGUUACUCCCACUGUGGCUAGUCUUAGGCGCGGUGCAUUAACUUCUACCUUGUUUCUUGUUUAUUGACAUAUCAACCAAUAAGAGAUGAGAGGUGUGCCUACUUUUAAUGACUUGCAGUGGAUAGUUCAUUGCAUGCAAUGCUAUUAAUUAGCAAAUAAACAUUGGUGACCCCAGGAGGAAAUGGUGCUAAGUGCGUGGACCUAUGCAGAAUGAGUAUCAACCAAUGUAGAAUGAGCUACAAAUUCAACGACUUGCUCACCUAGACGGAGGGAGUAGCAAGUACUAGUACUACUACAAUAGUGGGCACAAAUAGCAAUUUUGUCUCAUGCAAGAGCUUGGCUACAAUAGUAGUAUAUUCGUGCUCCAAGGCACCGCACCAUGCGAGCGUUUGCAACUGCCACGUUCGGGUUACGCUUGGCUCUUCGCCUCUUCGAGAAGAGGAACAAUGAUGUUACUCCUACUUCUACAGUAUCGAAUCCACUGCUGCAUGUACGCCACCUCGUGCGGGAGGGAUAGCGUGUAGCGAAAGCUUCUACUACUGCUCCUGCCUUUGCAUCUAUGAUAGGUGGGCCCAACAGGUGGUUGGCCCUCCUGUCAUGCAGCCAAAGGCAGGUGCAGUUAAGGCACCGGAGCUCAGUCCGCGAGGGAGAGGGUGUUGUAGUAAUCAAAUUUCUCGGUCUUGUAUGAGUUGACGCGACACAUCAAAGCACUGCACGCGAUAUAAGUCUUUUUACACAUUUCAAAUGGACUACAACAUACGGAUGUAUGUAGACAUAUUCUGCUUCGUAUGUAGUCACUUGUUGCAAUCUCUAAAAAGACUUAUAUUUGGAACGGGGGAGUACAACGCAUGCAUGCAUGCCGUGACUUUGCUUUUGAUACUUGCAUGUGUUGAUUUGAUGUACCUUGCCAAAUUUUGACUAUAAAUUUAACUAACCAAAUUUUCAUGCAUGUCACAAAAAAAUACGGGGCUGUUUGGAUUGUGACUAUGUUUGUCUUAUGUUGCCACAUUAUUUUUCCCACACUUGCCAAACUUGCAUAACUUGAGUUGCUCAAAUUGUUAGACACACUUUGGCUUGCCUAAGGGAAUCUUGCCACAAUUUUUGUGUCUAUGACAUGUGGGGUUCACUGCUAAUAAAAAAAUUCUUGUCUUAGGUGUGGCUAAUAAAAAAGACUUUUAUUUAGGAACGGAGGGAGUAGAAAAUAUAAAUAAUAAUGCUUGUUGGGGCAACCCAUGUUUUCGCUAAUUUUGGCCGUGGGCUUGUUCACAAUUUUUACGAGGGGGUGGUUGUUCAUUUAAUGGAGGGACUUGUAGUACCAGACUUGAACAAUACAAAGUGCGACCUGGCACACCGUAACACCACUUGGAACAAGCGGGUAGCUAUCUCAAAAAACAAUCAACAACUAAAAAAACCGCGACCUGGCAUGUAGUAGUACACAAUUUUAAAUGAUUGUUUUGAUGGAGUGAAAAAGGAAAACUACCCCACUAUGUAUAUAUAGGCCGGAGCCUCCGUCCUUGCUUGCUAGGGUUGCUCUAUUCACACACUCUCAUCCUCUCCAGAUCUAAACAAGAUAGGGGUAGUAACAUUGUAUUUCUCCCUUCAAAAAACACUGUUUUUCUAUCCUCACCGCUGGUUACAGAUCCGGACGUAUCCCCCUCCGCCGGUGAAGGGGAGGAGGGGCAGUGUUUAGGCUGUCGUCGACAGCGAGGGAGGAGACCCAUUGUCGGCCGCACCAUUAUCUCUGGCCGAGCACCGGCACGGGAGGUCCUCCGAUCCCUUCGUCGUUGCUUGUGGGCGGAUCCGGCCUCCCACCGCCCACCUAUCCACAUCCCGACGACCUUCAGGUAUAUCUUCGUUCGAAAACGCCUUAGCUACACUUCCCCAGCUCGCUACAUCGCUGCACGUGCAUCAUUUUCUACCUCUCAGCCCCUCUCGAUCGGAUGGUCCAACGUCACCUAUUUUUUUCUAUUGUUAGAGGUAAAGCUACUUCAUGGAGUCGAAUCUUGUACUCCCUCCGUCCGAAAAUACUUGUCAUUGAAAUGGAUGUAUCUAGAUGUAUUUUAGUUCUAGACACAUCCAUUUUGAUGACAAGUAAUUCCGGACGGAGGGAGUACUUGGUUGAAACAAGAAAUAAAGUAGGGGUGGGGGAAUUUAGUAUGUACAUCGGACUUGGUACAAAUAGGAAGGAAAGGGGGUGAAAGUAGUACAGACUGGUCAUCCAACCGGUCUCUUGGUCGAAAAGGGAAAUAUAGGGGUAACGUUGUAUGGAGUGGUAUGACCAGGACUAGAUUUGCUAUCCACACAUAGGAGUAGGUGGCUAGAGUGAAAAAAUGGGACCAGCCCAAAUAUGUUUCUUGGAUGUUUGUUUCUCGGGGCAACAAACUAUGAAUCACCACUUUAUGCCCCUGUUUACGUACAUGGUGCUGGACUACUGGUGCACCCACUGUCCCAUGCACUUAUACAAAAUAUUUAGUUGUUAUUAAUCUAAUGUCUGUGGUAAAAAUGAAGACAUGCCACUGUUAUAAGCCAUGACAAGUUUAGCCAAAUGUUUUUGCCUGUAAUUGUUUGAGACUCUGGCUGUUUCCUCUCUACCUUUUUGUGCAAACAGGGAUAUCCAAUUCACCUGGUUGCUGUUGUGACCUUUUGGUGCACUACACAAAACUCUUCUUAAAAGAAGUGACUUUUGUGUUGUUUAACUGGAAUGUCAGAAUGGAACAGUUGGUUCAUUUCAGUGGAACUGCACAAAGGGAGAUUUGUGUUCCAAUCCUCAUCAUCCAUAUUGGCACCAUAACCUUCCUUUAGGUAAGAAUGGUAUUUAAUGCAUGUGUUCAUCUCUAUUUUCCGACUGCCAUGAGAAAAUAAUCCUAUUUUUUACUAGUACACUUGUACUCCCUCACUGACAAAACCAAUUCUGAAUUAGAAGGCCAAUCAUGUACUUGGUUUCACCAACUGGUGAGGAGAAAGAGAAACAGAGCAUGAAGAGGAAGAAGAAGAAGAAUAAACAGUGCCAAGGCGAUCUUGCUGAAGCCAGAGGAAGAACAAGAAGGCCAUUCAAGGGCUCCGACAAUGACUACCUUACAUGUGAGACGAUCCUCCAGGGAUCCCUUCCACUUCUGCUGUCUCACUUAAUUAAUUAGGAGUACUCAAGUACCACUAAUUUAUUGUUGCCUAAUUUUCCUGUCGGAGUUAAACAAAUCUUUAGUAAGACCCUAUGCUGAAUCAUGUACGUGUGUAUGUUUGUCUAUGGAGGUGAAUCAUGUGGUGGAGCAGGGAGCGAAUAUUAUUAGUGUCAUGACAUAAUAGUUCUAUUGUUUUGCAUGUCAAUUUAUUGCCAUUGGUUCAAUGAGGCAAUGUUUUCAUAUUGUCCAUCAUGAAUUUGAUGCUACUGUUUGAGUAAUAUGCUAAUGUCUUCCUAUCCUUUCUCACUAAGCUAAUGAAGGUUUCACCUUGUUCCUACUUGUGCAAACAAGGAUCAUGUUGUGUCAAUCAUACAUUUUAGUGGAACUACACAAGACAAUACAAUGAAUUGUAUCCUAGCCAGUGCUUUAACUCUGCUGGAAGUUCUUGAUAAUCUUUCAAUAUAAUCUCAGCACUGGUAAACAAGAGUGAUUUCAACCAUACAUUUGAAGUGCACAAAAAUAUAUACUAUUGUGUGAUUCCAGUGAGUGCUUUAUCAUCUCUUAUGGGACUACAUGAAUAAGCUUUUUUUUCUCAGGUUGGUACGGGCCUAAGGCCUUCAUCCAUAUUAGUUUGUUGUCAUCUCUAUUUGUAUCAUGCUACUGUCAUGAGAAACUCCUUUAUCUUUGCAUGUUAAAGUUUUUCAACCUAUGAUAAAUGGCAAUGCUUUGGGUGUUGAGCUAAUUGGCACUGAUUAAAUAAACUAAUACCUCUCUUUAAGCAAGACUACUAUGUUGCUAACUUUACCUAUUAAGAUAAUGAGGGUGCUUCUAUUUGUUAGUGUAUGUUUCAUCAACUAGUCCCACUAUUACAGUAAUCUCACUCUCUCAAUAUAUGUGCCAACAGGGAUGCUCGAUUUUGGUGGAUCUGCACAAAAACUUUGGGUGCUUCAUUGCCUCAACAGCUUCCGUCCUUUCCUGUCAGUCGCUAAUCCCGGCUUGCUUUCUUCCUACGCUGUCAGUCGCUUCGAUUAUCUUGGCUUCCAGUCAAAGGAAAUAGUAAUUGAUAUGCUACCUCACACAGGUUGGUACUGGUCUUUAUCCUGAUUAUUGUGCUUGUCAUGUAUUGGUAAUUUGGUAUUGUGCUACUGUUUGCCAAUUUAUAAAGGAGUAACUUGGAGCCUGGACUCGCAGGCAGAUCAUUGCAUUGGGUGAUUUCAGUAGAACUGCACAAAAUGAUCAGAUGGACAGAUACUUAUGAUGCUGCCAUGUACUCCAAAGUUCACUCAGACAAGCAUCGAUGUUGACAAGAAGUGCCUAUAUUCAUUCGAGUAUCAACCGGCGUCAACCAGUUGUCAAACUCCCAAGUAUUAGGAGAGUGAAUUCCAAAAAUAUUGCUUGCCGCAUAGCCCAGAAGAACACAGUCCAGUCUUUGGUCCCAACUUGUGUCUUUUGGUUAUCGGCAGAUAUGGUAGCGAACUGUAUGGCAUGGAGUCUAAAUAUUCCAGACAAGUUCGUUAACGUGUAUAUUCAUCUGGCACUUAAUCAGUCUACACGCCAGGGAUGCUCCAUUUCAGUUGAACUGCACAAAAAAUUUGGAUGGUUCAUUUCCUCAACCGCCUCCUUUCUCGUUUGCAUUGUAGAAUUUUGGCGAGCUACAGGACCAAGAUGAGCCAGUAAACUAGUUGGAUGAAAGUAGUGGCCAAGUUGCUCAAACCUCGCUCGGCACGAGGCCACUAUUUGAGGAUAAACCUACAAGCAAAGUUCAGAUUGUCAUUGCUGCCUCUUAUGUACUCGAAAGUUUACUCGUACAAGAACUAAUUUUCGCAAGAAGUACCUCCGACUGAACACCAUUUACCAGUCUGUACCCUAGGUAAUUAAAGUUCGUCCAUGGAUCAUAUUAGCUCUGAUCUCAAUCAUUUGGAUGCAUAAACGUACUGAACAUGUGUAUAUCUAAAUCUUUUUGUGAAUUAUGUAUGAAUAUUGUCAUGUGAUCUAUCAAUCAUUUGGAUGCAUAGAUAUGCUGAGAUUUUGUAUAUAUGAAUCUUUUGAGUUGUUGAUAGUGAAUGUUGGCUAUGAAUAUGAACGUAUCCUGUGAACCUGAGUUUGAUACGAAUGUUUACCUUUUAUGUUGUAUUUGUGUGUGAACUUGUUAGUAUGCCUACUGUGGGGUAUGUGACGUGUGGGUGUCAACGGCACACCUUCUUCCCGAGAAGAAUUGCACCUGCUUUGUUAGGGUAGCAACGGCGGAUCGGCUCUUUUUAAUCUUUUUAUUAUUCUGUCUUCCCCUCUCCACUAGUAGAAAACGGAGCUUUAAUACUGGUUCAUAAGGGCCUUUAGUGCCGGUUCUGCAACCGGCACUAAAGAGUGGAGACAAAAGGCCCCCCCUUUAGUACCGGUUCGGCACGAACUGCUACUAAAGGCCCACCACGUGGCGUGAGCUCGCGCCGUGGUAUGGGGGACCUUUAGUACCGGUUGGUGUUACCACCGGUACUAAAGGUAUUAUUAUUUUUGAAAUUAUUUUUUGAAAAUUUUGGAAAAAAAUUGAUUUUUUUUAUUUUCAAUUUUUUGAAUUAUUUGAUGAUUUAGUCUCUAAUCGCCCUCUUAACUACUCAAGUGUGGAUCACUCAUUCCAAAUCGUCUAACUUCCCGACCGGUCACCCAUCCUCUCACUCCCCCGGUCUGAGCAUGCUUAACUUCGGAGUUCUAUUCCCCCUACUUUCCAAGUCUGCACUUGUUGUUUUCCUGACAAAUGUAAGCUGUAAAUCCUAUUAACCCUCAGCAGUUUAGCUUGAGCAUUAGGUCACACAUUUCACUGUUUGAGUUUGAAACUAUUAUUCUAAAAAACAGUAGUUAUUUAGUAACACAAAAAUUUCUUGAAUAAGUUUGACCAUAGUUUGACCAGAUUUGACCAAAAUUCAAAAAAUUGAAAUAAUUAUUUAGUAACACUAAUAUUCUUGAAUAAGUAUGUAGUAACAUUAAUACUUCUUGAAUAAGUAGUUUGACCAUAGUUUGACCAGAUUUAACCAAAAUUAAAAAAACUUAAAUUUGAGCAGAUCUUUUUCUCCUUUUGGAAUUUGAGGAUUCUAAAAAAUUGCAAACAGGCCAUAGGCUGUCAAAAUCGGAUGCGGAUUUUCGUGCUGAAUUUUUUGAUAUAUUAUACGUUUUUUUCCGACAUCGUAUGCAAAACUUAUAGCCGUUUUACAUUUUUCCUACACUUUUUGUAAAACAUGUCCAAAUUUACGUUUUUUAAGAAUUUUAUUUUUUGAAUUUUUUUUCUUUUUCUUUUGUAUUUUUGAAAACUGAAAUGGCGAUAAAGGGGGGGGGGGUAGAGUUUGAAAAUUGCCAUUUAGUACCGGUUUGUGCCACGAACCGGUAAUAUAGGUCAAACCCCUUUAGUACCGGUUCGUGGCACGAACCGGUACUAAAGGUUAGCCCUUUAGUACUGGUUUGUGCCAUGAACCGGUACUAAAGGUGAUUGUGGGGCCCCGGUCUAACGCCAGCCUACCACCACCCCUUUAGUACCGGUUCGUGCCACGAACCGGUACUAAAGGUUCAAAACGAACCGGCAUUAAUGCAUAGCCGUUCGAACCGGCACUAAUGGUACCAUUAGUACCAGGCCAAAAUCGAACCGGGACUAAUGUGUCUCACAUUAGGCCCUUUUUCUACUAGUGUCCCCCGCUCAACCCCUGCCGUAAUGUUUUCGGCCUCAAAACAAACAUAGUGCUGCGUUGUUUUUGGGGCUUGAUGAAAAAUCGAGUGCUGGUUUCUGUAGGUUGGCCCACCCAGCAAAUGGGCUGCUGGUCCACCACGACGGACUGGGAGGCUAAAAAUACAAGUUGUAUGGUGCAGAGGCAAGUAAAAAAACACUAUCGAGAGCCAUCCACUGAAGAAAAAAAAUCGCUCCUGAUGUGCUUCUUCAGUCGUGCCGCCGGCCCCCUCUUUAAUCCAGUUCUCUCGGGGAUCUGAUAUCAUUUUUUCAGAGGGCGAACAAGUAUCAGCUAGGUCUAGGUUUUGUAUUUUAACAUGCAUAACCCAUGACAUACGGAGACAGUGGUUUCAACUUAUUUUUUGAGGUCCAUACCGGCCUAUGGGCUUUUUCUUAAAGAUCGGCAGCCCAAUGUAUAUUUUAAUAAAAUGCAGGUCUCUGUUCUAUUUAUUUAUAUAUAAGAAUAAUAAUGUUGUGUCCAAUUUAUGUUUUCCCUUCUAACCACAUUAAAUAUAUUUGUAUUAUUACUAUUAUCGUAUAUUUUAUAGAGACUUAUAUGUACAUUAUAAAAACAUCCCACGUGUUAUUAACUUAGAAAAUUAAAUAUUUAACGGAAGUUGGCAAGGAAAUUCCUGGUUGUUUUUGACUCACACGCAAGGAAAAUCCUGGUGAUUGCGUACAAAAGCUUGCAAAGAUUUUAAGGGCCAAUUUAAUAAUAACGCGCUCAUUUUUAUUUUGAGCAAUAACUCGCUAAUUUGUUAAUUAUAUAUAUAUAUAUAUAUGUAUGUAUGUGUAUAUAUAUAUAUAUAUAUAUAUAUAUAUAUAUAUAAUGUGCUUCUCCGGUUUAUUCUUUGAUAUUAAUUGGUCAUUCUAACAUAACAUUAUAUAUAUAACGAGCCCAGCUAAUUUGUGUAUUUCAAGGAAAUGCAAAUGGGAUGGGAUUUCUUAGAAAAUAUAAAUGGGCCUGAUUGACGCGAAAUUAAUUGUUCACCUAGCCCAGCAAAUGGACUGUACAUUCUAGAAAAUGUGGGUUAAAUAUAUGCCACAUUUUUGCAGGCUGACAUGUGGGCCAAUAGGUCGAAGCCUACGCAGGGCGUUGUCAACUUGGUCAACAAAUGAUUGUGACAUCCAUAGCCAUUGGAUUUAUAUCCAACGGCCGGCAUGCACCUUCAAUCUCUCGUCUUCUUCCUCCAGCAUCGCCGGGACCGCCUGGUCCGGCCUCCGGCGGCUAGCGGCUCUGCUUAGCACGCAUCGCUGCGGAGUGCUACCCCACCGCCGGCCAGGCUAUUCCUCCACCCCUUGACACCUCCUGUUAUUCUCCAUAGACUGCAGCCCCACGCCGCAACAGAACCAGUUAUAACCCUUCUCCUCCUCUCAAUCUGCGACUCCACUACCGCGUCUUCCCAUCUCCGAGUCAUUCCCGUCCGGGGCCUCGCCGUCGUCCACCGCCUCGCUGCGCUCGGUGCGGCGUGGUCAACAAACGAGAGUUAUCGGAAAAGGACUGUACAUGGAGAGCCUGACGACUCGGACCCACGAGGUCCAUGGUCGCACGCAAGGAAAGUUCCUCCUUAUUAAGCUGAAAAAAAAUGUUUCCUCCACCUGACAGCUGGGACCCACCGGCUAUAUCUUCGCACGGAAGGAAGUGCCUCCUUGUUUUGCGAAAAAAAUUAUUCAUCCCGUUGACAGCUGGGACCCGUCAGAUUUGGUGGCUGACUUGUGGGCCUACUAAGCGGACAUGUACGCACGGCUUUGUCAACUUAAUCAACAAAUGAUUCUAGCAGCUGGACCGUUGGAUGUUAAUCAAACAGUCGUGCUCCAUCUGCAACCUCUGUUCUUGCUCCUGUCUCCCAUGGGCGGCACGGCGGUUGUGCUGCUGCGCACCCGAACCAGUCAAGUUUUCCACUCCUCUCCAUCUACGACUCCACUGCCCCGUCUUCCCCAUCUCCGGGUCGUUCCAGUCUGGGGCCUCGCCAUCAUCCACCGGCCUUGGUGCGCUCGGCACGGUGUGGUCAACGUGGUCAACAACUGAGAGUCAUCGGAAGAUGACUGUACGUGAGAGGCUGACAGUGGGGACGCACCACGCCCAUGGAUCAUGCUUGCAACGAAACGCGGCGUGGUCAACGUGGUCAAGGAACGACUUCCAUUGGAAGUAUACUGUACGUGGAGAGGCUGACAGCUGGGUCCACGGCCGCAGCAAGGAAGUGCCUCCUUAUUACAUGGAAAAUAAUGAUUCCUCCACCUGACAGCAGGGACCCACUGGACGGGCCAUCGUAUUUUGCAAAAAAAAAACGUUUCCCCCUGACUGCUGGGACCCACCUGACGGGCCACCGUAUUUCACGAAAAAAAUGUUCCCCCCGCUAUCAGCUCGUACCCACCGGAAGUGCCUCCUUAUUAAGCAGAAAAAAUGAAUAUUCCCCCUGCUAGCUGGGACCCACCUUGGUGGGAGGCUGACUUGUGGGCCCACUAAGUUGACGGGGACGGAGGGCUUUGUCAACUUAGUCAAUAUGAAUGAUUCUAGCUGCAGUGACCGUACGAUGUCCAUCCAAUGGCCAUCAUGCUUCUUCAACCUCUGGUCUUCUUGCUCCAGCCGCCCAAAGCAGCGCCGGUUGUGUCACCUGCUCCUGCCUCUUGUGGUCGGCUGUGAUGCCGUGGAGGCCUCACCACCCCCUAUUACUCCCGCCGCUGGACAGGCCAUCCCUCCACUCACCCACACCCCCUGUUAUUUUGCGGCGACGGCAGCCUCACACCGCAGCCGAACGAGUGAACCAUCAUACUCCUCUACGCGUUGGCAUCCACUACCGCGUCUUCCCCGGCUCCGCGUCGUCCCCUUCCUAGGCCUCGCUGUCGUCCAUCGCCGUGGUGCUCUCAGCGCGGCGUGGUCAAUGUGGUUAAUGACCGACUUCCAUCAGAAGAGUACUGUGAGAGGCUGACAGUUGGGUCCACGGCAGCUGCAAGGAAGUGCCUCCUUAUUACGCACAAAAUAAUUAUUCCUCCACCUGACAACAGGGACCCACCGGACGGGCCACCGUAUUUCGCAAAAAAACAACGUUUCCCCCUGACUGCUGGGACCCACCAGCUACACCUUCGCACGGAAGGAAGUGCGUCCGGGCAAAAAAACGAUUCGCCCCCCUGACUGCUAGGACCCACCAGCUACAUCUUCACACGCAAGGAAGUGCGUCCAAAAAAAUGAUUCGCCCCCCUGACUGCUGGGACCCACCAGCUACAUCUUCGCGCGCAAGGAAGUGCUUGACAGUCGGGACCCACCUGGUCGAAGCCUACAUAGCGUUGUCAUUCUGGUCGCGAACUUGUACGUACAUAUAUACUGGUCGAUGUAGAGGCGCGCACGUGUCGUAGUGGAGGCGCGCAUGUGUCGUAGUAGAGGCGCGCACAUAGCAUGUACACAUACGUACAGCGGCCAGUGUGCAAGAAAGAAAAUACGGCCACGUAUGUGUACAUAUGGGCGGGGUCUUGAACGCCUACUCGCGCAUAUGUACGGCUAGGGCUCGUAUACAUGGCUGGGUCAGAACGGAGAAACAACGUCGUCGUCGUGUUCAUGGGGAGCCAACCGAAUGGGUGGGAACGGAAUGCAUCGUCGUGUUCAUCGGGGGGGCUUGGACGGAACAGGCGAUGGAAACGAGGCCUGGCAUACCACAGAACGGAGGAAACGGCCUUGUGUUCGACCGGUCACGUUCGAAACGGGAUCCUGUUCAUCGGGAGGGGUCUGGCGCACCGCAAAACGGAGGAAAUGGACCUCCUACGGUCGAAACAGGGGUCCUGUUGAUCGCGAGGGCUGUGGUGUACCGCAAAAUGGACAAAACGGACUUGUGUUGGAGCGCUACGGUCGAAACGGGGGUCCUGCUCAUCGGGAGGUGUGUGGUGUACCGCAAAACGGGACUCCACGGGAUACUGUUCAUCUCCACCGUCGACCUCCUCCCGUCUCCACAGGCUACCGUCGACCUCCUCCAGCCUCCACGGGCUCCUGUUCAUCCAGCCUCCACGGGCACCCCUCCAUCGUCUACUGUUCAACCACCCCUCCACGGGCACCCCUCCUCCGCCUACUAUUCAUCCAGCCCUCCACGGGGUCCUGUUCAUCCAGCCCCAACUGGCUCGAUCGAUCGGGGUCCUGUUCAUCUAGAGGCAACGCCAUGGGGUCAUGUUCAUCCACCCCCACCGCUCACUGUUCAUCCAGAGAGGCAGCAUCGACCGGCUUCAGUUAGAAGUAGUAGCGAAGGAAUCGCUCGAUCGGGUUCAGUUAGCAGCCAUCGAUCGAUCGCUUGGGUUCAGUAACGCGUAGCCUGCAGUGCAAUCGCUCAGGUUCAGUUAGAGCCCAACGCCUCGCUCGGGUUAAGUUAGAGCCAACGCCUCGCACACACGCGCGUACGUGUACGAGAGAAACGCGCAUCGCUCGGCCCCCGACCACCCACCGUAACCGGGAACUCCCCGAAAUUUUCCUCGCCCUUGCUUCUACCACGGUUUUUUCUGUCAUGUACGGCCCAAAGAAUGUCAUGCAGCUGCGUCUCCGGCCCGUCCAGGACGAAAAGCCCAUUUUUUGUCAUGAUUUUUUUUCGUAGAAGUAGGAGCCCAUCAUAUCUAUGAUGAUACGGGGUUUUGUCACAAUUAUCGUCAUAGAAGUGUCAUAAGUAUGACAGAAAAAAAAUUCGUUCGGCCCAAAAUGUCACGGAUGUGUCUUUUUUUGUAGUGGCAUCGACGUUAUGGGCAACUAGCCAACACUACUCGGCAAGCUGACAAAGCUGAAACCCCACUAUAUUUGUCCGAAGAAGAAGCUGUUGAGACUAGCAACAAAAACAAGAGGCACAGGAGCAAUAGCCCUCAUGAAACAAGAAGAGGAAUUGUCAGUGUUAAACCGGUCAAGCUCAACAUACCUUAAUUUGCUGGAGAAGAUACUCAACACUGGAUACAAACAAUUGAACAACACUUUGACACUGCUAGAACACCUCUUGAGCAAAGAGCUGAAUUUGAUGCCUCUUAUCUGGAAGAAACUAUAGUCCAAUGGUGCAGAGGCACAACCUUUAAUGAUCAAACUCAUACUUGGCACGGAUUCUGCAGAUAUCUAGGAGACAGAUUUGCAGAAAGUUCUAUUUGUGAUAGUGUGAAGAAUGUUCAUGCCAUGCAAAUUGGAAUAGUGAGAGAGUACAUUGAGAAAUUUGAAAUAGCUCUAAAACUAAUGAGAAGGGACAACCACGGAUUACAUGAUCAUUAUUAUAAGAACUGCCAUGUUCUGUACUAAAAUGUGGUGCCAAGUGCAUAUCAAAGACCAUGCCACCAGAGUCCAAUCCAAAGACCAGAUCUUUGAGGGCCACCGUCUUCUUGAUUGCUUAAUCUCAAGGACUAGCCAUCAACCAUGAGUGAUUACCAACACACAUAAAGAAGUUGUACAUCAAUUUGUGAUGUGGGUGGGGUGAUACUAUAGGAGCUAUGAGGGCACCGAAGGAAACCUAUAUGUGUUUUCGCGUGGUAUUCUUGUAGGGCAUAGGAGAGUUGGACAAUUCGAUCCACUCAUAUGCCACUUGUGUGGUGAAAUCUAGGGCAAUGUCGUCCUGGAUGAAUCGCACGGAGUUGAAAACAGAGAACCUUAGUGGUCCACUCAUCAAGAGUAGCUCUUUGUUCAGUGGUCACUAGUUUCAUUGCUCAUCUAUGGGCUCAUCUUCUUUAUGUUCCUAUGAAUCGAAUUUCCAAUACAUCCCAUUCCCCCGCUAGAUUACGCUCUGUGACAGUUAGUGUCAAUCACCCUACUCAAACUUGGUGCUCACUUCUUGCACUUUGCUAUCCUAUUUCAGCUCCGCUACCAACUAAAGGUGAUCCAGCUACAUUGGUAAUAAGCUAGUUAUUUAUAGGAGGCCAGCUUGUGACCAAAUAUCACAUGCCAACUAUUGUGAUCAUUUAAUUCUACUGAGUGUGGUGUAGUUGUUGAAAUUUAGUAUCAUUGCUUCACCAAACCCAAACUGUUGUAAUCGUUUAAUUUUAGUAUGAGUGGUUUAGUUGUCCACAUUUGUAACACUCAAGACAUAUCCAAAUAUGAGCAACCCUAAGAGGAUUGUUGCUAAUAAACCAUGACAAAGAAGUUAUUUCUAAAGUCAAGGUAUUAUGUUGUUGUAGUGCAAUCCUGCCUGCUUUAGAUUUUAUCGUGCUACCAAUACACCAUUACACCCAUAAAACAACAUUUUAUGUGUGUGCAUCAGAGGUGACAAGUGCAUAAGAAAGACAAUGCCACCAAAGUCCAUGCCAAAGCUCCGACCUUAGAAGGCCACAAUUAUCUUGACCGCUACAUCGCAAUGACAACCACGGGUAACCACCAACACGCCAAAAAAAUUGUUGGAUCAAUUGGAGACAAGGAGAUGUGGUUUGGGUGACACCUAUCCAGAAUUAUAGGCCCAUUUUGCAUCACUAUUAAUUAGUAUAAAUUGCUCAUUAUAAAUGAUAUUUUGCACAUUAUCACAUCUAUCUAUGUCUUUUUUCUAUAAAUUUGCAUGUUGUACCGUAGGAGGGAAUCAUGUCAAAAGGCUGCAGGAAAGCGGCAAAACAAGGAUUUGCGAGAAAAAAACUCAAUUUUUUGAAGACCAAAAAAUAAUAUAAAAAUAGUCUGGGAGCUUUCAUGUGGGAAGAGAGCCAAGUGUCCCUGGCCCCACAACACGAUCCCAGCUUGAUGUUGCGUGGGGCCCAUAGUGCACCUCCCGGCUGCCUUUUGGCACCCCUGGUCCUAUUUACCCCAAAAAAACCUAGACCUAUGUUAGAUGAGUUUUUUGCCGCCAUCCUCAAGGCGGAAACGAGAUAGAGCACUUUCUUGCUCCCCGGAGGGCUCUUUCUCCGGGAUNNNNNNNNNNNNNNNNNNNNNNNNNNNNNNNNNNNNNNNNNNNNNNNNNNNNNNNNNNNNNNNNNNNNNNNNNNNNNNNNNNNNNNNNNNNNNNNNNNNNNNNNNNNNNNNNNNNNNNNNNNNNNNNNNNNNNNNNNNNNNNNNNNNNNNNNNNNNNNNNNNNNNNNNNNNNNNNNNNNNNNNNNNNNNNNNNNNNNNNNNNNNNNNNNNNNNNNNNNNNNNNNNNNNNNNNNNNNNNNNNNNNNNNNNNNNNNNNNNNNNNNNNNNNNNNNNNNNNGCCAUCUACAUCGCAAGCGCUCCAUUCAUCGUGGGGAUCAUCAUCACUAGCACCCACAUCACCGUCAUCCUCUCAAAUCCUAGACUUCAAUCCAUGAACUAUUCUUUCAGAUUAGUUGUUAUGAUCACUUCCUGCUAUUAAUUGCUUCUCAUUGCUUGAUGUUUACUGAUUUGCUGGUAAAGAUUUGUUUGUUUAUCAUAUCCUUAGCAAACUGAGCAUGAUCUAUAUGAUGUCUCAUAAGUAGUCCCUUUAUGUUGUGUUAUAAUUCUCUAGUGGUGAUGUGCGAACAUUGACUACAUAUUACUUCACCUUGAUGAGCCUAGAGGAGAGCAUUAUGUGAUAAGUUUGCCUGGAUGGAUGGUCGGAGUGACAAAUAUUGUAGUGCCCCAAGUUUUUGAAUUAUUGCAUAAGGAGUAAUUGAGGACCCUUAAGUUCAAUGAUAUGGCUAGAUGUUAUCUUAACUAUUCACUUGUAUUUAGGGAUGCUUGCAUUCAGGGUAUAAUCACAAGGAUCACAUCACUUAUCAAAAGUAACGAAACUUAAUGUCAAUGGAACUAGGUGAACACAACUUGGCGAAAUUCUUGCUGUCCGCGAAAACGAUUUGAUCCACAUAAGUAAUUUCACCGGUUUGUUCUUAGCUCACGCCACUGUUGUGGCCUUCUUUUACUUUCAGUUAAACUUUUCCUUUAUAUAGGCCUCGGAUCCCUUAUGCAGAGGCAGAGCAUCGAAUGUAAACGUGUUGUAAACCCUACGAGAUAUUCUUGCUGUUGGGCCGAUACAAACUGUGGGUUUGAUAUUCUUGGGCGUCAGUACUACUUUGGGCUGUGGCUCUAAAAAGAACUACUUUGGGUCAUUGGGAGUUGGACUGUCGUCUCUUUUUCUUCUUUCUUGGAAAUAAAACCAGCGUCAUCUCGCGUCCUUAUUCCUUCCCCUUCUUCCUCUUUUCACGUCCCCGCAUUGUCCCCUAAACCCUACCAGAUCAGUAGCACUUACGGUGGCGGCAGAGGAGAGUCGCAGCUCCCCCAUCGCCCGGAGCAGGUCUACCAUGUCGGCCGCCGCCGGCAAGCCAUCCCGGUCUGCCUCUGCCAUCAUUGCCUCCACAGCGAGCGGGUACCACCUCCUCAAGAUCGAUGGCUACUCCCGCACCAAGGGCAUCCCCACCGGAGAAAGGAUAAAGUCCCGCCCUUUCACCCUUGGAGGACAUCGAUGGUACAUCGUUUACCAUCCCAACGGCUCCGGACAACAGUACGCAGACUGCAUAUCCCUGUUCCUCGUUCUCGAUGAAGAUGUCACCACGGCAGUGAAGGCGCAACACAAAUUCAGUUUCGCGGAUGAGUUGACGGACCAAGCUCCUUCAUUUGCAUCAGUAGCAGUACACAACCACAAUUCUCAGCAGCGCUGGGGGAAUGCGAUGUUCAUGAAAAGGGCAGACUUGGAGAAGUCGAAGCAUCUCAAGGACGAUUGUUUCACCAUCAGGUGCGAUAUCGUUGUCAUCAGCGACUACCGCGCAGAGGAUUUGCCCGAAGAGACUCCUCCAGCAUUUGUCACUGUGGCCCCAUCUGACCUGCACCAACACCUCGGAGAUCUCCUCAACACUGAGAAGGGUGCCGACGUAGUCUUCGAGGUUGGUGGUCACACGUUCGCAGCACACCGCUGUGUGCUCGCUGCCCGAUCACCAUUCUUCAGUGCUGAGCUCUUUGGCGGUAUGGAGGGCGACACCGCAGGUGUGGUGCGCAUAGAUGAAAUGGAGGCGCAGGUGUUCAAGGCGUUGCUCUGUUUUGCGUAUACCGACUCCUUACCGGUGACACUAAAGGAAGAUGAAGAUGUCGUGUGUCAGCAUCUGCUUGUUGCGGCCGACAGGUAUAACAUGGAGAGGCUGAAGAGUAUUUGCGAGGAAAAGCUAUGCAAGUACAUCAACGCAGGCACAAUAACAAACAUCCUGACAUUAGCUGAGCAGCACCACUGUGAGGGCCUAAAGAAGGCAUGCUUAAGUUUUCUUAGCUCCCCGGCAAAUCUUAGGGCUCUGUUGGACAGCGACGGCUUCGAUCAUCUGAGCAGGAGCUACCCUUCUGUUAUUAAGAAUCUGAUUGCCAUGUCAGCCCUUGUUUAGUGGUAAAUGUUGCGUUAGCAAUUAUAUAGUUCCAGGGAUUGAAAUGGUUUUCUUGUACUAGCAAUGGUGCUUAGCUCCCUGGUUUGGUUUGAAGACUUAUUAUCCGCGGUUAUCUUAGAUUCCUAGUAUUAUCAGACUACCUAUCCUAACUUUCGAAAAAGAUGGAAACUAGUAUUAUCUAUUAUGGCACUGUCAUUUUGUUUGUGUUUUGGUGUUUCCUUGCAUGUCUGAAUCUUUAUCAGUUUAUCAGGAAGUACUUGGAUAUCAGGUAGCAGUCCAUGAAUUAUAUGGAUCUGUGAUUCGGUAGUUAUCUUACUACUGGGAAGCAUCUAUCAAAGAACAUUGAUCAGUGCAUCUCUGAUCAGGAGUUGCCUCUAUCACGAGGGAUUAUUUGCCACACAUCUAUUCUAAAGUUAUGACCAUGUUUACAAUUAUUUAAUUCACGAUGCUCAUUUGCCAAUGAUAGUAUUUGACAUCUUUUACAUUUUCCAAUUAGGAUUUUUUCCUGGCAUAUUACUAAAUUUAUCCUAAAUGCACGCAGAACUAUGCUUAUGUUUGCCUCUGUUAUGUUAGUGCGUUGCUAUGUGCUCCUUUUCCCAUUAUUUAGCAAUAACUUUGUUAUCAAGUAGCCAUAUUGACUGAUAUUCACCAGGCUUGCAAUUUCUCUGGAUGCCUACUGUUUUUCUUUUCAUCGAAUGCUUUGGAUGCCUACUGCAAAUCGGGUUUCGAAUAAAUCUCAGUCCUCGACUCAAAUCCACCAAGGAGUAUUCAGUUACUCGUGCAUCAGGCGUUUGUUCUGAACCUUCUUUCCUGUAUUCUAUAGAGAGCAAAUUCAUGAAUUUCCAGUUACUGUGUAAAGGUACAGGCUUCCCUCUUUCCAUUCCAUGCAAAGUUGCAAGGAUGAUCCGAUAUUUUUCUUUCGGUCAAAUUAAGCAAUUCUUGUGUAUCUUAUUGUAGCUUGUAAGAUUUACUGAUUUAGGAUCCUCGAAUUGCACCACCUUGUCCAGGAUCUGGCUGAGUUAGGCACGACUAGACACCUUAAAAUGUUGUAAAUGUGCAAAAGAAAUCAGUUCUUUUUUCUUGAUUUUUCAGCUCCAAGUUCGGUUUUGUUGUUCCCGUUGAAAUGCACUAGCUGCAGAGCUGUUCCCGUUAUGCUAAGUGGAGUCGGGCUAUAAGCAGUAAUCCUCUAGCUGCCAUCUAUCUGCACAGUCCACACUCAUAUGUAUUUCCUGUAAACAGGGUUGGUUAGUUUUUUUGACAGCUGGGUUAGUUAGUUUGUGUUAGAAACAAUGGUGAUUAAGUAUUCUUCUUAUGGGUCAAGUAUCCUAUUGUUUGUAGCUUGUAAGAUUUUGGAUCCUCGAUUUGCACCACGAUGUUAUAGGACGUGGCUGAGUUCAGAUAUUGUAUGCAAUCUUUGCUUCCUGCACUAUAACUAUAAGUUAGGCAGGAUUAAACUCAUUAAAUUGUUUUUAACAUGCAAAAGAAGUCUGUUCUUUCUUGGUGUUUCUGCUCCAGGUUCAGUUUUGUAUUAGAAUCAGUGAGCGUCUAAUCCUGUUGAACUCACUGCUAUUUUAAAAUGCACGAUGUGUUUGUUAAUUAGCUCAUAGUUUUAGCUGUUUGUUCUUCUUUAGUUGUUCUGCCUAUUCUGACAACAGCCUCGAGUCCUUGGAUCUCCACCGUGUGGCUGGAUGAUGACGCGAAGCCGUACGGUGGCUAAAUAAGUCACCGGUUGGAUGUUGUCCGAUCUGCAUCCGUCGGCUGAGAUUCAACCACUUGUUGACGGCCUUUUACUGUAUUGGCUCACCUCGCUGUUGUGGCCUUCUUUUACUUCCAGAUAAGCUUUUCCUUUAUAUAGGCAUCGGAUCCCUUCUGGAGAGGCAUCGAAUGUAAAUGGAUUGUAAACCCUAGCCGCCACUGCAGAGUGCAGAUCCAUCUGAAUUCGAGGCUAGUUUCCUCUGAAUUCUAUGUGUUUGUUGUUUUUAAGUUAGUGAGAGGCUAUCAAUUGCUAUUAGUAGCCAACUGUGCUCGGUGGCGUGUUGGAUUGUGGCAAGGUGUGGUUCGGCUAGCCGGUAAAACCCUCGCACCUUGACCCACGAUUCCGGGGGCGGUGACACAAUUGGUGGCGCAGGCGACGGUAGAAUGCUUGAGUGUAGGUUAGGAGGCGGCGUGGUUAUUGAAGAACGCUUCUUCGGCUGUAAAAUCCCACCCACCCUCCCUCUACGGUGCAUUGCAGCGAAGGGUAUUUGCAUUGGUGUUCAACGCGGGAUGGAUUUGGUUGUGCAGGUACGGUUACCACUUGGUGGUUGUAAAAUUCCCUCCUUACCCUCCCAGAUCUUGUUCAUUAGGUGAGAAAGAGCUCUGAAACUAAUGAGAAGGGACAACCCCAGCUUACCUGAUCAUUAUUAUAAGAACUGCCACAUUCUGUACUAAAAUGUGGUGCCAAGUGCAUAACAAAGAGCAUGCCACUAGACUCCAAUCCAAAGACCAGACCUUUGAGGGCCACCGUCUUCUUGAUUGUUCCAUCUCAAGGAUUGGGCAUCAACCAUGAGUGAUUACAAACACACAUAAAGAAGUUGUGGGUCAAUUUGUGAUGUGGGUGGGGUGAUACUAUAGGAGCUGUGAGAAUGCCAAAGGAAACCUAUAUGCAUUGUCGCGCGGUAUUCAUGUACGACAUAGGAGAGUUGGACAAUUCGAUCCACUCAUAUGCCACUUGUGUGGUGAAAUCUAGGGCAAUGUGGUAUUGGCUUAAUCGCACGGAGCUGAAAGCAUAGAGCCUUAAUGGUCCGCUCAUCAAGAGUAGCUCUUUGUUCAGUUGUCGCUAGUUUCAUUGCUCAUCUAAGGGCCAAUCUUCUUUAUGUUCCUAUGAAUCGAAUUUCCAAUACAUCCCAUUCCCCCACUAGAUUACGCUAUGUGACAGUUAGUGUCAAUCACCCUACUCAAACUUGGUGUUCACUUCUUGCACUUUGCUAUCCUAUUUCAGCUCCCCUACCAACUAAAGGUGAUCUAGCUACAUGGGUAAUAAGCUAGUUAUUUAUAGGACGUCAGCUUGUGACCAACGAUGCAUGUGGCCAUCACAUGAUCAUUGCUUCACCAAACAUCACAUGCCAAUUGUUGUGAUCACUUAAUUCUAUUGAGUGUGGUGUAGUUGUUGAAAUUUAGCAUCAUUGGUUCACCCAACCCAAACUGUUGUGGACGUUUAAUUCUACUGUGAGUGGUGUAGUUGUCCACAUUUUUAACACUCAAAAGAAGUUAUUUAUAAAGUCCAAUAUCUAUAAGGGCAACUCAGAUCAACCAGCCCAUUUGGUCUGUUUGGGUAUGUGAGCGAAAAAAAUGACCUGACAUGUGGACGCAAACUAAAAAAAAUUGUCUGUCACGUGUACAUGUGGACGCAAAUCUAUCCCAAAUUUCGGUUCGAUUUGCGUCCACACGGACACGAGAUGGACGCGUCGUGUCCUGCUCGAUGUCCGGCUCGGGCCCACGCGUUGGCCCCCCAACUACCUCCCACCGGUCCUAUUUAAUUUCACGCAUGCGGGAGGGCCCACACGUCAACCACAGAAACCAGUCCACGGGCGUUCAUUUUGAUGCCACGUGUGUGGUGGGGGCCGCCAAGUCCACUUCCUCCCUUCCUCUUCUUCCUCUUGCCCCCUAGCCGUUCGACACCAACUCUAGUCGCCGCCCACCAUGAAGCAUGGCAAGCAUGACCACAAGGCUGGCUCCUCAUCGAUGCGCCGCCGCGCAGUCAACUUCACCAUGGCACCGCGGCCACGCCUUCGCUUCUACAUGCCUGUCCACCACGGAGCACCGCGACUUGGGCAUGGUGGAUGGGGAGAGGAUGUGAAGUUCAGAUAUCACGCAACGAAGAUGUGGUUGGGCGCAUAGAGGAGGGCUUCAUAGAUAUGCGACGUGGACGGCUCCAGAGCACGGCUUAAAUAGUGUGUGGCGGUUGGAGUAGGCUUAUCGGUCACCGUGUUUGCACUGAAACAACGCCGCCUGCUCGUCCGGUCGCGUUGGUCUGACCGACAUCAAUGCCACGGAGUCAUGUCCGCAUUGGGACGACGCAGACCGACAUGAACGCGCGGCAAUGCUUCCUGCGGAGAGGGUUUUUGAGCGGGCGGGUUUGGGUGGGACCGUAGUUACUCGGAAAUUUAUAUUGAAAACUAGUUUGAUUUAUUUUGACAUUCGAAACCAUUUGACAGUUCAACGUGCACAGGAGCACAUGGGUAGGCAAUCUGCAGACGAAGACCAUGCGCAAGGUCUCUAGUGUAGGAUGCAGGCCUACGCACGGUCUCGUCCCAUCACCGUUGCCUAUGGUACUAAUGGUAGAAUUAACUCUUGACUAGGGGAACCGGUGGAACCCAAAGCCAAUAAGGCUAGUUCCAAUGCAUUGGUGCUUACAUGAGAUGCUAAGUACAUUAAAAACUUUAGCAACUAAAGCCCCCAAUGCAUAGGUGCUUAAAUUAUUGGUGCUAAGCAUCCUUCAUUUAAUGAUUUUGCAAUUAAAGUUCUUCAUGCAUUGGUGGGAUCCUUUCAAUUUAAGUGUCUUGCCUAGGUUCUCGCGCUUGGCAUUGUUUCUUUUUGGGGUCAUCACACUCAUCUCUCUCCUCUUAAUUACCUUGUCACAUCAGACUUUUUAUCUACAUGACAACCUUAGCACCUGUACAAUGGCGGGCUCUGCCUCCCCACCCCCCAAACCGCAAUCUCACCCCACUUCCCUCCCAAUCCCCACAUUCCCACCCCUGAGCGCAAAUGGUGUUGUCGGUGUCGAGGAAGCACAAGGUGAACUGCCCGCAGAACGAGGAGGUCGCGGCCUGGCUCUUCUUGAAGCACCGGGCCAUGGCGGAGCAGUAGCCGGGCGGCCUCCCGGAGCACCAGGGCCACGCGCUCUUCGCCGCCUACCGCUGUGUCUGCGCCACCAACGUGCCCAUCUAGACCUUCGGCGACCUGGCGGUCUCAGACUCUCAGGUGCGCAUUUCCCGGCCUCUUUCAAACUGUUUCCGUUUACGACGCUAUUAGGAUGAGGCAAAGGUUUUGGUCGGUUCGGUUCCGGGCUCGCGCGCUUCGGAUCUGAGCAGUGCAUUCGAUCUGCAUAACUUUUGUGACUGUAGAAUCAUACUCCCUCCGUUUCUAAAUAUAAGCUUUUUAGAUAUUCCAAUAUAGACUACACACGAAACAAAAUGAGUGAAUCUACAUUCUAAAAAGACUUAUAUUUAGAAACGGAGGAGUAGGUUUCAGCUCCAUCGUGUGUCCAUUUGCUCUGCUGCAACCGUUGAUUUGCUGCCGGUGUAUGCUGAAAUCAAUUUAGGCCAUUACUUGUCAUUUUUGUCUGGCGAACUGUACUCAUAUCACCUCUAAGCUGCCAUUCGAAUUGGGAUUUGCCUGUAUGUAGAUAAUCUUUUGUUUCUCUUGUGUGUGUUGAAUUGAGUGAUGAAAAUCACACAUCUCUACUAUUAAUAGACGAGUUGGUUGAAUAGUCCCAUCACUUUCGUCUGUUUUUUUGUCUGUUUUUUUGUCUCCUCACCCCCGCACCCACCCCACCCUCACGCACGCACCCAAAAAUCCCGCCCUCCUCCAUCUCUCGACCCACACCAGAUAGGGUUUCUGUCCGCCGCCGCCGCUCCCCUUCGGGCAUCGUCGCCUUCUCUUCAGUGCUUGAGCUCUCGCCCCUUUCGCUCGCCAGUCGCCUGUGCCCCGAGCCCCCACUGCCCCGACCUUGCACUACCAGAAUAACUGGCGAUGCCGAUGGCCGAACCUAUGCCGACGGCCCCCGUCGGCAUAGAUAGGCCUAUCCCGAAGGCCCAGCCCAGGCCGUCGGCAUAUAAAAGCCGUCGGCGUAUAUCAAUCUAUGCCGACGGCCCCCGUCGGCAAAGCUUAGCCGUCGGCGUCGAUAGAAAUAUGCCUACGGUGGCCGUCGGCAUAGAGGAGGCCGUCGGCAUAGCACGUGGGCCCGGCUACCCGGACGGAGAUGGCCUUUUGACGGCGUCAAUCUACGCCGACAGGCUAACAGCGGCCGUCGGCAUAGACACCACGUCAUCGAUCCGCGUCGCCCGCCACGUCAUCGAUCUGCGUCGCUCGCCUGUCCGUGGGGUGGCAAAUCUAUGUCGACGGCCUGGUCGUCGGCAUAGGUCUGGCCCAUGGAUGUUGCCACAUCAUCGAUCCGCGCCCUUGGGCACGUCAUCGAUCCGUGGCCGUGUGCGCAGGUAUGCCGAUGGCCUUGCCGUCGGCAUAUCUCUAUUUUUUUUCUUAUUUUUUUUAUUUUUUUAUUUACUUUUCCCUGUUUUUUCACAACAUAAAUGUGCCUUAUCUAACAAAAAAAACAUACCCAGAUGGUAUAUCGAUUGCCCCCCUCACGGACGUUGCUGCCGCCGCUCCGUGCCCCACAGCGACGCCGGAGAUGGGGGGCACACCCCGGAGCUGCGUGUCGGGUGCCUGCGCUAGCCACCACGCUUCCACAACCGUAGGAGGGCCCAAAGCAACACCUAGCGGCAUUGCUACCCCCCAGCUACACCCUCCCGUCUAACCGGGCCCUCAUACAUGCGGGGCGGUGUGGUGCCAUGUCUAAAGAGGCGGGACGGGGGCCGUGGGGGAUAGCAAUACCAGCGGAGCGUCGCACCGGCCCCUCAUACAUGCGGGGUGGUGUGGUGCCAUGUCCAAAUUAGAGGCGGCACGCGUCUCCGGGGUGUGCCCCCUCACACGGACGACGCCGCCGCCGGCACUUGAAGGGGGGAAACGGACGCGUCGGGUCUACACGGAGGGGAUCUUACUGUGGGUUUGGCCCGGAUGUUGCUCUAAAAUGUUCGUAUGGGCUGACCUAACACGACCGGGUGGAUAGUUCCACUGGUUAAAACCCGUCCNNNNNNNNNNNNNNNNNNNNNNNNNNNNNNNNNNNNNNNNNNNNNNNNNNNNNNNNNNNNNNNNNNNNNNNNNNNNNNNNNNNNNNNNNNNNNNNNNNNNNNNNNNNNNNNNNNNNNNNNNNNNNNNNNNNNNNNNNNNNNNNNNNNNNNNNNNNNNNNNNNNNNNNNNNNNNNNNNNNNNNNNNNNNNNNNNNNNNNNNNNNNNNNNNNNNNNNNNNNNNNNNNNNNNNNNNNNNNNNNNNNNNNNNNNNNNNNNNNNNNNNNNNNNNNNNNNNNNNNNNNNNNNNNNNNNNNNNNNNNNNNNNNNNNNNNNNNNNNNNNNNNNNNNNNNNNNNNNNNNNNNNNNNNNNNNNNNNNNNNNNNNNNNNNNGCCACCCGAAUGUCGCACCGGGCAUAGGGUGCGAUUCCGGUAGUGUUGGAGGAGGCUGCGGUCGCUGGAUCCAGCGAUUGCCAUCACCAACGCCAUCAUCUCCAUAGCCGCAGGCCCAGGUUGGAUUCAGCCGGCAUGCCGGUCGAGCGCACAGCCCUAACCUCCUGCUGCUAUAUUAGAUGCCUAGGGGAGGGGGAGCGGGACUGGAGCUCGAUUUGACGACGAGCUAGACAGGGGCGGUUUGUGGCGCCCGUGCGCGUCGAAGAUCAGGCGGUGGCCGCGUCCUGCAUCAAUGGCGCGACGAUGAAUCAGAGGGAAGAUGGGAGAGAGGAGGAGAUGGGAGGAGGAAGGAAGGAACCGGGGAGGGACUCACCGACGCGGUGGCGCUUGCCGGAGGCUGGCUGGCGGUGGGGUCACACGGCAGCGGCGGCACGCGUGUGGCGCCCUCCCUAGCAGCGCAAGCAGGAAGGAGGAGGUGCACGGGAGGCGUAGGCGCUACGGUGAGAUGGGCUUCAUAUGUGCAGCGGGCCCUAGACGCUGUUGGUGGCUUGGGGGAGCUGACCUAGACGUCAAUUUCUACUUCACGUACAACAACGUUCUGCAUCAGAGAAGGUUUGUGAUGCAAAUGACUACUCCUUUACUAUUUUUUAUUAGUUUCAACUGUAUUGGUUGGAUUAGCGAGUGAAUUGCAGAAAAACACCACAUUUCAUCUUAGGUUUGCAGAAAACACUCUUCUACGUUUUUGCUGCAGAAAACACUGAUUUUUUCCUAAUCAUUUGCAGAAAGCACCAAACCUCCUGUUCGGGCAGUUUAAGCACUAUUAUGACAUAUGGGACCCUGUCUUGUCGACGUGGCUCACGGCCGCGAGCUGACGCUGUCUAACGGCGCUACAAUGCCCACCGACGCCCCCGCUAGGUCAAGAGACCAGAUCGAAUCGACACUUCUCCCCCAUCUGAAAAUUUCCCCACCAUCUCCGCGGCGGCACGCUCUCCUCUCUCUCUGUCUCAUUCAUGGCAACGGCGAGCCCGGACGACGGCGACGGAGUGGAUGGCGGAGGUGGCGACGGCGCAAGAGGGUUGUUUGGCGGCGGAGAUCCAAAGCCACCCGAGGAGGUCUACGGUAGUUCUAACCCUAGCCAGGCCCCGUGGAGCAGACCACCGUCCCCGUCACUGGAGUACCAUGCCGCCGGCGCUCUGGCCCGUGCUGUGCAGGCUACUCCGACGGGGAGCCACCACUGGGCAUCUGCAUUCGGCGGUGUGGAGUAAGAUAUCUCCUCUGCCUCCCCCAGCCCCUAAUUUUCUGUCGAUUCCAUAAUUAGGGUUAGGUGUGUAAAUAAAAAAUGGAUCUUUUGCCUAGUACUAAGUGUUCAUCUGCUCUCUAAAUUAGAUUGUAGUGAUAUUAGUAUACUCUGUUUAGGAGAUAAUAUAGUGAUAAUUUUUGUGAUUUUAAUUGCUAUUUGGGUUAGGAUGCACUGUUUAUUUAGUAGACAUUAGGGUCACAGUUAGCUCUUAUUGAAAUUGGUAUGCAUAGUAUAUUUUAAAUUGGUCACUUGUAUUGUUUGUAGUUAGUGUUAUAUUGUUUAAUUAAUAAGUACAAGAAUUGUUCCUUUUGUAGCUUGUAUGAUGUUUGGGAGGUUAGACUGCACUUUCAUGAUAUGGAUAACUUGGAAAGGACUAUGUGUGUUUCAGACAUCACUUUUUACAAUUUGUUAGCACUCAUAGAGACAGCAGGAUAUGGAAGUAAAGACUAUAUGUAUUAUGUGAGGGAUGCUGGGUUGGGAGUAGCUGGUUUGGAGGAGAUAUGUGAUGAUGACAAGGUGGAUGAGAUGCUGGAUGACAUUGCCAAUAAAGAUCAGAACAUAGUCAACCUGACAAUAGUUAGGGGUAGUGAGCCCAGACCUGCAGAUAUAAACAGAGGUUAUGUUUGUGAUCAGCAAGUUCCUAUAGGCAAUGUUGGAGAGAGCAUUGUAUAUGAGGUGAAUGAUGUUGGGGUGGUGUACAAAUCACCAUCCAAAGUAUCAAAAAGAGACGCAGUAGUUGAGGAGCCUGAACCAAUCCAGUAUUUCUCCACACAGCAGAGCCACAAUGUUGAUAUGGAGCAAGGCAAUGAAGCAGAUGUUGAUAUUGAGCAAGGCAAUGGAGAUGAUGUUGACAUGGAGCAACAGGAGUUAGAAAGAAGUAUGGAGCUUAGAAGGAGAUCAAAAAUGAGAUUUAAGCAACAUCAGAAGAAUGUUGAGAGGGUGCAGGAAGUGAAAAGAAAACUUCCUGUGCUACUAACUGAAGAUGACUCUGACUUGGAGGAAGAUGAGGAUUUCAUGGCUAGGAUGGCUGAGCUAAAGAGGCAGAGAGAGGACCCACUCUUACAUUUUGAAGGUGACACAUAUGUAGAUGAACCUUAUGAGAUACAAGAGGAAGUGCAUGAGGAAAAUGCAGAGAAAGAGGAGCAUGGAGAUCAUGAGGAACUUGAAAAGGAGGUGCUACCACAGGGGCAAAAGAGGAAGAAGUUGAAAGUAAGAAAGGGGCCAACCACAAGAUCACAUGCUAGUUUGGAGCAACAGUUUGAGGAUGUUUGGGUACCAUCAUCUGAUGAGGAUCCAGAUCCUGGUGAUUUGAAGGAGGAGCAAGAUGAUGGGGCUGUACUGAAGGAAAUAUGCCCUAGAGGCAAUAAUAAAGUUAUUAUUUAUUUCCUCAUAUCAUGAUAAAUGUUUAUUAUUCAUGCUAGAAUUGUAUUACCCGGAAACAUAAUACAUGUGUGAAUACAUAGACAAACAUAGUGUCACUAGUAUGCCUCUACUUGACUAGCUCGUGAAUCAAAGAUGGUUAAGUUUCCUAACCAUAGACAUGAGUUGUCAUUUGAUUAACGGGAUCACAUCAUUAGGAGAAUGAUGUGAUUGACUUGAACCAUUCCGUUAGCUUAGCACUUGAUCGUUUAGUAUGUUGCUAUUGCUUUCUUCAUGACUUAUACAUGUUCCUAUGACUAUGAGAUUAUGUAACUCCCGCUUACCGGAGGAACACUUUGUGUGCUACCAAACAUCACAACGUAACUGGGUGAUUAUAAAGGUGCUCUACAGGUGUCUCCGAAGGUACUUGUUGAGUUGACAUAUUUCGAGAUUAGGAUUUGUCACUCCGAUUAUCGGAGAGGUAUCUCUGGGCCCUCUCGGUAAUGCACAUCACUGUAAGCCUUGCAAGAAAUGUAGCUAAUGAGUUAGUUAUGAGAUGAUGCAUUACGUAACGAGUAAAGAGACUUGCCGGUAACGAGAUUGAACUAGGUAUUGAGAUACUGACGAUCGAAUCUUGGGCAAGUAACAUACCGAUGACAAAGGGAACAACGUAUGUUGUUAUGCGGUUUGACCGAUAAAGAUCUUCGUAGAAUAUGUAGGAGCCAAUAUGAGCAUCCAGGUUCCGCUAUUGGUUAUUGACCGGAGACAUGUCUCGGUCAUGUCUACAUAGUUCUCGAACCCGUAGGGUCCGCACGCUUAAAGUAAGAUGACAGUUAUAUUAUGAGUUUAUGUGUUUUGAUGUACCGAAGGUUGUUCGGAGUCCCGGAUAUGAUCAAGGACAUGACGAGGAGUCUCGAAAUGGUCGAGACAUGAAGAUCGAUAUAUUGGACGACUAUAUUUGGACACCGGAAAGGUUCCGGGUGAGAUUGGGACAAUACCGGAGCUCCGGGAGGUUGUCGGAACCCCCCGGGAGUUAUAUGGGCCUUAUUGGGCCUGAGUGGAAAGGAGGGGAAAGGAGCAAGGGAGGGGGCGCCCCCCAAGCCCAAUCCGAAUUGGGAGGGGGCCGGCCUCCCCUUUCCUUCUUCUCCCUUCCCUCUCCCUCUCCUAAUAGGAAAGGGGGGAGUCCUACUCCCGGUGGGAGUUGGACUCCCCCCUAGGGCGCGCCACCCCCCUUGGUCGGCCCCCUCAUCCACUCCUUUAUAUACGGGGGAGGGGGGCACCCCAUAGACACAACAAUUGAUCCUUGAGAUCUCUUAGCCGUGUACGGUGCCCCCUCCACCAUGGUCCUCCUCGAUAAUAUCGUAGCGGUGCUUAGGUGAAGCCCUGCGAUGGUAGAACAUCAUCAUCGUCACCACGCCGUCGUGCUGACGGAACUCUCCCUCGAUACUCGGCUGGAUCGGAGUUCGGGGGACGUCAUCGAGCUGAAUGUGUGCAAGAACUCGAAGGUGUCAUGCUUUCGGUGCUUGAUCGGUCGGGCCAUGAAGACGUACGACUACAUCAACCGCGUUGUGCUAACGCUUCCGCUUACGGUCUAGUAUGUAGACAACACUCUCCCCUCUCGUUGCUGUGCAUCACCAUGAUCUUGCGUGUGCGUAGGAAUUUUUUUGAAAUUACUACGUUCCCCAACAUGUACCCCUAGCAUUUGUGCUAGGCAGUAAGUCUAGGGCUAAAAAACCCAAACCAAGGGUAUGGUAUCAUGAGGAUAGAGAGAGCCCAGAGCUGCAGUUUGCUAAGAAGUUAUGCUUUGAUAAUGUGUACCAAUUUAGAAGGGCACUUCUCACUUUCCACAUAGCACAGAACAAAAACUAUCAGUUUCAUAGGAACUGCAAUGGCAGAAUUAUAGCUGUGUGCACACAUGAAGACUGCCCUUUCUUCAUUGCAGCUUGUGUGGUGGGAAAAGAGAAAACUUUCUGCAUUAGGAAAACUAAUUUGUUGCACACAUGUCCAGCUGUAGCAGAGGGCACCAAGGUGACUACAAAGUGGGUUACACAUGAAGUUUUAGAAGCAAUAAGAACAGACUUGAACACACCAAUAAGUACAAUAAUGCAAAAUCUGAAGAGCAAGUAUGGAGUUGCACUCAUAUGGCCUACAGGGCUAAGAACAAUGCUAUCAAGGUGGUGCAAGGAGAUCAGAGGGGGCAAUACACCAGGAUCAGGGAUUACUUGCAGGCUGUGUUAGACACCAAUCCAGGUAGUAGGUGCAUUGUCACUAUUAAGUUCCUAAAAGACCAUCCAAGCAUCAUUCCAAGGUUCCAUGGUUUGUUCAUAUGUUUGAAUGCUUGCAAGGAGGGAUUUCUAAAUGGAUGUAGACCAUUCAUAGGUGACUACUAAACUGUGUUAUAUAUGACAUAAAUGUGGUGCACCAUACUUUGUUUAUAACAUAUCUUGUGUGCCAUUGCAGGUGUGGAUGGAUGUUUCAUCAAGCUCUCAACUGGCCAACAAAUCCUUGCUGCCAUAGGAAGGGAUGGGAAUAAUAACAUAUAUCCCAUUGCCUUUGGAUUUGUGGACAAAGAAGACACAAAGAGUUGGACCUAGUUUCUCACAGAACUGAAGGCAUCUAUUGGUGGAGAAUCUGUGAGAUUUGGUUUUUACACCAUAAUCUCUGAUAGACAGAAGGUAUUAUAGAAUUUGCUCAUAGAAUUUUCUUAGUAUUAGUAGUUCAUAGUAAUUUCUUACUAGUAGUUCAAAGAAUUUUGAUUAGUACUAGUUAAUAUUCAUUGGUCAUUACUAGUUCAUAUAAGUAUUUCAUAGUAAUUGCUAGAAGUAGUUAAUAUUUUCAUUGCUCAUUAGUAAGUUUGGUAAUUUCCCCAAAUAGGGUCUUCUGAAAGUUGUGAGCCAAGUUUUCCCCAAUUGCCCCCAAAGAUUCUGCCUUAGACACAUCUACCAAAAUUUCCAGACUGCUGGUUUUAGGGGGUCAGAAUUAAAGAAGUACAUGGAUAAGGCAAGUUACUCCUAUACUGAACAUGGCCAUCUUGCUGCAAUGGAUGCUCUUAAAGUAGAGUGUAAGGCUGCUUGGACUUGGUUAAAUAAAAUUGCUAGACAUGCUUGGGCUACAUAUGCCAUGGACUUCAACUGCAAAACUGACCUAGUUGUCAACAAUAUUAUUGUGGUGUUCAACAAGAUGAUAUUAGAUGUGAGGGGUAAACCAAUAAAGAACAUGGUAGAUGGAAUCAGGACUAAGUUGAUGGUCAGGUUCAAUACAAAUAGGAGUAAGACAGAAUUAGACAAGUGGGAAAUAUGCCUAGCAUAUGCUGAGUUACUUGAAGAAGCCAAGAAACACUCUAGGAACUGUCAAGCAUUGAUGGCUGGGCCAAAUAUUUACCAAGUGACAAGCAAUGAGAAUACCUAUGCAGUUAACUUGCAGCAUAGGACAUGUGGGUGCAGAAAAUGGGAUAUGACUGCAGUGCCAUGCAAUCAUGCAGUCUCUGCUAUUACCAAAGCCAAAUUAAGGCCUGAAGAUUUUGUGCAUGACUUCUUCAAAAAUCCCAUGUAUCUGGAUGCAUAUAGUCCCAUCAUAUUUCCUGUACCUGGACCUGACCUCUGGCCUAAGACCAAAACUAGAGACAUAGAACCCCCAGUUUUCAAGGAUAAACCAGGGAAGAAGCAAACCAAAAGGAGAAGGAGUCAGUUUGAGCCACCAGCACCUAAAGAUACAUAUAGGAUGGAAUCAAUUACAUGCAUCAAUUGCAAUCUUGUGGGUCACAGAUACACAUCUUGCCACAAAACACUAAAGCCAGCUCUAGCAAUGAGAAAGAACAGGCAUGAGGUUAGUCUCUAUUGCCAUACUUGCUGCCAUCUAUUUCUGUUUUGUACCACUUGAAUGUAUUAACUUGGUGCCAUUUUCAAAUGUAGUCAAACAGGACAGAGGAUGGUACCACAUCUACUAUUGUAGCUUCAUCUGUUGCAGCUCCAGCAAACAGGGCACCACCAGUGGCAAGCAGCACAUCACCUCCAGCAAGCAGGGCAAGCAGGUCAGCAGCUCCAGUAAGCAGGCCAAGCAGCUCAGCAGCUCCAGCUAGGAGGGCAAGCAGCUCAGCACCUCCAGCAAGCAGGCCAAGCAGCUCAACAACUCCAGCAAGCAGGCCAAGCAGCUGAGCAGCUCCAGCUAGGAGGGCAAGCAGCUCAGCAGCUCCAGCAAGGACAUCCUUCUUGGCACCAAGAUAGAGGAAGAAACCAUCAAGGCUGAAGGAUUACUUUUAUGCUUUAGGGAACUAAUGUGCUUUGGAAAAACUGUUGAUGAUGUGAUCAGGCAAAACUGCUAAUUGCUAUGAUCUAUUUUGGGAACAACUUAUGCCGGUUUGAUGUUAUGGUACUGUAAUAACUACUAUUGAUGGUCUUGAUUUUAUGAGAAUUAUGCACUAUGAUGUUGUUGUUGAUGUUAUCAUGUUCAAUUUGAUGAUCAAUAUGAUGGUCUGUCUGCUACCAUGUUCAAUUUGAUCCAUAUGAUGGUCUUGCUUUUAGGAAAAUUAUACACUUGUUGAUGAUGGUCUUGGUGUUUUGAUAAUUAUACACUUGUUGAUGAUGGUCUUGGUGUUUUGAUAAUUAUACACUUGUUGGUCAAGGUACCCCUAGGGCCAUUUUGUCUAUGAAUCGAUGAAAUGGUGGUCAAGGUACCCCUAGGGCCAUUCUGUCGAUGAAUCAAUGAAAUGGUGGUCAAGGUACCCCUAGGGCCAUUCUGUCGGUGAAUCGAUGAAAUGGUGGUCAAGGUACCCCUAGGGCCAUUCUGUCGAUGAAUCGNNNNNNNNNNNNNNNNNNNNNNNNNNNNNNNNNNNNNNNNNNNNNNNNNNNNNNNNNNNNNNNNNNNNNNNNNNNNNNNNNNNNNNNNNNNNNNNNNNNNNNNNNNNNNNNNNNNNNNNNNNNNNNNNNNNNNNNNNNNNNNNNNNNNNNNNNNNNNNNNNNNNNNNNNNNNNNNNNNNNNNNNNNNNNNNNNNNNNNNNNNNNNNNNNNNNNNNNNNNNNNNNNNNNNNNNNNNNNNNNNNNNNNNNNNNNNNNNNNNNNNNNNNNNNNNNNNNNNNNNNNNNNNNNNNNNNNNNNNNNNNNNNNNNNNNNNNNNNNNNNNNNNNNNNNNNNNNNNNNNNNNNNNNNNNNNNNNNNNNNNNNNNNNUAAGGCCAUUCUGUCGAUGAAUCGAUGAAAUGAGGGUCAAGGUACCCCAAGGGCCAUUCUGUCGAUGAAUCGAUGACAUGAGGGUCAAGGUACCCCUAGGCCUUGUCGAUGAAUCAAUGAAAUGAGGGUGAAGAUACCCCUAGGCCCAUUUUGUCGAUGAAUCGAUGACAUGAGGGUCAAGGUGCCCCUAGGCCUAUUUUGUCAAUGAAUUGGUGACAUGAGGGUGAAGAUACCCCUAGGCCCAUUUUGUCGAUGAAUCGAUGAAAUGGUGGUCAAAUUGGAUCCAACCCCAUUGAUAACAAAAUAGUAAGUUAAGUUACUUGGUUGACAGAUUCAUACUCAAAUACUGAAUAGAUGAUAAUCAUCUAAACCAUAUAAAACCAAAUUGUACUAAGCACAUAAAACAUAUAACAUCAAAUUUGACUCACAUUCAUUAAGGUUCAUCAAGGUUGGAUCCAACACAAUGGAUCACAACAUACAUACUUAAAUUACUGGGUUCACAAAUUCAAACUAAAGUACUAAAUAGAUGAUUAUCAUCUACAUUACAACACUGCUAGAUCCAACACCAUGGAUCACAAAAUAAAUAGUUAAAGUAGUUGAGGACCAAGUUCAUACUAAAGUUUUGCAUGGAAGACUAUCAUCUACAUACAGAUAGAUGAUUAUCAUACUAGAAGACACUCCUACUCAUCUAAGAUGGCCUUCACCCCUUGAAGCUUCUGUUUUAUCUUCUCCUCAGACUUUUGAAGCUCAGAAAUGUGAUGCUGCAAUUUAAGCCUCUCUUCUGUCAGCCUUUCCUUCUCCUUCAAAUGAUUGAACUUCAAGUUCCUAAUCACAUUGGCUUGAGCACCUGUCGGGUUCACUGGAGUCUCAUACUUUUGCAGCAACUUCUUCUUCUCCUCCUCUUGCUUUGACAGCUCUGCCUUCAAGUUGCCCAUUACAGUUUCUAGCUCAGCAAUCUUCAAAUCAACAUAUUCCUUCUGCUCCUUCUGAUUGUUUAACUCCACACCCUUCUGCCGCUGGGCAUCCAAGAGAGCAUUCACAUCAGCAUACAAACUGUCAUAGUCCUCCUGUACUUUCUUCUCCUCCUCUUUCUUUGCCAGCUCUGCCUUCAAGUUGCCCACUACAGUUUCUAGCUCUGCAAUCUUCACAUCAAGACAUUGCUUAUGCUCCUUUUGAUUGCUCAACUCCAGACCCCUCUGUUGCUGGGCAUCCAAGAGAGCAUUGACAUCAGCAUACAAACUGUCAUAAUUCUCCUGUAGUUUCUUCUUCUCUUCUGUCAGGUUGUGAAUUAGAAAGGAACUCUCCAGAUUGUCAUUGGUCCUACCUGACUUACUCUCCUCAUACAUAUCCCAUAACUUGGCCAAUGCCUUCUCCAUUGAGUCUGCACAUUCAAAAUCAAUCCAUUGAACUACUCCACAGUUUAUUCCUUCCUGUAAAAUAAACAAUAAAACAAUAAAGAAUCAUCUAAGUGAGUAGGCUGAAGACCACUGUUAAGUGCCAUACUCCAUAAGCAAACAUGUUCAGGGGGUCUAAUAUGUGCAGCAAACAUAUCACACAACAAACAAAUAAACAAUGGCCACUGUUAAACAAGUAAUUAAGCACUGACCAUAAUAAACAAUGACAACCAUCCACUCACUGGUGGUGUCGGAGAGCGGAUGGCCGUCGGCCGACGGAUUCGCGGCCACCGCGGAGAACGCGAGGAGGUACAACCAGGGGCUGCUCGAUCACGUCCGGUCCGGGAGGCCGAGGCGGCCGGGGCCGAUCGAGACGUACGUGUUCGCCAUGUCCAACGAGAACAAGAAGCCUGGCGACGCCACGGAGAAAAACUUUGGGCUGUUGUACCCUGACGAGGAGCCUGUGUACCCGGUCACCUUCACCAAUUAGCAGUUGCCAAGUGUCAAGGCGAAGAUCUCUAAUUUAGAAAACCUUCCAGGUAAACCAGACUUNNNNNNNNNNNNNNNNNNNNNNNNNNNNNNNNNNNNNNNNNNNNNNNNNNNNNNNNNNNNNNNNNNNNNNNNNNNNNNNNNNNNNNNNNNNNNNNNNNNNNNNNNNNNNNNNNNNNNNNNNNNNNNNNNNNNNNNNNNNNNNNNNNNNNGCCCUCGCAUCGUCCUCCCGAGGGCGACUCGAGGGCGACUAGGGUUUCCCCCGCGUCGCCACCCCCUUAAUCCCAGUCCCUCCUCGCCGCCACCUGAGGGGAUGGACGGGCAAGCCUGGUGGGUCGUCGAUGAAGGUGGCGGUGAGGUGCUGUGUUGCUUCAUGCCCCCGCAAAGGACCUGGAAGCCGGGGUGGUGGCCCCAGACAGUGAGGCGGCGCUGCCUCCGCGACUGGCAGCGCCCGCAGGAGGUGGUGGUCGGCAUCCUCGGUUGUCCGGGCAGUGAGGAUACAGCGGGCGGUCGCGGUGCGGAGUUCCUCUGCCCCAGAUCUGAAGGUCAGGCGCCCUCCUUCCCUGCUCUCUCAUCCCCUCCGGUCGUGCCCUUUUGUGACUCUAGACGCCAGAUCCGGUGCAGGCGCGGUGCGGGUGCUCAGGUUCGAGUUCGGGGGAAACCCUUGGCCGGUCCUUCGGCCACGACGGCGACGGCGCGUGUGCGCGUCGUGUUCAUCCUUGGAGGCGCUGUUGAGGGCUCUCCUCUGCACCCCCGUCCCAGACCCCAAGUGAAAACCCAACACCCGUCUCGGGUUGGCCGGCGGCGGCGCCUAGCACGUCGCGUCCUCGUUGGAGGCGCCGUCUGGGGUGUCUGGUUCUUCGGGAGAGGGUCCAUGUGGCUGGUGGGCGUCUGUCGGCUGCGAGGCCAAGUUUGCAUUUUUUGUGGAGGGUGCUCGUGCCUGCAAGAGUCCUUCUUGCGGCCAUGGAACGGGACCUGGUGCUUCUAUGCUCCGCCUCUUGGCCUCUGCAGCUUUCUUCUUCGGCGAACUCCCGAUGGCUAUCCUUCUGCUCCUGGUUUGUUCGGGAGAGGUGGCAGUGAAGCUGUGGUGUGUGCCAGUGGCGUGGCGAGGGUUGUGCACCUGUCUGCGAUGGGAAUCCGGCUAGCGUCUGCUUUAGUUACCGGGUGAGCGCCAACGAUCCGACGGUGCGGCGCCUUCGAGCCUAGGCGAGAGUGUUGGAAAUAUGCCCUAGAGGCAAUAAUAAAAUGGUUAUUAUUAUAUUUCUUUGUUCAUGAUAAUUGUCUGUAAUUCAUGCCAUAAUUGUGUUAUCCGGAAAUCGUAAUACACGUGUGAAUACAUAGACCACAGAAUGUCCCUAGUAAGCCUCUAGUUGACUAGCUCGUUGAUCAACAGAUAGUCAUGGUUUCCUGACGAUGGACAUUGGAUGUCAUUGAUAACGGGAUCACAUCAUUAGGAGAAUGAUGUGAUGGACAAGACCCAAUCCUAAGCAUAGCUCAAAGAUCGUGUAGUUCGUUUAGCUAGAGCUUUUCCAAAUGUCAAGUAUCAUUUCCUUAGACCAUGAGAUUGUGCAACUCCCGGAUACCGUAGGAGUGCUUUGGGUGUGCCAAACGUCACAACGUAACUGGGUGACUAUAAAGGUGCACUACGGGUAUCUCCGAAAGUGUCUGUUGGGUUGGCACAAAUCGAGACUGGGAUUUGUCACUCCGUAUGAUGGAGAGGUAUCUCUGGGCCCACUUGGUAAUGCAUCAUCAUAAUGAGCUCAAUGUAACCAAGUGUCUGGUCACGGGAUCAUGCAUUACGGUACGAGUAAAGUGACUUGUCGGUAACGAGAUAAAAUGAGAUAUUGGGAUACCAACGAUCGAAUCUCGGGCAAGUAACGUACCGACUGACAAAGGGAAUUGUAUACGGGAUUGAUUGAAUCCUCGACAUCAUGGUUCAUCCGAUGAGAUCAUCGAGGAGCAUGUGGGAGUCAACAUGGGUAUCCAGAUCCCGCUGUUGGUUAUUGACCGGAGAGGCGUCUCGGUCAUGUCCGCAUGUCUCCCGAACCCGUAGGGUCUACACACUUAAGGUUAGGUGACGCUAGGGUUGUAGAGAUAUUAGUAUGCAGUAACCCGAAAGUUUUUUGGAGUCCCGGAUAAGAUCCCGGACGUCACGAGGAGUUCCGGAAUGGUCCGGAGGUAAAGAAUUAUAUAUAGGAAGUCAAGUUUCGGCCAUCGGGAAAGUUUCGGGGAUCACCGGUAUUGUACCGGGACCACCGGAAGGGUCCCGGGGGUCCACCGGGUGGGGCCACCUAUCCCGGAGGGCCCCAUGGGCGGAAGUGGGAGGGGAACCAGCCCCUGGUGGGCUGGUGCGCCCCCCCCCUUGGGCACCCCCUGCGCCUAGGGUUGGAAACCGUAGGGGUGGGGGCGCCUCCACUUGGCUUGGGGGGCAAGCCACCCCUCUUGGCCGCCGCCCCCCUUGGAGAUUGCAUCUCCUAGGGCCGCCGCCCCCCUAGGGGGCCUAUAUAAAGAGGGGGGAGGGAGGGCAGCCGCACCCAUGCUCUUGGUGCCUUCCUCUCCCCUUGCUACACCUCUCCCUCUCGUAGAAGCUUGGUGAAGCCCUGCCGAGAUCGCUGCUGCAUCCACCACCACGCCGUUGUGCUGUUGGAUCUCCAUCAACCUCUCCUUCCCUUUGCUGGAUCAAGAAGGAGGAGACGUCUUCCUCAACCGUACAUGUGUUGAACGCGGAGGUGUUGUCCAUUCAGCACUAGGAUCAUCGGUGAUUUGGAUCACGACGAGUACGACUCCCUCAACCCCGUUCUCUUGAAUGCUUCCGCUCGCGAUCUACAAGGGUAUGUAGAUGCACUCCUUUCUCUCGUUGCUAGAUGAACUCAUAGAUUGAUCUUGGUGAGAGCGUAGGAAUUUUUUAUUUUCUGCAACGUUCCCCAACAGUGGUAUCAGAUCCAGGUUUAUGUGUAGUUCUCUUUGUACGAGUAGAACACAAUUGGUUGUGGGCAUAGAUGUUGUCAACUUUAUUGCCACUACUAGUCUUAUUUUGCUUCAACGACAUCGUGGGAUGAAGCGGCCCAGACCGACCUUACACGUAUGCUUACGUGAGACAGGUUCCACCGACUGACAUGCACUAGUUGCAUAAGGUGGCUAGCGGGUGUCUGUCUCUCCCUCUUUAGUUGGAGCGGAUUCGACGAAAAGGGUCCUUAUGAAGGGUAAAUAGAAGUUGGCAUAUCACGUUGUGGCUUUCACGUAGGUAAGAAAACGUUCUUGCUAGAACCCUAUUGCAGCCACGUAAAAACAUGCAACAACAAUUAGAGGACGUCUAACUUGUGUUUGCAGCAUAUGCCUUGUGAUGUGAUAUGGCCAAAAGUUGUGAUGAAUGAUAUAUAUGUGAUGUAUGAGAUCAUGUUCUUGUAAUAGGAAUCACGACUUACAUGUCGAUGAGUAUGACAACCGGCAGGAGCCAUAGGAGUUGUCUUAAUUAUUGUAUGACCUGCGUGUCAAUGAUUAAACGCCAUGUAAUUACUUUACUUUAUUGCUAAACCGUUAGCCAUAGUAGUAGAAGUAAUAGUUGGCGAGCAACUUCAUGGAGACACGAUGAUGGAGAUCAUGGUGUCAUGCCGGUGACGAAGAUGAUCAUGGAGCCCCGAAGAUGGAGAUCAAAGGAGCUAUAUGAUAUUGGCCAUAUCAUGUCACUAUUUGAUUGCAUAUGAUGUUUAUCAUGUUUUACAUCUUAUUUGCUUAGAACGAUGGUAGCUUAAAAAAGAUGAUCCCUCACAAUAAUUUCAAGAAAGUGUUCCCCCUAACUGUGCACCAUUGCGAAGGUUCGUUGUUUCGAAGCACCACAUGAUGAUCGGGUGUGAUAGAUCCUAACGUUCGAAUACAAUGGGUGUAAGCCAGAUUUACACACGCAAUACACUUAGGUUGACUUGACGAGCCUAGCAUGUACAGACAUGGACUCGGAACACGGAGGACCAAAAGGUCGAGCAUGAGUCAUGUAGAAGAUACGAUCAACAUGGAGAUGUUCACCGAUGUCGACUAGUCCGUCUCACGUGAUGAUCGGACACGGCCUAGUUGACUCGGAUCAUGUUUCACUUAGAUGACUAGAGGGAUGUCUGUCUGAGUGGGAGUUCAUUGAAUAAUUUGAUUAGAUGAACUUAAUUAUCAUGAACUUAGUCUAAAAUCUUUACAAUAUGUCUUGUAGAUCAAAUGGCCCAUGUUACACUCAACUUCAAUGCUUUCCUAGAGAAAACCAAGCUGAAAGAUGAUGGCAACAACUAUACGGACUGGGUCCGGAACCUGAGAAUCAUCCUCAUAGCUGCCAAGAAAGAUUAUGUCCUAGAAGCACCGCUAGGUGAAGCACCCAUCCCAGAGAACCAAGAUGUUAUGAACGCUUGGCAGUCUCGUGCUGAUGAUUACUCCCUCAUUCAGUGCGGCAUGCUUUACAGCUUAGAACCGGGGCUCCAAAAGUGUUGUGAGCAGCACGGAGCAUAUGAGAUGUUCGAAGAGCUGAAAAUGGUUUUCCAAGCUCAUGCCCGGGUCGAGAGAUAUGAAGUCUCUGACAAGUUCUUCAGUUGUAAGAUGGAGGAAAAUAGUUCUGUCAGUGAGCACAUACUCAGAAUGUCUGGGUUGCACAACCGCUUGACUCAGCUGGGAGUUAAUCUCCCGGAUGACGCGGUUAUUGACAGAAUCCUUCAGUCGCUUCCACCGAGCUACAAGAGCUUUGUGAUGAACUUCAAUAUGCAGGGGAUGGAAAAGACCAUUCCUGAGGUAUAUUCAAUGCUGAAAUCAGCGGAGGUAGAGAUCAAAAAGGAACAUCAAGUGUUGACCACUAAGUUCAAGAAAGGCAAGGGUAAGAAGAACUUCAAGAAGGACGACAAGGGAGUUGCCUCGCCCGGUAAGCCAGUUACCGGGAAGAAGCCAAGGAAUGGACCCAAGCCUGAGACUGAGUGCUUUUAUUGCAAGGGAAGUGGUCACUGGAAGCGGAACUGUCCCAAGUGCUUAGCGGACAAGAAGGCUGGCAACACCAAAGGUAUAUGUGAUAUACAUGUUAUUGAUGUGUACCUUACCAACACUCGUAGUAGCUCCUGGGUAUUUGAUACCGGUGCGGUUGCUCAUAUUUGUAACUCAAAGCAGGAGCUGCGGAAUAAGCGGAGACUGGCGAAUGACGAGGUGACGAUGCACGUCGGGAAUGGUUCCAAGGUCGAUGUGACCGCCGUCGGCACGCUACCUCUACAUUUACCUACAAGAUUAGUUUUAAACCACAAUAAUUGUUAUUUAGUGCCAGCUUUGAGCAUGAACAUUGUAUCUGGAUCUCGUUUAAUACGAGAUGGCUACUCAUUUAAGUCCGAGAAUAAUGGUUGUUCUAUUUAUAUGAGAGAUAUGUUUUAUGGUCAUGCCCCGAUGGUCAAUGGUUUAUUCUUAAUGGAUCUCGAACGUGAUGUUACACAUAUUCAUAGUGUGAAUACCGAAAGAUGUAAGGUUGAUAAUGAUAGUCCCACAUACUUGUGGCACUGCCCCCUUGGUCACAUUGGUGUCAAGCGCAUGAAGAAGCUCCAUGCUGAUGGACUUUUAGAGUCUCUCGAUUAUGAAUCAUUUGACACAUGCGAACCAUGCCUCAUGGGCAAAAUGACCAAGACACCAUUCUCUGGAACAAUGGAGCGAGCAACCAACUUAUUGGAAAUCAUACAUACUGAUGUGUGCGGUCCAAUGAGCGUUGAGGCUCGUGGAGGAUAUCAUUAUGUUCUCACUCUCACUGACGACUUGAGUAGAUAUGGGUAUGUCUACUUGAUGAAACACAAGUCUGAGACCUUUGAAAAGUUCAAGGAAUUUCAGAAUGAGGUAGAGAAUCAACAUGACUGAAAGAUAAAGUUCUUACGAUCAGAUCAUGGAGGAGAAUAUUUAAGUCAUGAAUUUGGUAUGCACUUAAGGAAAUGUGGAAUUGUUUCACAACUCACGCCGCCUGGAACACCUCAGCGUAACGGUGUGUCUGAACAUCGUAAUCGCACUUUAUUGGAUAUGGUGCGAUCUAUGAUGUCUCUUACUGAUUUACCGCUAUCUUUUUGGGGAUACACUCUAGAGACAGCUACAUUCACUUUAAAUAGGGCACCAUCUAAAUCCAUUGAGACGACACCAUACGAAUUAUGGUUUGGGAAGAAACCUAAGCUGUCGUUUCUAAAAGUUUGGCGAUGCGAUGCUUAUGUCAAGAAACUACAACCUGAAAAGCUCGAACCCAAGUCGGAAAAAUGCGUCUUCAUAGGAUACCCUAAGGAAACCAUUGGGUAUACCUUCUACCUCAGAUCCGAAGGCAAGAUCUUUGUUGCCAAGAAUGGGUCCUUUCUGGAGAAAGAGUUUCUCUCGAGAGAAGUAAGUGGGAGGAAGGUGGAACUUGAUGAAGUACUACCUCUUGAACCGGUGAGUAGCGCAGCUCAGGAAGAUGUUCCUGUGGUGCCAGCACCAACUGAAGAGGAAGUUAAUGAUGAUGAUCAAGGUACUUCGGAUCAAGUUACUACUGAACUUCAUAGGUCCACGAGGACACGUUCCACACCAGAGUGGUAUGGCAACCCUGUCCUGGAAAUCAUGUUGUUAGACAACGGUGAACCUUCGAACUAUGAAGAAGCGAUGGCGGGCCCAGAUUCCAACAAAUGGCUUGAAGCCAUGCAAUCCGAGAUAGGAUCCAUGUAUGAAAACGAAGUAUGGACUUUGACAGAUUUGCCCGAUGAUCAGCGAGCGAGAGAAAACAAAUGGAUCUUUAAGAAGAAGACGGACGUGGAUGGUAAUGUUACCAUCUAUAAAGCUCGACUUGUCGCUAAGGGUUAUUGACAAGUUCAAGGGGUUGACUACGAUGAGACUUUCUCUCCCGUAGCGAAGCUAAAGUCCGUCCGAAUCAUGUUAGCAAUUGCCGCAUACUAUGAUUAUGAGAUAUGGCAAAUGGAUGUCAAAACUGCAUUCCUUAACGGCCAUCUUAAGGAAGGACUGUAUAUGAUGCAGCCAGAAGGUUUUGUCGACCCUGAGAAUGCUAACAAGGUAUGCAAACUCCAGCGAUCCAUUUAUGGGCUGGUGCAAGCAUCUCGGAGUUGGAACAUUCGCUUUGAUGAGAUGAUCAAAGCGUUUGGGUUUACGCAGACUUAUGGAGAAGCCCGUGUUUACAAGAAAGUGAGUGGGAGCUCUGUAGCAUUUCUCAUGUUAUAUGUAGAUGACAUACUUUUGAUGGGAAAUGAUAUAGAACUUUUGGACAGCAUUAAGGCCUACUUGAAUAAGUGUUUUUCAAUGAAGGACCUUGGAGAACCUGCUUACAUAUUAGGCAUCAAGAUCUAUAGGGAUAGAUCAAGACGCCUCAUAGGUCUUUCACAAAGCACAUACCUUGAUAAGAUAUUGAAGAAGUUCAAUAUGGAUCAGUCCAAGAAGGGAUUCUUUCCUGUGUUGCAAGGUGUGAAAUUGAGCUCAGCUCAAUGCCCGACCACGGCAGAAGAUAGAGAAAAGAUGAGUGUCAUCCCCUAUGCCUCAGCUAUAGGGUCUAUUAUGUAUGCCAUGCUGUGUACCAGACCUGAUGUAAACCUUGCCGUAAGUUUGGUAGGAAGGUACCAAAGUAAUCCCGGCAUGGAACACUGGACAGCGGUCAAGAACAUCCUAAAGUACGUGAAAAAGGACUAAGGAUAUGUUUCUCAUUUAUGGAGGUAACGAAGAGCUCGUCGUAAAGGGUUACGUCGAUGCUAGCUUCGACACAGAUCUGGAUGACUCUAAGUCACAGACCGGAUACGUGUAUAUUUUGAAUGGUGGGGCAGUAAGCUGGUGCAGUUGCAAGCAAAGCAUCAUGGCGGGAUCUACAUGUGAAGCACAGUACAUGGCAGCCUCGGAGGCAGUGCAUGAAGCAAUCUGGGUGAAGGAGUUCAUCAACGACCUAGGAGUCAUACCCAAUGCGUCGGGGCUGAUCACACUCUUCUGUGACAACACUGGAGCUAUUGCACUUGCCAAGGAGCCCAGGUUUCACAAGAAGACCAGGCACAUCAAGCGUCGCUUCAACUCCAUACGUGAAAAUGUUCAAUAUGGAGACAUAGAUAUUUGUAAAGUACAUACGGACCUGAAUGUAGCAGAUCCGUUGACUAAACCUCUCCCUAGAGCAAAACAUGAUCAACACCAGAACGCUAUGGGUGUUCAAUUCAUCACAAUGUAACUAGAAUAUUGACUCUAGUGCAAGUGGGAGACUGUUGGAAAUAUGCCCUAGAGGCAAUAAUAAAAUGGUUAUUAUUAUAUUUCUUUGUUCAUGAUAAUUGUCUGUUAUUCAUGCUAUAAUUGUGUUAUCCGGAAAUCGUAAUACACGUAUGAAUACAUAGACCACAACAUGUCCCUAGUAAGCCUCUAGUUGACUAGCUCGUUGAUCAACAGAUAGUCAUGGUUUCCUGACUAUGGGCAUUGGAUGUCAUUGAUAACGGGAUCACAUCAUUAGGAGAAUGAUGUGAUGGAUAAGACCCAAUCCUAAGCAUAGCUCAAAGAUCGUGUAGUUCGUUUAGCUAGAGCUUUUCCAAAUGUCAAGUAUCAUUUCCAGAGACCAUGAGAUUGUGCAACUCCCGGAUACCGUAGGAGUGCUUUGGGUGUGCCAAACGUUACAACGUAACUGGGUGACUAUAAAGGUGCACUAUGGGUAUCUCCGAAAGUGUCUGUUGGGUUGGCACGAAUCGAGACUGGGAUUUGUCACUCCGUAUGACGGAGAGGUAUCUCUGGGCCCACUCGGUAAUGCAUCAUCAUAAUGAGCUCAAUGUGACCAAGUGUCUGGUCACGGGAUCAUGCAUUAUGGUACGAGUAAAAUGACUUGCCGGUAACGAGAUUAAACGAGGUAUUGGGCUACCGACGAUCGAAUCUCGGGCAAGUAUACGGGAUUGAUUGAAUCCUCGACAUCGUAGUUCAUCUGAUGAGAUCAUCAAGGAGCAUGUGGGAGCCAACAUGGGUAUCCAGAUCCCGCUGUUGGUUAUUGACCGGAGAGGCGUCUCGGUCAUGUCUGCAUGUCUCCUGAACCCAUAGGGUCUACACACUUAAGGUUCGGUGACGCUAGGGUUGUAGAGAUAUUACUAUGGAGUAACUUGAAAGUUGUUCGGAGUCCCGGAUGAGAUCCCGGACGUCACGAGGAGUUCCGGAAUGGUCCGGAGGUAAAGAAUUAUAUAUAGGAAGUCAAGUUUCGGCCAUCGGGAAAGUUUCGGGGAUCACCGGUAUUGUACCGGGACCACCGGAAGGGUCCCGGGGGUCCACCGGGUGGGGCCACCUAUCCUGGAGGGCCCCAUGGGCUGAAGUGGGAGGGGAACCAGCCCCUGGUGGGCUGGUGCGCCCCCCCUUGGCCCCCCUGCGCCUAGGGUUGGAAACCCUAGGGGUGGGGGCGCCUCCACUUGGCUUGGGGGGCAAGCCACCCCCUUGGCCGCCACCCCCCUUGGAGAUUGCAUCUCCUAGGGCCGGCACCCCCUAGGGGGCCUAUAUAAAGAGGGGGGAGGGAGGGCAGCCGCACCCAUGCUCUUGGCGCCUCCCUCUCCCCUUGCUACACCUGUCCCUCUCGUAGAAGCUUGGCGAAGCCCUGCCGAGAUCGCUGCUGCAUCCACCACCACGCCGUCGUGCUGCUGGAUCUUCAUCAACCUCUCCUUCCCCUUGCUGGAUCAAGAAGGAGGAGACGUCUUCCUCAACCGUACGUGUGUUGAACGCGGAGGUGCUGUCCGUUCAGCACUAGGAUAAUCGGUGAUUUGGAUCACGACGAGUACGACUCCCUCAACCCCGUUCUCUUGAACGCUUCCGCUCACGAUCUACAAGGGUAUGUGGAUGCACUCCUUUCUCUCGUUGCUAGAUGAACUCAUAGAUUGAUCUCGGUGAAAGCGUAGAAAUUUUUUAUUUUCUGCAACGUUCCCCAACAGAGAGGAAAGGGUUCCUCUUCGGCGUUGGGAGCGAUGUUCUUCCUUUGUCCCUGGGUUCAGACAGUUCACACCUUUCUCUGGCUAUCGGCUGAUCAUUGAGGCUUCUCUGUUGCUCCUCUCUCUGCUGACUAUGUGCAGUAGGCUUCGACUCUACUAGCAGGGCUCUUCAUAUAUUUUUCUUUCUGCUGUAGUGUGUGUUGCAUUGUUAGCUGUUCACUAAGCUCCGUUGUAUCUUUCGGUCGCUUUUGCUUGGUGGCCUUGUGUAAUCCUGGCCGGUUGAUGGCUUCGUUAACUCAAAGCCGGGCUCCCCUUGAGCCUUCGUUCUAAAAAAAGAGCCUUCCAAAAAAAUGGAUCCGGAGAGGGCCUAUGGUAGGGCUAUGGCUCUAAAAAAGAACUAGAGUACUAUGGUAGAACUAUCGUCUGUUUUUCUUCUUUCUUCUUCGAAAUAAAACCAGCGUUUCACGUCCUUAUUCUUUUCACCUCCCCCCAUUGUCCCCUAAACCCUACGAGAUCAGUACCAGAGGAGAGUCGCAGAUCCCCCAUCCCUCGGAGUAAUUCUACCAUGCCGGCCGCCGCUGGCAAGCCGUCCCGAUCAGCCUCCGCCAUCACCCCCUCCACAGUGAGAGGGUACCACCUCCUCAAGAUCGACGGCUACUCCCUCACCAAGGGCGUCCCUACCGGAGAUAAGAUAAAGUCUGGCUCUUUCACCCUGGGAGGACAUCGAUGGCACAUCGAUUACUAUCCCAACGGCUUGCAACCACAAUAUGCCGGUUACAUAUCCCUGAACCUUCAUCUUGAUUCCAAUGUCACCGCGGCGGUGAAGGCACAACACAAAUUCAGUUUUGCGGAUGAGGUAAUGAACCUACCUCCUUCGCUGGUAUCAACAACAGUACACACCUACAGUGGUCUGCUAGGCUGGGGGCCUAUUAGUUUCAUGAAAAGGGCAGACUUGGAGAAGUCUGAGCAUCUCAAGGACGAUUCUUUCACCAUCAGGUGUGAUAUCCUUGUCAUCAUGGAUUACCGUGCAGAGGAUUUGCCAGAAGACACUCCAGCAUUUGUCACUGUGGCCCCAUCUGACCUGCACCAGCACCUCGCAGAUCUCCUCAAGACUGAGAAGGGUGCCGACGUAGUCUUCGAGGUUGGUGGUCACACGUUCGCAGCACACCGCUGCGUGCUCGCUGCCCGGUCACUGGUCUUCAGUGCGGAGCUCUUUGGUGGUAUGAAGGAGGGCGACACCGCAGGUGUGGUGCGCAUAGAUGAAAUGGAGGCGCAGGUGUUCAAGGCGUUGCUCUGUUUUGCGUAUACCGAUUCCUUACCAGUGACAGAAAAAGAAGAUGAAGAUGUCAUGUGCCAGCAUCUGCUUGUUGCGGCUGACAGGUAUAACAUGGAGAGGCUAAAGACUAUUUGCGAGGAAAGGUUAUGCAAGUACAUCAAUGGAGGCUCAGUAACGACCAUCCUGACGUUAGCUGAGCAGCACCACUGUGAGGGCCUAAAGAAGGCGUGCUUAAGUUUUCUUGGCUCCCCGGCAAAUCUUAGAGCUUUGUUGGACAGCGACGGCUUCGAUCAUCUGAGCAGGAGCUGCCCUUCUGUUAUUAAGAAUCUGAUUGCCAUGUCAGCCCUUGUUUAGUGGUAAAUGUUGCGUUAGCAAUUAUAUAGUUCCAGGGAUUGAAAUGGUUUUCUUGUAGUAGCAGUGGCGCUUAGCUCCCUGGUUUGGUUUGAAGACUUAUUAUCUACGGUUACCUUAUAUUCCUAGUACUAUCAGACUACCUAUCCUAACUUUCGAAGAAGAUGGAAACUAGUAUUAUAGCACUGUCACUUUGUUUCUGUUUUGGUGUUUCCUUGCAUGUCUGAAUCUUAUCAAUUUAUCAGGAAGUACUUGGAUAUCAGGUAGCAGUCCA